GAUAUAUAACCUUUUCCUCCAAUGUGAUUGAAUAAUAAACAAACAAAUAAAUAAAGGGAGGAGAUUGCGAGUGAGAUUAGGUAUCAUGAUUUCGGGGGGAUAAAGUGUGUAGCCUGAAAUAGCUACUCUACAAGUAGCUGAUUUGUUAAUUAGGCGGCCUAGAUGGCCUCGAGUGGCACUUGCAUCCAUCAUUACCAAAUUCAGCAUGAGAUGCAGCAGCUUUUGCUUGCUCGCAACACGCAAACAGCAUUCGUUCUACAAUAGCCCCUUUGCUUCCUUGUUGAUCCUUGAGCCUGAAACCAGUUGUGGUGAAGUGUCAACACUGCUUUUUCUCUCCCAAUGCAACAAGCAUUUGGAGCAAAGCAAUAUUGACACACCACAUCAGACAGUGACAUGGACUAAUAAUGCAAUGUCAUGCAGAUAAUAUCUUCUUCUGAGUAAGAUCCCUUACCAAGGACCUUGUGUGGAAAAGCUAUGGAAUAUGCAGCAUGGGAAGCUUCACCUGUCUGAAGAGAGAAGUUCAGAUCUGUAGUAGUCAACAAAACAAAUAGGCACAGCUGCACAGCACCUCAAAUUCUCUCUCUCAAGGAGCUGGCUCCAUCAUUGCAAGCAAGCUACUACUAAAAAACAAGCAUGCAAGCAUGGGGCAGUGGCCAAUUAAUAAACAGUUUAGCCAAUAACCAAUAAUAUAAUCCAGCAGCAAACAAACACAUUUACAUGCAUGCAUGUUCCUGUCGUUGAGCAGUAAUCCCCAGUCCAGUCCAGUCCCAGUCCAGUUUCAGGUUAGGAUCAGUGAUUAUUUAUAUCCCUAUGUGGCUAAUCAACUACAGUAGUACUUGCAGACACGGAGCGCCACUUAAUGAUACCUAAUCCUCUGAAAGCACCACCAAAAGCAGGGGUCAAACGAAUUGAUUAGUGGACAUAUAUUGCAGUGGUGCAGGACAUUCCGAAACAAAAGCUUGUGGAGCACUGCUCCCACCCCUCGCAAAUGGAACCCUAAUUCUCAGGCAUGAACAGCCGCACGGGUCCAACUAAUCAUAUAGUAAUCUGAAGUGACACCACAGCUUAAUUAAUUCUAUCAUAUAUAAUACUCCUAUAUAUAUCGCAGAAAGCCAGAAAGGCUGAUGACCUCUAUUUGGACCACUCUGUCCCAGCAGGAAGGGAAUUAGGCUGAUAACAACAGCCACAUGAAGGUCCAAAAGAAAAUACUACUAUAAAGUAGAAUCAGCAAAAAUAAUCUGCAAAGGUUUAUAUACUAUUAUAUUAAUAAGACAGCAUUUGCAUGACAGAGACAGUGCACUAAUAUCAUACACCAGCUAGGUGGGCCUGGCCGGCCGGCCUUUGUGAUAGACACCAGCAGGGACACAGGUGCAUCAUACAAGCUGGAGGAGUGCUUAAAAUAAAGUAUGAUUUUUUUUCCUCUCCUGUUUUGGAGUGGUCUAGAGACAGUGAUGAUGAUUAGGAGGGAAUCAGUGUUCCCCAUGGGGGUUUUAGUUAUGGCUGCCUCAUGCUCAUGCCGAUAAAGAGCUAGCAGGAAGCAGGCGCAGCCAAAUGCAACAAGCAGGGCAUGCACGCCCCAUCGCUGCCCAGUGCCCAUCCACUGCCGGCCUGCCGCGACCUGCAUGGUUUGGUUCCCGGCUGGGCUGACGCCUCUCCAGGAGGCAAACACGCGGCCUGCUUGUCCAAAGCCAAGCUUACUAUAUUGCAUCCUGCACGCUCAGAUCAGCACAGUAAGUAGUAUAUAAUCGCUGGGUUUGUUUGUUUAAUGGAGACCACAUACAGUGAUAAUGAUAAUAUAUAUAUAUAUACAGUUGAUGUUUCUGACAAAUAAGAAGGAAGGAAAGAACUCGCGGGAACAAUGUGCAGGUGUUGCUGUUGUGGCGUUCUUAUCUGGUAUCCAUCUAUCGUGAGUUCUUCAUGAGGUAGCAAGCACUAACUAGCUCAACGAGGCCACCAACGAGCUGGCCGGACAUGUGAUUAGAAUCGGAUGAUGAUGAUUAAGCGUUUGAAGAUCAGAGAGUGGCGAAAUUGGAUCGUCUGACCUGACCUGACCUGAGUACCUGACAGAUAUGUCAAAACGGCCAAUUGGAUGGAGUAAGUGAUCAGGAAAAAGAAAAAGGAAACAAGUCAAGCGUGGGGAUCCAAGGCCGUAUCUGCUGAUGGAUGGAUGGAUGGUGUAGAGGCGGCGAGGCGAGGCGAGCGGAGAGUCAAAAGGGCGUUGAAAAGAUGGCGGCAAAGCAACGAUAGCUCUGAUCCAUCGAUCCGGCAUGAUUCGCCUUCUAGUUUCCUUUCCUCUCGCACACAAAUUAAUUCUCUGAAUCUUUAGGCCUCCACAAAAAAAAUUGUCAUCCGUCUCAUCGAAUCUUUAGACACAUGCAUACAACAUUAAACAUAAAUAAAAAAAUAAACUAAUUACACAGUUUCGUUGAGAAUCAGGAGACGAAUCUUUUAAGCCUAGUUAGUCUAUGAUUAGCCUUAAGUGCUACAGUAACAUAUGUGCUAAUGACAGAUUAAUUAUGCUUAAUAGAUUUGUCAUGCAGUUUUCAGACGAGCUAUGUAAUUUAUUUUUUUAUUAGUUUCUAAAAACCUCUCCCAACAUCCUACCGACGUAUCCGAUGUGAUAUCCCAAAAUUUUUAAUCUCCGAUCAAAACAAUCCUUAAUCUCUCGGCAAACAUCCUGCAGCCAUCGGACGGAUGGGUUCAUCUGCACCAUGCUGCAUGUCUGACAGAAACACCACACGCGACGACACGACACGAGACGCCGGCCACCGGCCACCGGCUAGCUCUGUGCAUGUACGUGGCGUUGAAAAUGAGACGCCGUUUCUCGCCGGCCGGCCGGCAACGGCAACUGCACGGCGCGCGCGCCGUCCCCCGCGCGCGUCAUGGGUUCUCACGGUGUGUCCGCAUCGUCAUGCAUGCCGUCGUGCUGCUCGGCGGCGGGCGGCGCCGGCCGCUCGGCAGCUAGCAGUAGCGCGCCCACGCCUGGCGUGCCGCGUGCGCAAGCUCUAGCAAGCAAAGCACACUAGGAUGGGCCAGAGGCAUGUCGGCUUUAGCGGCAUCUCGAUCGUCUAGCUAGUAGUCGUCUGCUUGUGUCCUUUGGCCUCUCUGUCCCCGUGUGAAACUGCGAAGUGCUCCUUGCUGUGCUGCUUCAUCGCACGCGUGCAUGUCAUCAGGCCGCAUGGUCCCUCAGCAUAUACAUAUAUGAUAUAUGUAUGUAUGUAGGAUGCGUCCACACAAAACGCCGUCGGAGUCGGAUGCUGGACCAUGCCGGCCCAGCUAGCUAGCUGCAUUGCGUCUCUGAAUGAAACGAGCGAGAUCGAGGCCACCCGGGUGAGAAUGACAAGACAGAUCGAUUUGCCCUAUUGCUACAUGUAGAACACGGCCGGCGCCGCAAGCAGGCACCGGAAGAGCGCGGCGCGGCGCGGCGACGGCACCUACCACACGAUCGAGGACGAGGACGACGCGAGGCUGGCAGAGGCAGACAAGCGGCCACGCAAGCAGGUCGCUUAGAAAUUAAAAAAAAAAAACCCGCUCGAGUGAUAUAUUAUAUGAGAGAAAUCCAAAAGCGAGUUGCAUGCAGGGAUAAUGCCUUAGGAAAUCUGGACACAUGCCCGGAUCCAGGGCAGGGCCCGGCUGUCCGGCCGGUGCUCCACACUGUCAGCUUGCAACCAUGCAUCAUGCAGAGCAGGCCGCUAGCAGCAGCCAGCAGCAUAUCAAAACUUGAAAAAGGGGAGAGACUCCCUUUUCUCAUUGAUUCAAUUCAUUCAUUCAUUCUGCCCAAGAACCAGGGAUUGAUCACCAUACGUAGGUAUUUUAUCUUCUCCCUGCUGGCAUCCACACUGCUUUUCCAAUAUACUAUCUUUGUCAUAUAUCCUGUUCUUUGCGCUACCGACUGAGAGUCUCUGACUGAUUAUUUAUAUAUCAUUACAAGCUUGCUGCGUGUGCCCCAUGCCAUGAAUAAUUGAAUAAUAAUAACAAUGAGCUAGUAUAUAGCAGAUGCAUGCAUGCAUGGAUCUUGUUACUACCUGCAGACUGAUGCAGUGCUUCAAUUCAAACUGCUGUUGUACUAUACAGUUGCCGGCUGGACCAUCCAUGCAUCCAGUCCGUCCGGAGGUGCAUGAUCCUUGCAUUGCAUUGGACUACUGUUCAUCUUCGACUAGCGGAGCGAUCGAGCUCUGACCGUCGUCAGCUCCAUGGACUGCAGUGCAUGUGCGGCAACAGUGCUUGCAGCCAGCCCAGCCCAGCCGGGACUACUACUGUUCCUUCUUCCUCGCUCCAUAAAGGAGGAGAUGCAUGGACAACGGACAUGUCGUCGUCGUCUCGGUCUCAGUUGGGUGGUGUGCCGUGCCGUGUCGUGUGCACCCAUGCACACGCCGUCGCAGUCUGACGAUGAACUGCAGGCGGCGGCGACGACCGUGGCAGCACCAGGCAAGGAAGCAUCAGCUACCUGCUCGUCAUGCUAAGCCAAAGAUUCCCUUCAGGUUCAGGUUCAGGUUCAGCCGCGCCCGAGCGCGUUUUAUUAUUGACCUGUAUUGUAUCGGUCAAAGCUGCAGUAUGACAGAUGCAGAUACUAGUGUCAUGGAGCUAAAAUACCAGCUGCUCCAAAAAUAUAAAAUUUGUGGAUAAUAAGCCUGGGUAUAACGAUCUGGGCCGGAUUUCGCUGGGCACUCUAGCCUGAGUCUCAUUUGAACACUUGAAUAUUCCUUGGGCUUAUUACUUUUGCCUAGAUGGAAUUAUUGAGUAAAGUUGGGCCGGAUGAAUUUUGUAGAGGAGUCAGCCCAGUCGGCCCAGGAUAGGUACGCAUCACGUGCUUGCGGCCCGUUAUAAGCAUGGACCGGGCGCGCUUCACAUCUCUCUCACGGUCCAGUAAAAUCGUAGUAGGCCCGGUCCAUUUUUUCAGAUACCUCUCUCGAUCUCUCAGGGAAAACUCGGAAUCCCUUCCAAAAAGGAAAGAUUCGAAGUAGAGAGAUACUACAUGAGAGUCCUACCAAAACCAAAGUGAUAAUCCCUACCCUACCAAAAGCGUUGUGACUGCAAGACAAGGUUACUUAAUGCAUGUUCCCAAUGAUGGCACGGAUUUUAGUUGCUCUUCGUCGUUUGGUUAGCCUCAGAUCUCAUCAGUCGAUUCUUGAUGAAAUGUCUAUACUUUCGGUGCGAUGGGUUCAGUGACUGGCUAUAGUUUAGGUGUUCACCUAAACGACCAUUUGAACUUUUAAACAUCGUGUAAGCCUGUUUAAUUGGACGUUUAGCUUGUUUAAUAGACUAUUUAGUCUAAAUAAUGGCUGAACAGUAAGUGGCCGACCGUUUAGCGUUUAGGAAACAUGUUGUGGGCCAUAAUUCUCGCUUAUGUCAAAUUAUGGGCAUGAUUAUCAUGUGACAAUUGGAUUGGGCCACAAGCAAUGUCAUUCGGUUUGGCCCGAUUCAAAAUGAACCUUUAAUUGGACUACGCGGAAAUGAUAUGGUGGGUACAUAAAUUAGCUCAUACCAUAAUUUAGUUGGGCCAAGCCCAAAUAAAAUAGCCUUUGAAAUCUACCCAAAUAGAAUUAUGACGAUGCAAUUUGUUGUAACGUCUUUGCCACGCCAGCGGCCAUGUCACUUGCCACGUGAUGGCAGUGGCCUGGUUUAUAACCUUAUGAUGAUUUUGAGUAUCAUUAUCGUUUAUAACUUGUUUCAUAGGAGAAUCAAAAUUAGUUUCUCUCAAAAAACAUUUCUUCAAAAAUUCGAAUCUCUUCGAAAUGUGUCUAGUCUCGUCUCAUGAAUCACCACAUGAUGCAUGGUUCCCUUCCAUGGUUUUCAACAUAGCCUACUAGCUACUAAAGUUUCAUCCAUAUUGCCUCUUGCCGAUGCAUGAACUUUACAAAGUUCACAUGAGCUAGGUCUUGUCUUACAACUCUGCCUCACCUUUGCACAUACACCAUUAAAGAAGAUAAAGCUACGAACUUCACGAAGGCAUCUUGCACAGAAAGCCCUAAUAUAAAGGCAAAAGCUGCGUUUUGGAUCUUUCACUUCCUGCUGUCAUAUCUCGUAUGAAAUUCUAGUGCCAAUUUGGGAACCAAACUGACUAAACUAAUCUCGCAAAACUGGGUCAGAGCACAAGAGCAUGCACAAGAUUGGACGAAAUGUGAGGUUAGCAUGAGGAGCAGGCCAUAUAGCUUUAUAUCCUUUCAUUGUCUGGCAUGAAUUCUUCAGUUACUGCCGCCAGCACCAAUUUCAGGAUGAGCCUCUAGCAUUUGGGCUGUCAGAGGCUCAGAGCCGCCUAUUCUUUUAUGAUGAGUAUGUGUAUAAGCAUAUCUAUACAUAAAAGUGAAAAAGGAGAAAGGUGUAAUUUGGUUUCAUGUACAUGUGUGUAAAGCUGAGCUCUUGCUUCUUUUAAAGCCUGGAAAGCUUUGCAAUUUGCAGGCACGGUUUGGUCUCGUCUCGUCUGGUGUGGUGGUUACCCCUCUGCAUGCUCUAAACAUUGCUGGUGUGUGGUGGUCCACAUGCAUGCUUGCGAUGGAGGUAUCAGAAGCUCAAAAAGGGCCAUGGUGUUCCAUUCCUCUGCCACUAAUGCAUGUUGCUAGUUUGUGGUGCAUCAUCAUGAUGCUUGUCUCUCAAAGCUGCGUAACAGGUAUGCCGAUUUGCUCGACAUGUUCUCCAAGGAUCACUAACAAUCUACAAAGCUAGAUUUGAAUCCCCUCUGCAGGCAUAUUCAGUGUCUCACUCACCUGAAGAUGCACACCUAAAUGUUCCUCCCUUUCCCCCCUUUUUUAUAUCUCUUUUUUUAAAAAACAAAAAAAUCAUAGAGAUGAGUCAUAGAUGCAUGCACAUCUGUUUUUUUAAAAAAUUUAAGUGAAAGAUUUCGUCUAAAUUUCUAGUGAAAGAUUUCAUCUUUUGGUUAUAAUGUUGCACCUUCACAAGCUAGUUAGCUCCAUGACUGACGACGCCCCCACAAAUUGCAGUGGUUAUCAUGGCGCUUUGCGUAGAUUGCUCUCCUGCUCGGCUUCUUUACGCUUCUUUUCAGGAAAUUAGCUUGAGAACAAAAGCCCCAGCAGGCUGCCGCGGCGCUGCUCCUCCUUUGCUCGCACAAAUGUUGGCGCCGCGAGCUUUUGCCGCCGGUGAGGGGGACACCGGCGAAUCAUGCGCAUCACCGCCGCCCCCCUCGCUCCGAUCGUUUCGUGCCUGGCCUGCUCGCGCCUUGUGGGACACCGAAUCAUUCCCGUCCUUGAGCCUGUCUGUGUGUGUCUGCUCCCCUGCAACUGCAAGAAGCAGAUGCCUGCUGGGCUGCUGGCAGUGGCAGAGCUACGCCGCCACUGUUCUUGCUGCUGCCUACCUGAAUCUGAAAGGAUAACCACAUUUUUACCAGAUCAUCAGUGUUUUAACUUUUAAGUCGUCGUUAACUGAGCUUGUUUAUUCAUUGUUAUUCGAUGUUGAGAGCCUUCUGAGUUCAGACAGAGCAUAAGCACGAAUCUCAGAGCCAGUUCUUCUUGCACUGCUUGAUUAAUUACAGGUGAUGAUGCGGCUACGUAUUUAUAGCCGCCAAGACCAAUCGAUUACCCUAACAAACUACUAACGCACUUGAUCUAGUAUGGAGCCUCAAUUUUUCACUCUUGAAAUGUCUUUUGUCCGUGAAUGAAAAAAAUCUGCAAAGUGCAUGCAUGCGCAUGGAGUCAAGCUCGACAUUUGACUGGGAUUCAUCAUGGGCAAUGAAUGAGCAGGCAUACCUGAUCUGCAUGCUCUGAAUUUGUGACUGACUGACUGAUCAUAGGAAGAACACAAUGGGGUCCAGCAGGCUGCACCCUGCAGCAAAAAAAAAAAAAAAGAUGUUCUUUUGAGAAGCAAGGAUCUCGGUUUUUUAUGCCAGAAAUAAGCUGACACACCUGCAUGUCUACUUUGCAUAUUUUCUGAUGUGCAGAUAGUUUUUUUUAGGUACAUGCUGAGCUGCUGUGGAUCCAUGGAGAUAUAGCAUGAUCUCCAUAGAUCAUACAUACAGCAGGGAGGCACAGUUGGAUUUGGAUCUGGGAUUUCUUCUCAGGGCAGUAAAUUAAAUAAACAUCCAUGUGAUUCUGGCCAAGAUUUUUCUGGAGUUGUUAAACAUGCACGAUGUAUGUGGCAUCUGCAGUCACAAUGCAAGUUGUAGCUCACUUUUAGUACCCUAAGCUACAGCUUUAAGCACACUCCACAUGAUUUGCAGCCUAAUCGUGAGCUGCUCCUGAGUUGUAGUGCCUCAAGUUGCUAGUGUUGUUUAAACUUGAGGGCUUGAGGCAGACAGACUAUGCUUGGUGUUAAUUUGGUCCAAAAAGGAAAAGGUGCCUCAUUGCCUGAGAUGCUAGAGUGAUUAGCCACUUUGAUCUGUCUCUGCCUGGUUAGCCUUUUCCAUGAACACUGGAUUGGUCCUAGACUGUUAAGCUUUCAGGUAGAUAAUUAUUCGUUAGCACAUUUAAAUUCUAAUCGUAGUCGUAACAUAGUUGAGUGCCACAGUGCAAAAGCACCAAAAUAAAAAACAAAAAAGGAGUAGUAGUGUGAAGUGGAACAGGGAGUAUAUUUUUCUUUAAAAAAAAACAUGAGAAUGAAGAGUGAGGAGAUUGGAAGAAUGAGGCCAUGGAUCAACCACCAUGAUGCUCUGUCUACAAAGAGGGUAGCAGAACAUAAUCAUCCCAUAUCACAUGCCUCCCUCCCCUCUCCAAAAGGUAAUGCCAAUCAAUCCAUUGGCUACUCACCUGUUGCACACAUCAUUAUUCAUCUAACUAUCUUAUCCUAAACUACACCAACAGCUAAGCAACAUAAAACAAAACCUGUCAAUUUAUUUACCUGCUGGCGGUAGCCACACAAUGGUGUAACGACUUAAUUUAAAGCAGCCUUCAGUAUGCAUGCAUCAAUGCAGGGUGGUAUAUAUAUAUGAAUCAACAGCUUGUUCAUGCAUGUGAUAGGAUUAGCAAGCUGUUACACAUGAUUGUCGCCAUUUGAGUACUUCAUCAUGCGGUUUUCAAAGUUUGACUGGCUACAUUUAACCAUGCAUGUUUAUGUAUGGUAUGGUAUAAUAAACUAUUGGGAAGAAAUACUUCACCAGAGUCCAGAGGCAAAAUAAAACACCAGUUUCAGAAACAGUUCAGCUUAAUCCCUACAUCAGGAAUUAGUUGGGGAUCAACAUGUGCAAUUUGAAAAGAUGCUAACAGUACUUGUUCGUACCGUUUCUGUACCUGCAAACAAACAGUGAUACAUGCAGACUGAGCUAGUACUAGUAUAUAUACACAUGCAUACGACGAAACAAAAGCACCAAGCUUUCCUGCUUGUUGGCCUGCCUAUAUAGCUCCAACGAUCGCCUUUGCACAUAAAGGUCACCACCCUCCAUUUCUCACACACAAAGCUCUCUCGCAGAUAAGCCAGAGAGAGAUCGAGGAUGGACGAGUCGUGGAGGUGCACGAUGGGCUCGGUGCUGCCACGGCAGCGGUCGUCGGACCAGCACGCCGCCGCAGCCGGCGGCCACCAGAGCCUGGCCCCCGACGACUUCCGGGACGUGUACGGCGGGCCGCCGCGCACCGUGCUCCUCCGCAGCUUCGGCGGGGAGGCGGCCGACUACAAUUCCCCGACGGGCCACCAGUACGCGAGCUACGGUGGCGCCGAGGCCUUCUGCCGCCGGCCGUACCCCGACGGGCGCGCGGCGGCCGUGCCCACUGAGCAGGGCUUCUUUGACGACAUCUUCGGCGCCCGUCGGCACUUGAGGUCCAGGUCCAGGUCCAAGUCCAAGUCAUCGUCGGCGGUCAGCUCCGACGAGUUCCCCUCCGCCGGCUUCUGCCGGCCGGUAGCCACCGGCGGCAGCCGCGUCGACGCCACGCUCUCCUCGUUCACAUCUAGGCUCAGGUAGGACAGAGCUCAUUGACAAUCGUGCGUGGCAAAAGCUUGACGAUCGAAGCACGUGAAAAAUGCGUCGUGCGUUACAAAAUGCCUUCGUCAUCGAUCAUUAGCGCUAAAGAUGAUCGUGGCGUUCUUGUCAUGGCAGGCCGGUGACGAUCCCUUCGCGGCGGUACGACUCGUCGCCACCGUCAUCGACGUCGACGAGAGGGGAGUACCAGAGCAGCUUCACGUGCUCGACGGCCGCGUAUCCGGCAGCUCGCUACUACUACGGCGGCGACACCAACAAGGCCGCCGGCAGCAGGUCGAACCACAACAGCGGCAGAGCCGGCGGCGGCGGGUCGGCGGCGGCAACGCGGCACCACCGGAACCACCGCGGGGGCAGCAGCUUCUGUUGCUUCACGUCGAACCCGGAGACCAGCAGCAACGCGCCGAGCUUCCGGCAGGCCGCACGCGGCGCGCGGUCACCGGCCGCCGAGACCACCAUCACCGACUACUCCGGCGCCGACUACGGGUACUACUACUCGCCGCCGUCCGCCACGUCGUCGUCGCUCUUCACCAACCCGCUGGCGAGGACGCCGCGGCGGCUGGAGGAGGUGGUGAUGGAGGUGAGGGAGCGGGCGCCGCUGCUGAUGGACGACGGCGACGACAUCGACAGCGUCGGCGCCGCUGCGGUGGAUGAGGCGAUUGCAUGGGCCAAAGAGAGAUUCUGGAGCCAGGCCCGUUAACCGGACGAUCAGGAUAAAACAUCAACAACGUUGAUGAUCCGUCAAUUCAUGGCGUGCCUAUGUAAUUAUGCAACAUUCUACUGUAUGUAGUAUAUAUAGGCACCUAGUGACCAGGACCAACAUUUUGUAACGCUUCAUUCAUUAUGGAAGAUUGAAUACAUUUUCAGUUUGCACGUUAUAUAUCGAUCAAAACUCAUAUAAACAGAAAAGAUGACAAAACGUGACUCUUCAGUUCGCACAUUAUAUAUCGAUCAUAAGCAGACAAGAUGUCAAAAUGCUCUUAUUGAAGAGGGAAUGGUUAACAGAUACUAUAUGGGUACUAUCUUGAGUCUUGACAGGAGUCAACAAUCCUUCUCGUAUAUGGGGUGCAAUGCUCCCACAAUUAUAUAUGGCUACACAAUAUCUGGCGAUCAUUGCAGUCAGUGGCAUAUAUAUUUUGUUGCCACAUGCAGCCAAAACCACUAGAGCUCCCAGAAAUGCAGGGCCAUUUCUUAAUCCUAAAUUUCAGCAAUGUUACACAAAACUUGGGGUUUGGCUGUGAAAAGAAUGCAAUGAACCAAAGUAUACAAAAUUUUCCAAGUGGAACACUAGGCCUUGAGGCGAGGUUCAGCUUUCCAUUCACCUUGCGAACGACAAACACCUUGCUAUUUUGUCCUUGUGAUGACUCUCUCUGUGAUAUCAAUAAGAGCACGCCUUGAAGUCAGGACAUCCUCGUCAUCACUGUCUGGGAGGGAUUCUAUAGCCUUGACUGCACGAUCAGCAUGUUCUCGUGCGAGCUCCUUUGUCCUUUCAAUCCCACGGCUCUUCCUGAGAUAGUCAAGGGCCUACAAUUCAAAGAAGAAAGUAGUCCAUUAAGCUUAUGGUCCUGUCCUGUUGUUUUCUAUUAAUGCUGUUACAGAAAACAUGCACUUUGAAGUGUGCAAUGACGUGAUGCUAAAUCCAGCAAUUAAAUGCUCAACAUGCAAUUAGCUAGCUAUGAGAACCAAUAAUAUUUGGAGAUAACAACUGCCAGAGAUCAAGUAAAUGAUUUACGCUGUUCCUCAAUAUCCAGCUAAACUAUUCAAGUAAGUCCAAAUAAAAAGCCUGUUGCAUUGUACCAGUAGAAACUGUAUUUUAUAGGUAAAUGAACAAUGAAAAAUGAAACCUGCUCACAAUCUAAAAUAACUACUUACAAUUUCAAUGUUUGCAGGAUUAUCAAAACCCCGGUCAACAACUUCUUGUAGUUGCGGGAAUUCCUCCAUCGCAUACAGCAUGGGGGCAGUAAUGACUCCCUGCAUAGUGAAUACCAUUAUAUAAUAGAUAUAUGCCAUCAAACAGAAAUUGUGAUUUUUGUGUUGAUACAAAAGCUUUAGCCUAAUCAUAUCUCACAUCUAAUUUCAGUAGGCUUACCACAGAGAGAUGAACAACAUAGCUCAUUAUAUUAUAUACUAAUCUAGACAACGAUAAUCUUUUCUACACAUCAACAAACAUGUAGCAGUAAAACAAUUUGUGCUAGAUGACGCAGUAUAUGCAUAUUAACCAAGGAAGAUUUUUUAACACAAGGCAGAAAAAAAAUUAUAGAUCUUCCAUAAGUUCCUAAUGAAGUCUGCCAAAACUAUUAUGAUAUCAUAUUGACUUAAAGAAAGAUAAAUGUAUAUUUCAGAUGACAAAUAUGAUUACAUUUUGAGUCACUGCAAAGUAAAAAGAAUGAAAAAACUUGGGUUGUUAUUCUCACAUGGCGAAUAUCAGACAAUGAACCCUUCCCAAGGGAUGCAGAGGUGCCGGUGAAAUCAAGAACAUCAUCAAUUAACUGGAAGGCUAGACCCUGCAUAGCACCAAGUUAGCUAAGCUGUCGCCAAGUUUACAGAAUUAGCUUGUAAGGAAAUGAAUUCAAGAAAAGGAAUGGGUAAUGCAAAGAUGUUUUACAAACCAGGUUUCGACCAUAUUCGUAUGCAAGCACCGAGACCUCAGCUGUGUGCCCUGCAAGAAUAGCAACAGCCUUGCAACUAUUUGAUAUCAAUGAUGCCGUUUUGUAGUAUGUCUUUUGCAGGUAGUACUCCAUGCUGCAUUUGUAAGAAUCCAUGUCAGAAUUUGCUAAUAAAGACAUCGACAAAUGGACAGAACAGAGUAAAACAAAAGUAAAAAAAAAAUGUGCAAGAAUUUCACACUGCAACUCUUUGCAUAAUUUUUUUGAUCUCACUAACAACUAAGACCAUGAUAGAGAGAACACAUUAAACCUUCGUCGUUGCUCUCUGCUUGUAGAGAUCUGCAUAGUUUCACCAGUAACUAGAUGUUCUACAGCAGUUGCCAUUAGAGAAACCACCUGCACAGGCAAGGUAGAAACCAGUUGGUGGUGCUAGACAACUUGCAAAUGGGCACGGUAACCACAAGGAUAGAUCUAGAAUUACAGCACAAGAUAAGCAUGGUUAUGCUACAGAAGAAUACCAAGGAUAUAGAAUUUAAGAUCAGAACAAGUGCAUGAAUGAGAUCCAUGAAUUGAGUCUAAUGGCAUCCAUAGAAGCAACUGAUAUAGCAUAUAACAACUGUAAUUUCCCUUCAGAUCAGAAGAUCAAAUAAACUAAGCAAAUUGCCUAUUCUUGAAGAUUGCUAAAAACAAAUGAAUAAGACAUUCCAAUUUACCUCUGUAUUCCCGAGUGCUGCAAGUGCCACACAUGCUCUAGACAGCAGGAAGUCACCAGCCAACACAGAAAGCUGCAGACAGAACAUUCGAUCAAUACUGAUGUCAGGCAAUCUCAACUGUAGAAAACUCUCCAGUUUAGAAAUAGAGAACCACAGAGAAAGCAGUUUUGAGAACACAUAUCUUAACACUGCUGCCUUAACAAAAAGAAUGGUGCUUUUGCUAUUCUAUAACUUUAAGAUGAGAGCGCCAGCUAAUUUAAUGCUUAUCAAAAUAUUUGGAUUUCUAAAUAUCCUAACUUCAUAUUAACCUGGAACCAAAUGUAGAAGCUUUUAUUUGCCUGCUAGAGCACGAAUGUAUACCAGUUCACUGGAAGCUAAAACUUUUCAUUUGGACUUCAAACUAUUCAAGUAGUUAGCCUCAAUGCACGGGAGUGAUACAGUUAGUAUAAUGCACGUGUGAAUACCUUGUUCCCCAUGAUGAGAUUCAAUGAACUGACGCCACGCCUAGUAUCAGCAUCAUCAAGAACAUCAUCAUGCAGAAGGCUUGCAACCUGCAGCAGAUAAAAAGAUUGAGGAAAAAAUAGAAUAGCAAUGUGUCGUUCUGAAGGACAGCCACAAAACUAACAUGAAUCAUUUCAGUUAUCUCUGCAAUGUUCUGUUGCCGUGUGCGGAGUUUAUCUGCCAAUAUACUGAGAACUCCGCCUUCUGUUGAUUCUGACAAAGGGAAUUUCAGAGCUGAUGCCAUGAGCAACAAUACCUGCCAAUACAAAUUAGAGCAUUAGAGACACAAAAGAUCAGGAAGAGAAGAGGCAACAACCAAGAAUAAAUGACAAUGUAGUCAUUCGUUCAAAAAAUAAUCCAGAAAUUGAGGAGUUACCGUAGGUCGGAAUCUUUUUCCCUCUGCUCCCACCUUGAAAAAGUACUCGGCUGCUGAUGCCAGUUUGGGGACCUGGAAAUGUAAUUUUGAAACACCUUAGGGGUGAGAGAAUGGAUUUUUUGGCAAUCGCUAGAUCAAUGAAGCAUCAAAUCAUCUUUACUACCAGUAUCCCACAGGAGUACUACAAAGAUGACUGGAUGAGUUUUGGUGAACAGGAUUAACUGCUUACUGACCUCAGCAGCCACCAUUGAUCGUAACCUAUUUGCAAGAAGUGAUAGCUCAUCGGCGACCAAUUCAAAUGGAUCUUGCUGUUCCUGAGAACACGAGAAAACUAAUACACUUCAGACUAUCUUACAAUCAAGAAAUAACAAAUACAUUAUAUUGUCCUUCACUAGCUUUCACAUUUCAAACAAAAUAAAAAAACUGAGGAAUAUAUUCAGAACAGGUUAAGAUAAGAUAAUCUUUGAUUCAUUUCAAAACAACAUCAAAGCAUUAUUGUCUUUCUUUUAAGUCCAUGCAACAUGAUGGUAAAUUGCCAAAGGCAAGAGACUUGGUCCCUGGAAACAUCAAAUAAGACAGUUUACAUGAUGAAAAGGAAAUCAAUUUGCACUGUUCAAGUUUCAGAUGAUCUACAGAGCAUACUGUGUUGUUUGUCGUAUUAGUUUAGUCAAACUAGGAACAGUAUCCUAGUACCUGGCUGCAUAUUAACAACUGACAGACAUUUUAUCCUUUUUGUUGAUCUGGAGAUGGAGGAGCAACAUUUCUUCAAAAAGGGAGCAUAUUGGGUCCAUGACAAUCUUUAUCGAAGCAUGUUCAUAUGAUACUAAUGUGCAGAGGUAGCAUCCAAGAUAGGCUAACGAUGAGAAGCCAUCGAGUGACAGUGCAUUAGAAAAAGGAUACCCACAGAGCUACAGACAAGAGAUGUAAUAGUAACAAGCCGCAGUCAACUGAAUAAUGUGACAGCCCAGUGACUUACGUUCUGCAUUCUGCAUUUAUACGUCGACCAUCAUUUCAUACUUUAUUUGUUAAUUAUUAUGACCUACCCUAACCCUUUUAUCAAAAUCAAAAGAAAGAAAAAGCCACAAAGUGAUCAUUUCACGCUUAAUGAGCAGCCCAAAACGAAUGAUUACAAAGAUAAGGCCUCAAGUACCUGAGCUCUUGAAGCCCCAUCCUGGCGAACCUGGUAUUGGGCAUCAUGCAACCAUCUGGAGCUCACGAGAGCAGCUCCUCUGCAACCAACCACCUACUAAACGAUACAAAACGUACAGAGCCUGUAUCAGCACAACGGAAAACCCAGACGUCUCCCAUACCACGUACAAUACGGCCACAUAUGAAGGACCGGUUGGUAUCCCCUGUGACUAACGGGGCUAGGAAGCGUAUUAAACAGGGCAAACUAGCGCGAAUGCGAUCACUAGCAGGAGCGCGACCCCCGCACAGUUUCUAACGGGGCGCGGCAUUAACGCAAACACAUAGCGGGCGGUGCCUGGCAGCUCAGCCGCCAGCCAGCGCCAUCCAGCAGGGCACCGGUGGCAGAGGGUAAGGUACGGGAGGGGAACGGGGGAGUGGACCUUGCUCCGAAUCUGAGAGGCGAGGGGCAUGUGGUGCCGCCCCAGGAGGCCAGUGCUAGCGGCGGCCGACGAGGUGGGCAGGAGCCUCUGCGCCUGGGCCGCACCGCCGCCGCCGCCGCUGGUCGCGGCCAGCGCGGCGACGCGGCGCGCGAGAGCCCACCGCCACGACAUGCUUCGGUCGCUCCCGAGAUCGGGGGAGGGAGGGAGGGAGAUGAGCUUGGAGAAAAAGUCAGAGACGAAAGGGAGGGCGGCGGCGGCCGCUCGGUUUGGGGGCCUUGGAACGGAGGCGCCACCCCACCCCACCCGUGGCGUAGAGGAGAGUUACGUGGAUGCGCCCGUUCUGCCACGUCUGGUGGUGGAAUGCGCCUGCACGCAAAGGCCCAAGCCCACGAGGGGACUUUUACACAUGUUUUUCCUACUACUUUUGGUAUAUGGUAUAAGGCCUUGUUUAGUUUCUAAAAAAUUUUGCAAAAUUUUUUAGAUUCUCCGUCACAUCGAAUCUUUAGACGCAUGCAUGGAGUAUUAAAUAUAGAUAAAAAUAAAAACUAAUUGCACAGUUUGGUCGAAAUUGACGAGACGAAUCUUUUAAGCCUAGUUAGUCCAUGAUUUGACAAUUUUUGUCAAAUACAAACGAAAGUGCUACAGUGUCGAUUUUGCAAAAUUUUUUGGAACUAAACAAGGCCUAAAUUUGCAACUUUGGUAAGUUUGUUUUUUUUUAUAUACCUUGAGCGGUUUUGUCACACAAUCACACCCAUGUCACGCGCCAAAGAUGUUAAUUGGACUUAUUCGAUUUGAUAGUUUAGGUAAUUGGACUUAUUUGAUUUGAUAGUUUAGACUAUCUCUACCAAGGGCGUGUUUGAUACGAGCCAAAAUCCUUUAGCCAUGCUCUUCAGCUACAACUUACCUUGUUUGAUUCACUUGGCUUAGUUUUCAGCCAGAUGUGUGACAUACAAAUUCCCUUCACUCUCUUGGCUCCCAAAAAAUGCAAUGAAGGUCCAUUUCAAGGCGGCCAAGCUCACAUGAGCGCGUAGUAGCUCAAGAUGGCAACGGCUACCUGAAACUCGAGUACCCGACGGGUUUUACCCGAUAAAGAGACAGGUAUGAGAUGAAUUUUCUACCGUGGGUACGUUAUUGGGCAAAAUCCUAUACUCAUCGGGUAUGGGUGUGGGUGUAUACUACCCAUACCCGCCUACCCGCGGGUAAAAGAUACCUACCAAAAUAACUAGCCACCCUUGUUAUUUUAGCCUAUGUAAUCUAUGAAUUUGGUCUAAAUCCAACUAAACUCUCCUAGUAUAUAUAUGAAUUUGAUGUUAUUAUAUGAAUAUUAGUUUGUAACUUGUUGGAGGCUUAGAAUGAUUUAUUUUUGCGCGUGAAUGUCUAAUGUUUAUAUGUAAUUUUCGGGUAUACUAUCGCAUGCGGGUUACCCGUCGGGUAGAAUUUAACCGCGGGUACGGGUUUGGGAGCAUUUUUCUACCCGUGUACGGGUACGGGUAACCCGACGGGUAAAAUUUAGACUUAGCAGGUGAAAGCCCUAGUUUGGUUUUGGAUAAUUGAUGAAACCCUAGUACUAACCUCUAUGCUGAGUAUGUGUAGACUUAAUGAGGUUGGUACAUGCCAAGUGAUGGAGCAAGAGAUGAUCAUGGUGAUGAUGGUGAUGACCAUAAGAUGAUCAAGUGCUCAACUUGAAAAAGAAGAAAGAGAAAAACAAAACCCUAUGGAGAUCAAGGCAAAGGUAUUGCUUAGGGUUUUGGUUUUGGUGAUCAAGACACCAUAGAGGGUGUGAUCACAUUUGGGAUAGAUAGCCGUACUAUAAAGAGGGGAAUUCUUUGGCUAAGCGGUUAUCAAGUGCCACUAGAUGUCAUUGUUCUUGUGCAUGCAUUUAGAACCUAGUGAGCUAACUUAACUCCUUCGAAGAAAAUGCUUGUGAAAAUGCUAACACACGUGCACAUGUUGGUUUACACAUUGUGGUGUUGGCACACUUUGAGAAGGAGGUGGAGUUUGAAGGGUAGUGAGAGGAUGGGUUCCUCUCUCCCUCCCGCAGAGCUUGCGAGGCGGGAUUCGGUGCUUUUUGAGAAAAUAAAGUGCUUAUUUUCUAUUGCGCCGGUGGGAAAGUUGGAGAAGUCGCGGUGAGAAACACUCACCGGACGCUGGCCCAGAAGCACCGGACGUUGUGCCUGUGCGUCCGGUGUGUAGGCAGCCUGGCUCAGUUAGGGUUAGGCACCGGACGCUAGGCACCGAACGUAGUUUGGAGCGUCCGGUGGUGUGAGUCCGGUGUCCUGAGCGUUUUGCAGAGCUCUUUGAGUUUAAGUUCGGUGGUGUGCGUCCGGUGACCUCACGAACUUACAGACCUCUCUGUGUUUAAGACCGGUGUGCACCGGAUGCGUCCGGUGCCAACUUAGGAGCGUCUGGUGCUCUACAUGUUACCGUUAGACUCUGACACGUGGCUGACUUUGGAGCACCGAACGCAGGUGUUGAGCGUCCGGUGACCCCGCAGUUUGCCCAGUGAAAGAUCCAACGACUCUAUUUGUUUGAGGGGCUAUAAAUACGUGUUGGCCGGCUUGGGACUUACCCUCUUAGCAUUCUAACAUACUUGACAUCCUUGUGAGCCUAAGCAAACACCUCCCACUCAUCUCCUUCUUAGAUUAUUCAUCUUUGUGAGAUUGGGAGUGAUUCCAAGUGCAUUAGCUUGAGUGAUUGCAUCUAGUGGCACUUGGGGAUCGUUCUAGCUACGGUUUUCUUGUUACUCUUGGUGGUUGCCGCCACCUAGACGGCUUGGAGCAGCGGAGGAGCUUUGGCACGAGUUGGUGAUUGUUCGUGGCCAUCUCCCGGUGAUUGUGAGGGGUCUUGUACCUUUCCCGGCAGAGAGCCAAAAGGUAACUCUAGUAAAGUGCUCGUGUCAUUGAGUUACCUCACUUGUGGGUAGGUUCUUGUGGUGUCCUAGUGAGGACGAGGUUCGUGCUACACCUCUUAGCCACCGAACCACCAAGUGUUGGUCGACACAACGGGGACGUAGCGUGCCGGCAAGCACGUGAACCUCGGGAGAAAAAUUGAUGUCUCAAUUGUGCUCGAUUGGUAUUCUCCCAGUGCUUGAUUGUUUAUAUUGGUGAUUGGUUCAUCCCCUACAUGGCGGUAUAAAUAUCUCAUCCUAUCUCUACUUACCGCAAACUAGUGUAAUUAGUUUAGUUGCUUACUUUGCCUUGUGUAGCUUAGUACACUAGUGUAACUUGUAGAGACCUAGUUCUUGUGUGCAUAGUGUUUGUAGCAACUAGAAUUAUUGGGUAGGUGGCUUGCAAACAUCCCUUUAGAGCUAGAGCAAAAGGCUUCGCUUUGUUAUUUACUAACCACUUGCUCUAGUGAGUUUGUAGAAUUUUUAAAUAGGAUAUUCACCCCCUCUCUAGCCAUAUUAGGACCUUUCAGCAGGUGCGAGUACGGGUGGCCACUAUCCAUCGGGUACGUACCCGUUGCCAUCUUGAGUAGAAGCUCGCGUGAGCGCUGGAGCAAGUGCUCUGGUCACCUUCGCAGCUCGCCACUCUUGCAAACAAACGCGUCCUCCAUAGAGGGAACAGGUAAAACAAACAUGGUAUUUGUACCAUCUAAAUCUGGACGUGGCUGGCUAGAGCCUGGCUCAUGAGCCUAGCCUCCCACAACUCAGGAAUCAAACGUGUCCCAAGUGACCAUAAGGGCACCCAAACCCAAAAAUAGGUAGUAGGAGACCCAAACCGACAUCCAACAGAGUAUCUAUACAGGAGAUACAUUUUGCGUUGUCUAAGAGUUACAAUCCAAAAAUGAGUAUCUUCUCUCCUAGAAACUCAUUUGUAGAAAUGAUUCCUUUUGGGUCUUGUUGUUGGAGAAUAUAUCGAAUGGGUAUUGAACCCUUUGCCUGUAGCGCUAUCUAAAGUUGAAUGGGGUCUUCUAUUUUGGAUGUUGUUGUUGGAGAUAGUCUUAGGAGGUAGAUAUAUUUUCCUGCAAAAUUAUACAAUUAUAAAUAUCCUAAAAUCUGGUUUAGUUUUAGAAAAAUCACUUUAAGCUUAAAAAAAAUUAUGAAACCGGUUUCGUAGUUUUUAUUAAAUCAUGCUCAAUGUUAUGGUGCCAAAACUGAAACUAUUUUAUUUUUCUAUGGACUUUAUUUUGCUUUUAUUUGCUAGUAGAUGCUCUCAACGACAACACAUAAUGAUGUAACUAUAUUCGAGAAAAAACACACAAUGAUGUAACUAGAUCAUACUUGGUCCUGUUUAGGUCUUGAUUGGUACAAGUGCAGGAAGAAGCGUUUUCUUGAGAAGCUAUGCACCUGCACGAAUAGAGCAAAAAAAAAAAAACAAUGGUCAAGAGGAGAAGCGUGGCUAGAAAAAAGUUGCAAAUACGUGGCUAUGAACACAAGUGUCCCGAACUAUUGUAAAAGCCCAAUCUACCUCUCGCGCGUGGUGCCAUAUAAAUCCAUGAUGUUAGCGAAAACUGCUCCGAAGGUAAACCAUGCGGUUUUAAAAGUUAGAGGAAUGUCAAAAAUAUGACUUUCUAAUUAAGGGGGGAAAAUUUAGAGUUUCACAAUAUUCUUUUAACAGAAACUUUUGCAAUAGUUGAGGAAAGUCACAUGUACUUUCCCCCCAGCAAAAAUACAAUUAAGAUGGGCUAUGCAGCCCAUCAUCCUUGUCCCACUGGGCUGCAGCAAAGUCAGGUCGCGUCUAUCAGACCCAUAACAUUAACGUCUCUGCAGUAUACUCACUUUGUUGACCCGAGAAGAAAUCUUGUCGUCAGCUAUCUCGCUGAAGAGCCCAAUAUAUAUAGCUUAAUAUAUAACGAGCCGGCCCAUUUAUAGAUCAGUUAUUGCACAGUGUUUCGUCAACCGCGAGAAGGCUUUGGAACAGGCACAGAGUCCCGCCACCGUCUUCUCGAUUUGGGCCCGUAACGUCCUUCUGGUCCCAUGCAUAUCCCAGAGCCUUUUACCUGUAUGCCAUUACGAAAGAUUGACCAAAUCAGGAGGCUAUUAAAAAGUUGUUUCGCACCGCUGUGCUCAACUUCAUCUUCCGCUAUACCUGUGUGCCAUUCCGUCUCCACUCCGUUCGUUUUUUUCCGUUUAAGGCAGUGGCGGAGCUCAAGCGAAAUUUUAGGUGAGGCGCGAACACAUGUGAUCGUAGGCAUAUUUUUAUUCAUAUCACAUAAUGAGAGUUUAAGUGCCUAAUAAACGACAAAUUUAAAACUAAAGGAGUUUUAGAAUCCCCAUAAGAGUGUUGAUGUUUAUCAGUUGUCUCUCGGCCAGCCCUCACUUACUGCACGUUCCUUCGCUCUCGGUCCUUAUGCUAGAGUCAAGAAACAACGCUACACACACAGCAGAUUAGGAAGAAGAAGCUGGGGGUAGGGAGCCACACCGGGGGCAGCUGCCCCAGUGUGCCUAAUGGGGAGCUCCACCUCUGGUUUAAGGGGUCUGACACGUGGAUUCCGGGUAGCAUAAUAUCCUUCUUACCCUUCUUCUAGUAGGAGCGAGGGCUUCUUGCCCUUCCAGUCACGGUUGUGGUUAUGUAUUUUCGUAGUGUGAUCCCAGGCAUACAAACGUGCAGUAUUGGCUGCUAGUGUUGCUCGUGUAAGUGUAGAUCUGAUCUGAUUCGUGUGCUGAUGCAGUCUAUGCUCCUCUCGUCGCCUUGCUGUCCACGUCACGAUCACACCAAGCAUACAUGACUCCAUAUCCCAAGUCGCGCGUCACGAAAACGUUGCGGUCGAACCGUGUCCGUGUGCACGUGAACUUCACGCGCGCCAAGCAUGCGUGAUGCGUCGUCGUCUCCAACGAUCGAGCCCCGCGACACGUAAGGCCGGCGUGCUGUCAGCUCGGCCGCCCCCGCGCGCCUCCUGACCGCCGGAGUCCAGACAGCUGCACGGCUCCGUGCGCUCCGCCGCUGCCAGCCUUAUCCGCUCCGCUGCGGCCAGCUGCAUGCGGCGGGCGACCGAAGCGGAGCGGAUGCCGUGAGAAGGCAGGCACACGCCGACGUGCGGCGUCUUUCUGCCUGAGACGGCGACCUCGCUCGUCGCCGCUGUAAUAAAUGCGAUCGAGGGUCCGUGGCCCGACGUCACGUCUGUCUGGUCUGAUCCCGUCGUCUCAAGACCAAGCAAGAGGCAAGCAGGGAGCGCCCAGCGAGACCGGCCGGGAAACCAAGAAUUGAUAUGAUCAGGGUAGCGUUCAGCAACAAGAGACCUGGAGGCCGGAAACCACACAAAGCAUAUAUAUAUAUAUGGCGUUUGGACAAAGAGCGUUGCCCUGGCUGUUGCGGCACUCUGCACGGCCGUGGAAAGGGAUCUCGAUAUAUCUUGGUUGAUUGGGAUCGAUGUGCAUGCCUGACUGAACAUAUAUAGAUCCUGAUCGAUUUCUAAUCUGCCUGACUGAACAUGCAUGCAGAUAAGUUCAUUAUUACUCGGUGACACGACUACUAGUCUCUUUGACCGCUUCUCUCAUCUCGCACGCACACAGUUGAAUGCACUGCUCCACCGAUUCCCGGCAUGUCAGUCUGAUUGAGUACAUGCAUAUACAUACCACGGGUCACCAUGCAUGCAUGCCCCGCUGCAAACGCUACUGCGAUGCAAGCUGACAGCGAAGUGGAAACCACCACCCACCACCAUUACUUCUUAAUUUUCCAAGCAGAUUAUUGCCCUCGAUCGGCCGCCGAUAGGCGAUAUCAUGCAAGCCACACGCUACAAGAAUCAUCGCCGGGGACGAAACCGAGCGCGAGCGCGAGCGCGGCUAUAAAACGCCGGCCCGGUCGCUCCUCCAUCGACAAGCAGGUAGCUAGCUAUAUAUCUGCUCUAAUACUAGGAUGCGCUCAUCAGCUCCUGUGCGUGCCGCCGUCGUCCAACAGGUUUCACUAGUGCCGAGUGCCGAGUAGAGCUUGCACGUACAGAGCAUGGCGAGCAUCUUCUUCUCCGAGGUCGCGCCGUGGCAGCUCGUCCCCGCCGCCGCCGUCGCCCCGCCGAGGUCGGCCAAGCUCGACACCAUCGUCGAGGACGAGGAGGACGACGUCUCCGGCGUCAGCAUGGCGCACGACGCCGCCGUUGCCGGGUGCUGCUUCCAGAGUGGUGGGGCUUCUUCUUCGUCGUCGUCAGCUUCGGUGGCGGGCGGCGGCUACUCCUGAACCGGCCGGCCUCUACGGCGCGGCGGCUGGCGCGCACCAGAGUCAUAUUGUUGAGGUGAAAUUAUCGUGUGUGCGCUCGGGAUAAAUAUAAAUAAAUAAAGAAGAAAGUUUAUGUAUGUAUGUAUGUAUGUAUGUAUGUAUGUAUGUAUGUAUGUAUGUAUGUAUGUAUGUAUGUGUCCCUAGCAAUUAUAUUUAGACGUUGCAAAAGGGCAUGACACGUCGGUUUGUGUAACUAUAUAUAGUUUACUAUGUUGUUGACGAAGUGACUCUCACGAGAGUUCAUGCAUUCCAUGUAAUUGUCUUGGUGGUUGUGUGCAUAUACUUAGUUUACCAUUGUCACUACUUUGUUGGAACUUUUUUUUUUUGCUACGUACUUACCGACCUUUAUAAAACCAUACUUUUUACUAGGAUGUACACUUAAGGUUUAAUUAUUCUUGUAGCAUGCUCUAACCUUACUACUCUUAAACCAAAGUAGUUUUACAACCUAGCUAGAGUCAAUCAUAUCAACUAGUCUAUAGCUAAUUUAGAAAAGUUAAAGUCAAGCCGCAAGCAAAAGUGCUAAGCAUAGAGAUGACAAACUCUUGGAGAAAUCACAACCACGUUCAUGUUGGAGUUCCACUGAGAUACACUCUAGGUCUUCAAAUCUCUCGCGGAGUCACAAUCACCAUUGGAUUUCCCACAUAAGAAAUCCACCAACAAAAAAGGCUAGUGUCAUGCGUUAGUAAGUCUCGCCAUCCCCAUCUGGCCCUUUUGAUCACCUUGACAUCGUGCACACUACAAAACUUCUCAACAUAAGAAAGGGGUCUCCUUGUCCCCCACAUACCGAUACGAUGCCUCUCCGUAGCUGGAACGGAGGAUCACCACUUGAGAGGCUACCAUGCCGUCACGAAAGAUCAUGAAGACUCCAAUAACUCACGAAGAUAUAAGGGUGCAACAACCAGAUCUCUCAAAACUCUCAAGCUCUGUGGUUUAAACCACUACUACAGAAUAGAUUUUCAGCAACGAGAGAACUUUUGGACAAAGGAGGCUCAAUCAUGAGCUGCAUCUAUAUAUAGUGCCUAGCAAAGGAAGCCAACAUAAAUUAGACCAUGUGAUAGAUGGGUUCAGAGUCUAAUCUCAACAUAAAUUAGAACUCAAUACACGACUACUGGAUAAGUUUUUGAGCUUUCUAUGCUACGAGUUAAAUGUGUCCAGGCUUUCAAGAGCAGUCGUGGUAGAUAUAUACCUUUUUGAUUUUUCAGGAAAUCUAACUGAACCGCCUUUAUUUUGUUCGACGAAUGAAGAAAGCAAAUAAAGAGAAGCCUUGAAGCCUGGCGAGCCAUUUGGUAGCGCUCCUUCGAGCGGAUUCUAUAUGAGAACUACUCCUUCUCAGCUAAACAACAAAAAUCCGCAGAUUCUGGUAGAGUGCAGCAAGAAUCACUUUUUCAUUUACACUGAAAGAUGAGAGCUAAAAAAACCUGCUCCUCAUUGCUCCCUAUUCAAUCCCUGCAAAAAUCACAACAGGAUCAAUUCUCGCAUGCGCACAAUCAAAGUCAACUAAAAUCGCUCCAAUAAAGAAUCAAGGAGUUGAUCUAAGAAUCAGGGGUGAAACUGUACCAAAUACUAGGCACUAAAAUUUAGUACGUAUCCACUUGUAGUUGUUUCCUUCAUCAACCUGACAUGCAUGGCAUGUAACACUUUAAUCCCUUCAUUUCGAAACAUCACUGCAAACAAAUUCUCAUCUUUGAGUUAAAAGGCUUCAUAAUUUAAUUAAGUUGAUACUUCUGGAGUUUGAUAUAAAAUGUUCACUUAUAUAAUGUAAAGUAAAAAACAAAAAAGGUUUUUCAUUUCUCGAAACAAGUACAAUACUCACUAAGGCCUUGUUUGGCUCCACACGAACCAUUCCUGCCCUUACACAGUUCCGGGCUAGGAUCAAGUGGAUCUAGUUUCUGCACUCAUUCCUCCACUUGGGCCAGGAACCGAUCCGGAUGGUAGAAGGUCCGGUUUCAUUCUAGACCAUGGAGACUAGAAAAAAAAAGUUAGUUUUUGUUUCGGGUCAGUUUUCGUUCCAGGCCAGCCCAAAACGAAUAUACAUUUUAGUUGCUAUCUAGAUUGAAAACAGACUACAAUAUACUGCAGUAAUCCACCUAGAAUGAGUCCGGAAACAGGUUGAUCUGACGAACAAGGCCUAAGGCCUCGCUCGGUUUUAUGGGAAUGAUUCCCAGCCAUAGACUUCAUUCGCAAUUUUAAACUAAACUGGUCGGGAACUGUUCCACAUCGUUCCCAGCACAUUCCGACCUAACCGAACAAGGCCUAACUGAGGUUUCAGUUCCGGGUGUUAAUUAAUUAAUUAAUUAAUCAAAUAUUGCAGCAUAGUACAAGGAACAGUUGCAAAAUGACACGAAACAAUUCGACGACAAGAAGCAGGGCCAGUGCCCAGUGAUGACACAUAUCUUGUUUGUUCAAAAGAAAAAAAAAAGUGAUGACAAAUACGGAGGAGAGCUCGCACAAUCUACUCUGAAGAACUACAUCGGCCGUCAAUCUCAGUACUCAUCACUACUCAGACGACGACGUGGAGUCGUCCUCAAGCUGGCGAUGGAUCCCGCCAGCGGCGCCGCGGAUCGGAGGCGGCCAUGGCCUUGUUCUUGCGGCCUUCCAGGAACCACUGGAGCGACUUCUUCAGCGACAGGCCUGGCCCGGCGCCACCGUCGUCGCCCCCUCUCUUGGCCUCCUCCUCCACGGCCCUUUGCGCCGCCAACAGAAUCGCUCUCGCCUGCUCCUCGGUGGUCUUCUCCGGCGCCGGUGGCAUGUCCUCGCCGAUGGUUGCCGCCGCAACGCCCCUCUUCAUGUUUGGUUCGCUUCGGCCUCCUUGGUCGAUCGUCGCUCGAUCUCCCUUACCAACGCCUCAGAAAGAAAGCAAAAAUGUGGUGGAAUGGAAGAACUGCAACAAGUGAUGAAACGAUGGGAGAGCCGGCUGCCGGCCGGCGUGCUCUUUAAACCCGGCGGGUCUCCCACUUGGGUUGGCAUGCACGCACGUGCGCAAUAUUGCUCGAUCUCUCCUAUGUUUGGUGAGCUCGUAUCUUGUUUUGCAUGGUUUAUGAUUACCACACUUGCCACCUGCCGAUUUUGGCAAGUCCUGUUUUGUCAGCUCGGGACCCACAUACUCAAAGCAGAAAUUAGCUAGCCUGGCCUGGGACUAAACUGCGUGCUGGCUUGCCAAAUCACAAGUUAGAGCGAGCGAGAGCAUGAGGAGCACGUGUUGAAAAAGAUUUAGGAGCGUGCGUGUCAGUGACUCAGGGUUAGUGGUGGCUCUACUAUCUGUAUUAAUUAUUACACUAGAUUUUGGUGACCGAUACCGUGUGGGAAGCGCGGAGAGCACCCUCUCAAAUUGAAAUCAGAUUUUGGUGAUCCACAUAUAUCUAACUAUAGCUUGCUAUAGCUAGCGCAGCAUGUGUAUCUCUAGACGUCAGCAAAGAUUCUAGUAGCAAUGAAUUUGAGAUCGUGCGAGAUAUAUUUGGGGGCCGGAGUCUCACCGAUUUUAUUUUAUUAACUACAAGAAUGCUCCACAUGUUAUUACGGACGAUUUGAAAUACUCCCUCCGCUUUUUACAUAUUGUAUUAUCCUUGUCUUAAUAAGCCAAACAUUUAUAUCUUUGAUUAUCAUUUUUUUUCAAAAAAGGUUAAUGACACAAAAUAUAUCUAUAUAUUUUUAUUCACUACAAGAAAUAAUUUCAUAAUAUAUAAUUUAUAUGUUGAGAAUUAUAGAGAUUCUUUAAAAUGGAUAAUCAAAUUAAUAAUAUUUGACUUAGUACAAAACUAAUAUUACAUAUAAAAAAUGGAUGAAGUAGAAAUUAGAUGACCUACAACUGUUUUAUUUGUAUAAAGGGAUAAACUAUCAUAGAUACUCCCUUCGUCCCCAUAAAAGAGUCAUUCUCACUUCUCAAAUUAUUUCCAACUUUACCAUAUAUAUAUAAUUAUUAAAUUUUUAGUACAUAAUUAAUAUCAUUGGAUAGAUCAUUGAAUAUAUUUUUCAUAAUAAACUUAUUUGGAGAUACAAAUGUUGCUAAUAUUUUCUACAAAUCUAAUCAAACUUAACAAAGUUCGACCAACAUGAAUUCCAUAGCGACUCUUUUUAUGGGACGGAGGGAGUAGAUGAUAUGGCUCACUGAGUGGAAAAGUAAAUGCACAUUGGUGGAUCAUGUGACUUGAUAACAUGAAUAGCUUGCAUUAACAUAUAACUAUAUUAGAAUUGUAUGCUAGUGAGCUGUUUAGGUAGAUAGCAGACAUGCAAAUAUGCUAGUGACCAAAUUUUCUUAAGUUUAACUAUUAGGUUUCUAGAAAAUAUGAAUAAUAUAUCUAAAUAAUUUUGUUAUAAAAAUAGAUCCAACAAUUUAUCUAAUAAUACUAAUUAUGUACAGUAUACUAAUAUGAAAAUAGACAGACUUGAGCCCAUUCUAUUAUACAAUGAUACCAUAGAGAUAAAAACUACAAUGGUCAUGGAGAUAUACAGGAAAAUCAAUACACUCUUGUAAGAAAGACACGUUUAACAAAUACCGACUGAAGUGCUAUUAGAAGAAAUCCACCUUGGUCCUAUGUUGAGAGAAAUCUUCAUACAAGAUGGACAUCCUUUAGAAAGAGUGCCAAAUUAACAAAAAUAAGUAGGGAUGCAUACAUAUAUUUAGUUGUGAUUAGCCUCUUGUCGAAAAAAAAAGUUUUUUUUGCUAAUGUGCAUCUUCUAAAAUCUUCAGUCUUCCCCUUACUCUCCUGUAUAUGUGCUCAUUUAGACUAUCGAAUAGCUAGAAUCAUGCAACAUUUUUCAACAAAAUCCCAUCUAUCCUAUAUUCCUAUAACAAAGUUUAUAUGUUACUACAUAAAGGUUGCUAUAGGCCAAAAGAAAUAAAGAAAGAAGAAGAAGCAGCAAUUAACGAUAACGACCACACCAACUUCCACAUGUAAUUCAGUGCAACCAAAUUUUCUCCUUGCGGAAUAAUAACAUGAUAACAAUCACCAAUAACGAGUUGGACCAGAGCUAAUAAAGGUUACCAGUGUGCACAGGGAAAAAAUAUCAAAUGUGCACUGAAGCAAAUAUUACAAAUAUCAUCCAGUAACUAUGUUGAUAGAUUUCAUCUCACGAAAAGCCAGAAUGACACCACAUAUUAGCCUUUGUGUGUUCAAGGCACAAGGCACAAGCUUAAAUAGAACCAAACCAAAUAACCAAAGGGGACCUAAUCACCUAAAUACAACCAGCAGUUGUUCCAAUGAGCAUCCUAUAACUAAAAUAACAUUGAACACAGUUUCCAAAUCGAAUAGGUACAAACGGUUCAACUUGAUAUUACUCAUUACCAUAACUGUCAAGAUUUACAGCAAAAUCAUGAAAUUUAAAAAGUUCAGCCUUGAUGGUGUAGCAUAACUAACUAUUCCUCCUAAAUAACAUGCACUUGUAACAUACACAACACCCAAAGCCAACAUGCUACAGCCUACUCGACCUUUCCCUUCCCCUUGGCUUCAUCAUCACUCACUUGAGAGGAUGCUGUUGUUGGCUGGUUGAAACUCGCUUUCGCGUUCGCCAGGAAGGCAGGAUCCGGCUGUGGCUCCUGGUGUGGAGUCUCCUUCAUCGCCGUGAAUAUGUAAAAUCCGAUCACCAGAUUAACUGAUAUCACCGCCAGAAACCCGCUGGCGAGUGUCUGUGCCGAGGAUGACAUCUGACUCACACCUGAAAAACAAGGAAAAAAAAUUAUGUACUCAAUCUGAAGUUUCUGAACAUAUAGUAGAUGGAAUACAGUAAUGAGAACAGGAACAGCAGCCGAACCUACCUGGGAACACCUGGUAGUAGAACCCAUACAUGAUCGCGACGGGGGCCAUCCACAUCAACAUGGAUGUGACGGCGAACUUUGUGAUCACUCCUGACAUUGCUCGCUCUUCCUGAUUGAUGGGGAUGCUGAAAUCAACGUACAGAUAUCCGCAGUUCCGUCAGAGCGCAGCAAACAGAGGAGUAAACUGCUUUUAGCGCACGCACGCGCGCACACAUAAAGCAAGCAAGCAAGCAACUCAUGGGUGAAGUGUGUGGAUGGAUCGGAGCGUACAUCUCAGCCAGAAAGAUUUGGAGUAGAUCAUUCGCGGCAAAGAAGGGAUCUCGCGAAUCAGGCUGAGGCUGGAGGAUUUCUUACCAGUGAAGACGAAGUCAGUUCAGAUUCCCGAUUGGGUCUCCGCUCAACGCUGGUCCAGUAGAGGUGAGGGCAGCGACAACGGCUAGGAUCCCGGAAGAACUCCUCCCGGGGCGAGUAGAGUGUGCUCGGUGGCCGGAGGAUGGAGGAGAUUCGACGCCGGGAGACGGAGGAUGAAGCGACGAGAGGAGAGGAGAGGAGCCGUCGAUUGGAUGGGAAUCUGUCUGGUUUCUGCCUGCCACGAGGGGACAGCAGACUGACCACAACAGUGGGCCAGAAGUUUAUUCAUGGGAGGUUGCAAUCUGGGCCGUCUGAUCGGCUUGCCGUUGGACGGCUUUCUCAGGCAACCGUGACAGUUUGCACUCAAGAAAAAAAAAAUAUAAUAAUAAUAAUAGUAGUAGGUGACAUGCGCGACAAAGCGCUUGAACCACGCCCUGGGAGCUUGACGGAGUCCGUAGAGCAACCGUGUCGUGUUAGGAGAUAGACGUCGUUCGGCCGAGCUCGAUCGACGAACCUGGUCGGUUGCUGACUCACGCAAGUUGCCGUGCAUGAACGCGUUUGAGACAUCCAACUAAUGCGCCGGCCAGCCCUUGCUUGCAAUGAGCGUGAGAACGGUGCGGAUGGUGGCUGGCUUGAUCACCGGCGAGAAGGUCUCAGUGAAAUCAAUCUCGGCGUGUUGAUUAAACCCACGAACGACCCACCGAGCCUUGUAGUGCUCGAGAGUGCCUUCGGGAUUCAAUUUAUGCUUGAACACCCACUUCCUAGUGAUCAGCGUGCACCGGGUGGUCGCGGCAUGAGGGAUCAAGUCUGGUUGGCCUAGAGCGCAUCGAACUCGGCUUUCAUCGCAACAUACUAGUGGGGAUCCUCAGCCGAGCGAACACUGCAAGGGAUUGGAGAGAUGGAUCCCGUGGCUGCCAAAGCAUACUUCGGGUUGGGCUUGGUAAUGCCAGCGCGAGCACGGGUGACCAUCGGAUGGCCAGCGGGCGCAGUAGUGGACGAAGUCGCGGUCGACGCAAAUGGUGUCGAAGGAGAGCUCGGUGAUGGAGCACGAUCAUUCGGCAUGGUUGUAGGAGAUGUCGGUGGAGCUGGAACCAGUGGUGACGAAGCUGUCGUGGUCGAUGAUGAAGUAGUGCUGGUCGACGUUGACGGAUGAUGAGCGCCACAAGCUGUGCGCUGCCGACGCGGGUGAAGAGGCAGUGCCGCGACCAUGGACGGCGGAGGGCACGACACAUCGUCGUCGUAGGCGUCACACCGGGAGCCCAAGGAACGUGCGGCAGCGUCAGGGGCGUUGCUGGUGUCACGGAACAGGAAGACGUCUUCGUUGAAGGUGACGUGACGCGAGGUGAUGACGUGUCCGGUGGCGGGGUUGAAGCAGCGGUAGCCCCGGUGAUCAGCCGGGUACUCGAUGAACACGCACAACGUCGAUCGGGCGGUGAGCUUGUGAGGCGAUGUCGCGAUCAGGUUGGGGAAGCACCGGCACCCGAACACCUUGAGCUCGUCAUAAGUGGGUGGAACACCGAAGAGGAGGGUGUAGGGGGUGGUGGUGCCGAUAGCACGACAUGGCCUGUUAAUCAAGUAUACUGCCAUGGCUAGAGCCUCCACCCAGAACGGCAAGGGAGCUGCACUGUGGAUUAAUAAGGUGCGCAAACAAUCGUUAGUAGUGCGAAGAACACGCUCGGCUUUGCCGUUCUGCUGCGACGUAUACGGGCAUGAGAGGCGGAGCUGGAUGCCGUGGGAGGAAAGGAGCAGGCACAUGGCCGAGGAAUCAUAUUCCCCACCGGUCAGUGGGUGUGUACAUAUGAGAUGAAGGAUUUGAUCGUGUGAAAAACGUCAGACUUGUGGAGGGGCACAACCCACAAGUAAUGAGUAUAGUCAUCUAGAAAAACAACAUAGUACUUGAACCUAGAAUGACUGAAUGUCGGUGAAGUCCAAACAUCGGAGUGAACAAGUUGGAAAGGGAAAAACAACUGAGUUACUGAAUCAGAAAAUUGUAAACGGUGAUGCUUGCCCAAACGACAAGAUGAACAUGAGUGAUCAUCAGCUUUAUUACACUGGAAUGAAAAACUCCGUAAAAUCUGAGAGGUGACUGGAAGACCGGGAUGCCCCAGCUGCUGAUGCCACAGGGAUGCCACCGAAGCUGCAGUGAGAGCCUGAUGAUGUUGCUGGCGAAGAGAGUAGAGAUCACCGCGGCUAUCACAUUGGAGCAUCUCCGCCCUGGAAGCUAGAUCCUUGAUGGAAAGACCGGAGGGGUCAAAUUCAAUAGAAACAUUAUUAUGCGUGUGAGGCAUGGAAAUGGAUGGUUGGCCAUGCGCUCCCAAACAAAAUCAACCGAUUCGGAGCUAGCUGCUUCGUGCCAAAAUCUGGCACUAGGGCGCCAGGCGACGCCUGUUUUCCAUCUGCAAGUGAAUGUGAUUGUUCUCCUGCUCAAGCAGCUAGCAGAAGGUAGAGUAGGAACAAAAGGUUUUCCGUGCUGACCUUGUAGGACCUCAUAAGAGGGGAAAAAUACUGUACAUUACCCUAUAAUUAGAACAACCGCAUCAAAUAGUACAUGUGAGCCUAUUGAUUUGGAAAUACAUAACCCCUUUAUCAAUAUAUAGAUGAAGGCAGCUGAUAUAUCAAAGAUGCUUUCUAGUAAUACCAUUUAGAUCCCAAAUUUGGUACAUUUACAAUUCAUAGCUUUGGUAUUACAAAAGCACUGGAAUCUAAUCUAAUCUCCACAACUAAAAACUAUAAAAUGAACCCGUCUACCACACUUAUGGUGAAGCCACAACUCCCAUCCCUUUUAGCCAUGAUAGGAUAUCCCAUCAACCCAGACCCCACUCACUCAUGUAUGCAAAAUUGUUUUAGCGAAUUUAAAAAAGUCAUAACUUUUAAACUGAAGAUAUAAAUUAAAUUCCAAUUGCACCAUUAAAUUUCUCAUAACAAAUUAUUCAAAACAAGAUCACACAUGGAUAUAUUUAGAUAAAAUUUUAUUAAUAAAUAUUUAUCUCUACAACUAAAAAUUAUGGAGAGGACCCGUUCACAACUCCCAUCGCUUUGGUGGUCUUUUUUACUGCUUGAAAACAAGAUCACACAUGGAUAUAUUUAGAUAAAAUUUUAUUAAUGAAUAUUUAUCUUAUAAAGAUAAAAUAUUUUUUUUAUUAAGUAGAGACAAUAUUCUAGGUUCAACAGACAAUGUUCUAUCUUUGUAAAAAAAUGUUAUCAAUUUAGAAGAAUAGUAUUUAGGUUUUAGGUUUAUGAAACUGAUAUUACAAUAUACAUAAAAAUACAUAAAUACAUGACAUAGAUAAAAAUAAUAAAAAAAUCUAGAGUGAAAAGCAUAAGAAAAAGAAUAAAAACACAAAAUGGAGAAAAAUUUAAAUAAUGUCAAAGGGUUACUUUUCAAAUAUCAUAAAUAUAUUUAUAGAAUAUUAACAUCACUAAAUACAUCAUAGAACAUCAUUAAAUAUAUUAUAGAACAUCACAUCUAUUAUAGAUUACAUGUAUACUAAGUGAACACCAUAAGAAACAUCAUAGAACAUCACAUGUAUACUACGUAAACAUGACAUAACACAACAUAGAACACUAAAUAUAUACUACAUAAAUAUCACAUAUAUAUAUAGAAAAUAAAAAUAAAAAAAUAAAUUACUAAUAAAAAAUAUAAAAACAAAAAUAAUUAACAAAUGAUAAAAAGUGCAUAGAGCAAAUAAAAUGAAUAAUUUAAAUAAGGAUAAAAAUAAGAUUAAAAGUAAAUAAAAUAUAAAAUAAGAAUUUCAAGAAACAUAGAAAAUCUGAAAAGAAAAAAGAAAAACAAAUAGAAGCAAGGAAGAACAAUAAAAAUAAAACCAAAAGAAAAAGAAAAUAAAAGGUAAAAUUAAAACAAGAAAAGAAUAAGGAAAGGACAGAAAAUAAAAUAAAUCAAAAAACAAAAAUUGAAAUGAAACCCUAAAAGGAAGAAUAUAGACAGAAAAAAACAAAAUAAUAAAAUAACAAUGAAGAAACAUAAAGUACGUGGAUUUUAAAACCCGUAACAACGUACGGGCAUUAACCUAGUACAUAUAUAUACUACACAAAGACAAACUGCCGCACCGAACCUAACCCCUCCACCAAGUGAAAAUGCUACAAUAAAAUUGUGAUAGAUGUCAACGCCCGCCAAGUGAAGGAUAAGAAGCGAAGAUGCUUGGCGUCUACCCUUAAGUCAACUACAGACCUAAGGCUAACCAGUACGUGUUCCUGGCAUUGGUUCGAUACAUUGUCAGGUUGACUGCACAAGGACCAUCACCAGCUGAAUAUCUUGACAACCCUUGUUCCUGAAUGCCAGCUUCAACUUGGUGGAUCGCUGUAAGAUGUUUCUUUUACAACUUGUGUGCUGUCCUAUGGGCCGAACCUUGUAAUAAUUAGCCUGAUUCUACCUAUUGGUAGAUGAAGCCGGGUAUGAACUAUCCUUUAUCUAAAAAAAAGCUUCAACUUGGUAGUGUUCGCAAAUGACAAAAGUGUGCUUCAUUAUGUACAGACUACAUGGUCGUGAGAACACUCCUAUAAGCUGGUAAUUGCCUACACAGAGUUUCAAGGAAAUUAAGCACUUAGUUAGUACUUUCAGCAAACAAAAGAAAAGGUAACAACAGUUUUCUUAGCUUGACAAAUUACUAGUGAUCAGGACGGGAAAAAAAAUGUUUUACAGAAAGUCUAGAACCAAACCUGACAUGGCAUUUUUGGAUCUGAUAGGUCAAAUACCUUUCUGAAUUACCAAACAUAACACAUAUCUAGUUCACUAUGUAAUAUUAAAAGAUCACUAAAACUAAAUGCUUUCUAAUUGCUUUUCUUGUUCACUGUUUCACAUAAAAGAGUAUAGCUAGCUCAUAUAAUUCGGCAUGCUCAUGCUUAACUUGUAAGUUCGCGCCCAAGUCAUAAUGUGUAUGUUUCCCGUCUCUACUCUGUAAGACCAUCUAGCUUUAAAUCUAGUGGGAGACAUGACAUCCUACAAGGGGAAAAAACAUUCUUGUAGAAAUCAUUGGAAAGACAAAGGAGCCAAACAUUUGGUUACUAGUCCUACAAUCUUAAUAGUUCCUGAUGAAACAAGCAAAGAUAUCUAAAUAGUUGCCUUGGCCUACAUUAUAAACAGUUAACAGUGAGUGCAGUUCAUCAUGCAGGCACAUGAGAUGACCACAGGACUAGUUCUACAGGACACUAAAACAUAACAAGCCAAGUAAAAAAAACAUAAUUAUGAUCUAUGGAACUUAUAGCAUCAAAGGAAAAGCUACAAAAAGGCCCUGCUGUUCAAAACAAUAAGAAAAGCAACUAAGUUUGAAACUUGACACACCUUAUGCCUACAACAUGAAGCGGUCAUGUUUUGCAUUCGGUGGAUAUCUUGCAGCCAAUGACUUAACCAGUUGUGGAGGGCUUUAUUCUAUUUCGUUGCAUACUCCCCCUGCGAAGGAGAGGAGUUUCUAUUGAAAAUACCAGCAAGCUACCAUUCUUGGUUCCAGCUAGAAUGCACUCCUCAGGGGUCACAACUAGGGAAGUAAUUGUCUUCCCGUUUCCAUCAUACCUCCAAACAAUACCAAGAGAAUGCAUUGAGCGUAAGACUAUUUGUCCAAGCUCACCAGCGCAAACAAUGAAAUCACCACAACAGCUAAGUUCUAUGCAAUUGAGACGUCCAAGGGUUGCUGAAGAGGCAAUAUGUCGUCCAUUGAUGGAGUACAUGUGCAAGGAGAGGUCAUUCUUAGAAUAUAAUACGACCCUCCCAUGCUGUGAUGCUACCAAUUUUGAUAAACCAACACCAGAAGGAUGCUGAAUGGACCGAACAUAUCUCCCUUCACGCAGUGUAUGAAAAAUACAAGUCCCAUCUUUUGAACCACUGAUUACAAUGUCAAGUUCCGUGCUAACAAAUAAGCAUGUUAUGAUGUCAUCAUGACCACAUAAGAUAUGAACAGGCCUUUCUACUAUAACAUGUUCCUUUUCUGAAAGUUCAAAAUUGGGACCCCUCAUUUUCUUAUCAAUUGGUCUUCCUCGAAAUGCAUGCCAGAUCAUAACAGUUGUGUCAUAACUACCAGUCGCAACCACAUUUCCGUCAGACGAAACUGCAACAUAAAAGUUUGUUUUGCCCUAUUUUAUAUUGACAAAAAAAGGAAAAUACAACACAUAAUUUUAUGGAAUGAUGAAGCAAUGUGAUGUGGAGUACCAUUCACACUUUUCUUUUUCAAAAUGCAGGAAACAUAAUGAAGACAGAAAAAAGGCAGCCUAGCUGAGCCGCCUUACCCAGGAAAUAUCUAAUUAGAUAUCACCACCAAACUAAAAAUAUACAAAUGGUCUAGCUGCACCUUGUUAUAUUCAGUGGCCAAUAGACUAUAUUCAGUAUUAGAAGUUCUCUUAUGUUACUAAAUACCAAAACCACAAUAAGGAGACAUCAACUCGCUACUGUCCAUUUCGAGGGGCUUAAGCCUGAAAAAUGUCUCUGUAUCUUUAUUGGAAUCUCUUUAUUUGAAUACAGUUAUUUUUGCUAACAGCCAAAAUCUAGUUUAGUAGCUUAAUUCAUGAAAAUUUGAAAGAAAAGAGAUAGGUAUAAACAAAUGUCUUAAAUACCUGCAACACAGCUAACAACAUCCUUAUGUUGCCUGAUGCUCUGCACAAUUCUUCCAUCACUGAGAGAAAUUAUUUGGAAACUGUUCUCCCAGUUUCCACAUAAAAUCAAAUAAUUAUCACAACUAUUUUGCAUUGUUGCUAAGCAUUGUCUUCCAAACUUAACGUUUUCAGCAAGGAAAGUGCCAAUUUUACGAGGAGAGAUAACAUCUGAACCGAUUCCAAAGAAAUUUUCCUACAAAAAAAGAGCAAAUGUAAUAAACAAAAGUUACUGGGAUACCGAUGUCUUUAACAUUUAGCAGUGCCUUUAGUCAAGAAGAACCUGUGAUCCAGAAUAUGUGAAAUUUCCACAUGACUGCAGUUGUGUUGUCAACCAUAGCUUUACUGACAAUAUGAGUCCCUCAUUCAUCAAUACAACAGUGUUCUCCAACAAACCUAUAAAUAGUAUAGCACACAUGUGGCUGACUGUACUAUAAACACUUGAAGUUAAUGUUAUCGACUGUGGUGCAAAAUACAGUGGAUGAGCAAUUGGGAUGGGAGGUCCUCUUCUUGGAUGUUUCAUCCGGAAAAUCUGGAUUGGUGUCUGUCCAAAAUUCGCUAUCUGAUCCUCAAUAGCAGAUUUUUGCAACAUGUCAUCCAUAUUUUCUAGAUCAACUGCACCUUCAUAUGUCACGUAGUAAAAUAUGUUUGCUGCCUAUCCAAAAUAUACACAUGAGUUAGGUAAUAUUCUACUGACAAUGUUUCAAUGAUGCGAACAGCAACACGGUUGCACCUCAACAGCUGGUUGUCCACGCUGCUUGUAACCAAAUAUGAGGUCAAUCCAGUUAUGGAGAUUAGAGCUCACAUAUUCACUUUCAAGGGCUUCUCUAUUGAUGUGGAUGAAUUCUUCAGGCGAACCCUACAAUUUUGUAUGGAUUAAUCAUAUAACACAAGUAAAAUAUUAGAUGGGAUACAAAAUGUAACAGGUAUGCGAAAGCUAGCACAUCAUCACCUUCAAAAUUGACAAUGAAUGCUAUGAAUCUGGGCUAACAUAAUAGUAUGCAGAAGUUCUUUGCAAUGCUAAACUUAUUAGGGUUGAAUUUGUGAACUGAAGAUGGUCAAAGUCAGAAUAUAAAGAAAACAUUAUGUGAACCAGAUUAGCCUAGGAUGUCUUUCAUGAGAAAAUCUAUAUUUAUAUUGAGAAAGCUAGAUAUAUAUCCUGUGUAUCUAAGAAGAGUACAAGUUUUUGUUAACAGUUGCAAUGCUAAACUAACUGUCAUUAGAAAAACAACAGAACUAUCCUGGUGGACUAAUUCAUCCUCAAGAAAAGAAUUAUGACAGAUACAACUAACAUCAAGAGGAACUAUUACCUUUGCCCAUGGAGGGAGAGCAACAUCACCUAUAGGUUCCCCAUCCUGCUUAACACCAAGAUGAUAUGAAUUUGAAUUUUCAAGAAACUCGGGCAUGUAAAAAAAUUCUGGAAUAAGCUCUUUGACAUCACUUGUACUUGAUAAGCUAUUUAUGUAAGCGCUCUCAAUGCUCUGGAACAAACGAUCUGCAUGGUCAAACUUGCCACCCUGCACAAGUGUUAGAUAGGCAUAAAUGUAAAUAGUAUGACAUGAUAGCUUCUUUUGAACUGUGGUGAAAAUAUGACGAGCAUUAUGGCAUAAAUGUAAAAUAAUAUAACCAGAAAAAACUGGACCAAUGGGGGGAAGACCGCCCCCAUGGCUUUGCACUAAGAAAGAAAUCCAGGCAAGCCGGCUUAGAAAACCCUGUGAACCCUGGCUUCACCCUAUAGGGCCGCAACGUAACCUGGGCUGACCACAACCCAUUGGGUUGACGACCACUGCAACUACCCCCUAGUAGGAGGGCCCAAACCAAGCCCAGGUGCCACAGGCCGGCGCCCUGCCAUUAUUUUUUGGGUUGCCAGCGAGGGGAUUUUUUUUUGCUGCCACCGGGAUUUGAACCCUGGUUGGUGUCUCCCUCAGCUGGGGAGCUUACCAUUACACCAAGAUAGCUUGUUUUGAACUGUGGUGAAGUAUGACAAGAGAAAUUAUGUAUUCACAAAUUCGUGAAUAAUGUUUCAAAAAUAAGAUGUAUGUGUUCAAAUUUUAAGGAAGCAAUGAUAAAUAUUUCCAUGAUGAGUGAAGCGACAACCUGAAAGUUUAGAUGCAGAGUUGUAAAUGGCUCAAGCCUAAGCAUAUAAUGAAGAACGAUUCCCAUGCUAGAGUAGUGAGAUCCGUAAUAAAAACUGCAGGAAACAACCAUGGUUAUUAUUGCAAAAAGAGUAAACUCAAAAAAGGAGAACACUAAUAACAAAUGAAUUAAGGUUCAACCUUGGUAUAUCAGGGUCAUAGAAACUAAGAUAUCUAUCUUCAAAAGCCUGCCCAAUAAUGCAUUAUUGACAUGAAGUUAUGAUAAGGUGAUGAUAGCCUACAAAUACAAAAAAGUAUGCAAUAGUAACCGCACCUUGAAGCGGUUUUCAUCCAACGCACCAACUGGUUUUGAAAGAUCCCUAAAAGUCGAUGACUUGUUGAAAUCAAGUUUUUCUGAGGUGUAAUCAGCCAAUAUCCAUGGAAAUAUAGGAUACUGAGUUAAGUCAUUGUAAGAUCUUCCAGCAAGGGUGUUUAAAAUCACAAGAUACUCAAAGUUACUGAUUUCCCUCCUCCUCCAUCUUUCCCUGGCAUUCUCAGCCAUUCGAAGUGCAACUCGCCUAUCGACGAAUGAAAUAAUAUUAUUUUUGUCUUUGGUAAUUCCUUUAGGGAACAAUGCUUCAUUCCUAAGAGAAACUAACAGAGACCCAGCAUUUUUAGUAUCCUUUUGGGAGGAAAAGUUUAAAAAGAUAGGUGCACUUGAGUCAUCAAAAAAGAUCUCCAUUGCAGUAUAUUGCAGUAGGUAACGUGUCCAAUGAACUCCUUUUAUCUGUAAGCAUGUACGGAAGGAGAUUAAGAGAGUGAGCAACAAUGGCUCAAAGAGAGAGAGAGAGAGAGCAACAGAGCAAGUGAGAAGAAAGAGUAGGGGAGAGAGAUACCUUGGCUAUGUUCCACCUUCUGUGACGUUUGAUCUUGUUAGACUGGUUUUGUGUCAAAACACCAUUGGUUUCAAUCAUACCGUCUCGGCAUCCAUCAAGUCUGUCCACACCUCCCAGCUCGUUCUUGCAGUCUGAAUCUUUUUUGUCUUUAAACUUGUUGAAAACAGAUGAUCCUCCAGUUCCUUCGACCAAAAAUUCAAAAGAAAAAUGCAUGACAGUUCGUGUGAUAUCCAAUUGUCCUGCUAAUUUUCGCUUUGGUGUUACAAGAACACAACGAACUGAACAUAGCACCUGCAAAAUGGAGAAUGAACAGAAAUCAACAAAUUGUUUUAUGCUUUCAGCUGAAAUUUAUACUAAAGCUUUUUCUUUACCUUUGUAUAAUCAUUAUCUCCAUUAGUAGAUGAUGGCUCUUUUUUAUAAUGUACAGAAGCAUGAAAGUCAGAGGUAUCUGCAGCAUUAUUCAGGCUUUGGCUCUCUAAAGGAUUACUCUGGGAAGAUUCACUCGCAUCGUUAAUAUCUUCAAAUGGUUCAUAACUACUGUCCUCUGUGAUUCCCCGCACUCCUUUAAGAAGGAAUCGCUUCAUUUUCUCAGGAAUUUUGGCAAUUAUGUACAGUUGGUCAGCUGAAGACACUAUACUUUCAUUCCUUGACUGUGAAGGUUUACAUAAGCGUUCAUCAAAUUUGUAAUUACGUUUGAGCUUGAAUCGCCGCCGCCAUCUAUCCUCUGUCUUGUCAAGUUUCCAGUGAGUCACAACAUCAUUUGGAAAAGGGUUAGCAGACCAUGGUCCUCUCUCAUCCAUGAGAGCACGGGAAAUAUGUAUCCACUUAUCCUGAUACAGAAAGCAAAUAGUUACUGCAUUCUCCUUAACAAGCAUUUGCAUUGGUUGAAUUUAAGAAAGACUCAGUUACCGUGAUAAUUUGCUGAUCCUCACGGAAAGCAAGUUGAGAAGCUGUUUUUCUACUGUCAUCUGCUGAAAGGGCAGCAGUGAUAGUAAAAUGUAUCUCAUCUUCAAUGGCCUGCACAAGCCGUAUCUCCGUUGCAGAACACUCGUUAAGCUUCAAGUGAAGUUCAUGCAGCUGCUUUAAGCGAUCAACCUGAACAGCCUUCAUGUGCUUAACCUCAUUAGCAGCCUAUAAACCGAUAAAGGUGAUCAUCAGUUGGAGUGGGUGCAGGGUUGAACAAGCAGCAGAAUUUAUCAAAUGCACAAAACUUGAAACACACCCUCCUAAAGUGAUGAAGUUCUCAUUUUAUACAUGUCAACAAAAUAUAAUUCCAGAUAGAAAUGAAGAAAAGGCAUAGAAACAAACCGCGGCAAGAACACGAUCCUUCUGUAUAAAGCUAAGGAUGAAUCCAGUCUCCUUGUUGUUGAUGUCCACGGGAUCAUCUCUCCCUAAGAUAUUAGUGACCAACAUGGACUUUCCAUAUAUGAUAGUUUCAAGAAUCAAGUGCGAAAAAACAUGGAAACGAGCACCAUCGUCAAGCUGCCCAUACUGAGAUCUUACAAUUAGUAAAGACCUGUAUAAAGAAAAGAAAGUAUAAAGAGAAUGUUUCAUACACAUUGAGGGAGACAGCUCAAAGUAUCAAACAUACCAAAUCAAAAAGUGCAACUUAUUUUUGCUUUGGUCAUCUUCUGAAAUAAGAAGAAUGGGAAGCAACGACAUGAACUGUAGAACACAAUUAUAUGCAUUCUCUAAUCCAGCUUUGCAGAGGUACAAAAUCACAAGGUGGAAGAAAAUUCUUGGAAUUAUCUCUUCCCUUGACACUGUAGUUUUCUCAGCAAAUCUGUUCAUUUUUAUACCUAAUGCAGUACCAAUACCUCCACCUCCAGAUACCAUAGUAGUCUUUUCUGCAGCAGGGACAUUUGUAGACUCCAAAAGUCCACGUGCCCUUUGCCCCAAAGAUGUAACCUCAACAUUUGGAUCCUUUGGUACUAAUUUGCUUGGUCCUUUUUCGUUCAAAUUACGUAUAAUACUCCAGACCUUGUCAAAGAAGUUCCACCAAUCAUCACUGACUUUAUUUACAUCAGAAAAUCUGCAAGAAGUCCAAAGCAAAUUGGGAAUUAACACAGUAAUUAAUGGCGAUGCUAGUGCCCAGCUACUUCUAGUUGGCAAACUUCACAAAACUAAAAACAAAUGGAAAGGUUCAAAAAUAGUGUAUGUUCAUAUGACAAAAGGUCACCUAGAUCCUGGAAAAUAAAUUUGCACUCACUAAACUUUUACACAUUGGUUAAACUGUUAGCUUCAUUUUGAGUAUCAAUGUUGAAUUUUCAACUAAAAAAAAUACCAUAUGUGUUUAAGUUAAUGCAGUACAUUUUAGUUGAAGGGCACUCCUACAUCAUUAAUCCUUACGCACAAGUAUAAAAUGACCAACAUUUGGAAUCAGAGGGAGCACUACGUCAUGAGAAAAAAUGCAAUCUUACUAGGGAAACAACAAACAAAUGAUAUAGCACCUAGGCUAGUGAAUGCAAGGACACAAUCAUUAAUUUGCCACCCUAGUGUUCCUUUUUUCUCGAACAAAAAGGAGAGCUACAUAUAUUUAUCUUACUUGAGAGAGAAAAAACAAAACCCCACUUCGUCUCACUUCAGGAGAACAAAGGGACUGCAGCUGAGGUUUAGAAAAAAAUAUAAUCACCGGUAAAUAAAAAGGACACAACCAAAGAAAGGCUACUUAAACUAACCCCUCAACCCGAGUACUAACCUAGACCAGGUCCUGGAGUUUAUGGGCUCCAGCAAAUUCCCAAAGUUUCAGAUCCUCUAAGAAGAGGCACCUUUUGGACUCACAGAAGAGCUCACUCAAAGGCGCACAUGUUUCUUUGUCUCCAUAUGGUCCAACCUCCUAGAAUGACAGCGCUCUUGAAACCAUUUCUUUGAGAUGCAUCGAUCACCCUAGUGUUUCAUGUUGUGAGUUGUGACUAAUGGCCAUGAAUGUUUUUGAAAGGUCUCAUCCAAAAUCAGUUGGCACCACCUUUCAUGGAUUGUGAUCAGAAAGACAAACUGAAAGGGUACCCGGUACCCAUUUACUCCCUCUGUUCCAAAUUAUAAGAUGAUUUGGCUUUUCUGGAUACAUUGCUUUUACUAUGUAUCUAGACAUAGUGUAUAUCUAAGUGCAUAGCAUAAGCUACAUAUCUAGAAAAGCCAAAACAUCUUAUAAUUUGGAAGGGAGGAAGUAUCGUUUAUACUGCUGUCCUAAUGCACAAGGCAGUGACUAGAAGUUUUGUACCAUAAAACACUGCAGACGCUACUAAUAUAUGGUGUCUGACAAAAGAUUUGUAAAAACUAGUAGACCACAUAGUUCGUUGUGCAGUGGUGUUCUGAACCUAGCUUAGGAUCCAUUUCAAAUGUAGCUAUUACAAAAUGUUUGAACACAAUUUGGAAAUAGGGAAUGCAGAUUUGAACUAGUACCUUGUACAUUGACCAUUGCUCUCGGUAUUUAAAAUAUCAAUUACUGUUGACUUAAUAUCUUCUUUCCAUAUGUUAUCAUGUGAAGAUUCCUCCAAAAUACUGGGAGAUAGAAACUGCACAAGGAAUAGAUAAUGCUCAUGUAUGAUCCUUUCGAGGAAAAAAGAUAUAGCUCACGUAUGUAUUAAUAUGUAUUUUUCUGUUCAAUCAAUACAAGUAUGUUUAGAAGCAUACCAAUAGCCUAAUUCCCAUUUGACUGACAAGUAGCUCCUGUAUAAGGUUCAAAAAAUGUAAAACAUUAUCACAGCAAGGCUGUAAAAGGAAAAUAUUAUCUUCCUCAGAUUUCUGAAGCAGACUCCCAGCAAUAUCAUCAAAUAUGUCCCUCAGCAAAUUAGAAUUUGAUAGCUGUCCCUGCAUGGUAAUGAAUCCCAGUAUCAUCAUUAGUGCAAAACAGCAUACACCACCAAGCUUAUAUCAUAUAAAGAAAAAAAGAAAUUAUGAAACAACAUCCAACCUGGUCAAUUUUCGAGAGGAAAAAAUUAGCAGUAUCAUCGAGUUGAUGCCAGCCACCUCUAACGAAGCACAGGUAGUAUGAAAGGACCAAAGAAUACAAGUUCAUCACAAGACUUAGUUCAUCUGUCUUCAUAUCGUCAGGCUCACCUUUAGAAACUGAUUUGUAGUCCUUGAAUACAUCAAGAUUUGUGGAUGUUUCAAGCCAAGAGUUCCAACUAUGCUCCUAAUAAAAAUUCCAGGAUCAACAUAAAACACACAAUAAGUAACAAGUACAGACCCAAUAAAAUAGUAAGUACCAUUAGUGCCUCAAUGUUUGAAGAGUUUGAAUCCAGCAAACCAAGAAGAAGAUUUAAGAUUCUUGUGCGUGCUGAGGAAUCUUUACAAGAAUGCAUAAAUCUAAAGAUGCAUAUCAAAAUCUGAGGAAGGGAAAAGGGUGGCAAGCUUAAAAGAUUGCAAUUUCUAUCCCUUGGUGGAUCAGAUAGAGAAUUUUCCUCGAGAACCUAUAAAGAGAAAACAGUAGAUCAUAUCUACGGCUAAUACCGGUGAAACAUGAAAAAAGAAGAUAAAAAGCAAUAUGACAUAAAGUAGGUACAAUAACCUGUUGUGUACUGAUUCCACUAAGAACACUGAAAAGUGUUGCACAUAAAUUAUCUGAUAGUGGAAAUUUGAAUAGCCUUUCAGACAUUGUAUUCAAGAACAACUGAGGUGCAGCUAUUAGUUCUUUUGUUAAGUUUUCAGAGAUGGGUCUAGACUGCCCUAAGGGUAGGGCAAAUAACUUCGUUCCUUUCUUCUCAGAAGGCAUCCCAGUCAUAAGUUUUCCAAUGAGCUGAAGCCCCAACAAACGGACUGGCUCAAAUUCCCUGAAGAAGAAACUAGUGUCAGAUAUUUACCAAAAAGUAACUGCCUACAUUAAAUAUAUAUGAUUCAUGGAAAAAUUAUGCAUUCUCAAAUUAUUUUAUACUGACAACAAUAUACAAAAUCUAGAGGCAUAAUCUAUAUCUCUUAUAUAGAUAAACCCCACUAACUAAUUCUCUUGACUUGCAAAGCAUCCACAUCAUCAUCCACACUAGAGCAUCCCACUAACUACUUCUCUUGCCAUGCAAAGCGUCCACAUCAACAUCCACUAAAUCAUCCCACUAAUACAUUACCCCGCCAUGCAAAGUGUUCACAUCAUUAUCCACUAAUAAAUUGAACUAACACAUAUCAUUAUAUCCUGUAUCUAUGUUAUUCACUAUCAUAUAUUAUAAUAAGUAUAAUUUUAUCGGUAAUUUCCGCAGCAACGCACAGGGCAUUCUCCUAGUUCAUAUAAAAAAUAAAGGCAAACAUAAGGCCCUCGCAGAACAAUUUACAAGAAACAAACAUAAGAAUCUCUCUUUUACAAUACAUAGCAUAUACAAUAUGGGAACAGGAUCCAGUGGUUUGAUUAAGUAUAUAAUGAAUUGAAUCUUCUCCCAAACUUCUUCCCCUUCUUUCCAAAGAUCUAUCUCCUAUCUUUUCUCUUUUACUCAAACACGCAGGAGAGUUGCAUACUUUGAUAUUAACAAGGGAAUAAGAACCCUUACAAGAGCAGAACCACACACAGCCAAGAGAAAAGGAAAAACAGUAUCACCUUUACUAAAAAAAUAAAAUGACCUAGACCUAAGACCAGACCAUAAAGUAACAACUUCCGGCAAAAGUGGGCAAAAAGAUUAGAAAUUGCUCGAGCCCUGGCAAAACCCCAAAGAUGCAGUUCUUCAAAAGUGGGCGUCAUGACUACAGCUAUAUAUGUUUCUUUUUAACCAGGAGACUCCAACUAUGUUAGGAACAGGACCAUCAAACACACACCGAUUGCGGUGUUUCCAAAUCAACCAAGCACCCAAAAUAGUAAUAGAAGUGAGGCCUUUCCAAACUUGACUACCCACCAAACCUUCAACUCUAGCCCACCAGUCAUCACAAGAAUUUUCACCUAGUUGUGGACAGUGGAUUUGAAUCCUGGCAUUCCACAAGAUAAACCAGAACAGUUGCACAUACACACAGGAUAUGAGAAGGUGGUCGAUAGACUUGCACGGUGGUCUUAGAAGAGGCAACAUGCAUGAAUUUAAGUCCUCGGCAUGCAAGUCGGUCAGGUGUCUAGCAUCUACCAUGGAAGACUAGCCUAUUGACCUAUUCAACCAAUGAUCUAAGUUCAUUACAACCUCAAGAUUUUCCCUUUGUCUUUGAGGUUAGGAUGAACACGAGUACACUCAUUAGUUCAUUAUAGUCAAAGAGAAUAACUUGAAAUUAAUGUAUUGUCUUGCAAAUUGUCAAGCAGCUCAUAUUUUACAUUAUCAAGCAACUUAGCUUCAAACAGCGUGGUAGAAAUUAGCUCUAGAUUGAGAAAAUUUAGAAUAUAUUACCUCUUAAGAAGAUUAAUGAAAAUGCAACAACCACCAAGGUAAUUUACAUUCUCAACAAAUGAUGAAAAAACUGCACCAUGUGAAAGAGCACCGAUGAUCAUGUCCAGUAUAUCACUGAUACAUGCUAUGUCUUGGCUCCUCUCAAAGAAAGCUACAAGCGCUCUUAUGUCAUCUGGAGAAACUUUUAUCCUGUGAACCAACACGUCAUAUUAAGAAUAGAAAAUGCCUACGGAAUGCUAUGACAACAUAUGAAAAAUGUAAUGUGAUGUGUGAAAAAAAUUAUACUAAAAGAUAUCCAAACUCUAUAGAUGGGAUCAAAACAAAAGGUUACUACCUAUGGAAUCAGGUCGCUUCUUACCAGGUCGUUGCCUUCUGGAGCUUAAGGCUCGGUAGCUUUUGGUCGCUUUUAAAAUUUCCUGUGGUGAGUCUGUAACUUAGUUUCUAGGGGGUGGUGUGUGGGUUGGGUCUCUUUGACCCAUGUAACUUUCUUUCUAUCUUAAUGAAAUGACGCACGAUUCUUCUAUGUUGUUCAGAAAAAAACUAUGGAAUCGAAAAGGCUUGGUAGGAGCUGGAAUUGCUUACUUACUUUAAGCUCAUUUCUGCUAAACUCAGAAGGAGAAGACGAAGUUUGUGAAUUUCAACUAUCUUAGGUCUCUCUCCAAUAACUUGUUUGGUAACUGGAUGAAGCAAAGGCUUGGAAGCAACAACAUGCCUAGAAUCUGCCUUUUCCCAGUAAUAUCGGCACACAAUAUCAAUAACCCAAGGGAGUCCACAUAGAAGCGGUAAAAGCCUUCCAUCUGUUUCAAAAUAUUUUAUCACAAACAUAUAGAGAUCUCUUUGCACUUCAUAGCUUGCAUAUACCCAUAUUUGUGGAUUCAAAAAAAUUUGUGAGAUAGCAUCUUUGAGGAGAACUUUUGACAUGCCUGAAUAUGCAGAAAAAGUAUAAGUAAUGUACAUCUUAUUGCAUGCAUGUGAAUGCAGAGAGAGGGAGAGGGAGAGGAGAUUACCACAGUUCCUCAGAAUGUCAAACAUGUACUUCAGUGCGGAAAGAGUUUUGGUGGUUAAGAGCUGUGGGGUAGCUGAUUGAAGCAAGAAUCCUAGAAUGGAUAACCCGGAAAGCAGAUACAUCUGUUGUUGAUUUGAUACAUUUCCAUCCAGAACAGUUGCGACUAGCUCAAUGACCUCAGCAGCCAAUUUAUCAUUGACAAUAGAUGGACGGCAACAUUUCUCAAUAUCACUUGCAGCAUUAAAGAAUUGAGUGAAGAGUGGGAAAAAUACAGAGACACCACCAACGCAGUAAAUAAUAUCUUGGGGCAAGUGUCGUGAGCAUAACUUUGUCCCCCCCAUAAUUGUUGCUUCAAAUGUAUUUUUGUCAGCAUUAUCGAGUGCUGUUGACACACUGAACAAACUCCGACCUUGACUAGCCUAGGGAUAAGGGAAAAAUACAAAUAUACUUUAAUAGUAAAUCUGAAGAUAUUGGCUCUUAAUGCAAGUGUAACACCUGAGGGCUCAAAAAAAUUAAGAACCAGCUCUCAAAGAGGACGGACUACAGACAAAUCACAACUCACUUGGGUUAAUGGUGAAGCUAGAGCAAAUUAGAGGGGAGGGGUGCUUGCCUUGUAGGUGUGCAUGGUGAAAAUUUGAUCCUAGUAUUGGUUUUUCUUUUUUUUCUUUUUUUCACCACAUUUUGGGUUUAUAUGAUACGUAAACCCACUUAAAAACUCAUGAGUAGAACUAGCCCCAUCACUAGAAUUAAAGAGAUGGACCACCACUACUUGACCAAGAGUGUUAGAAUUUAUGAAAUAACUAUAUAUAUAUAUAUAUAUAUAUAUAUAUAUAUAUAUAUAUGUACAUCAGUGAAACGAAUUUGAACCUGUGCAUUGAAACCAAAAAUUAUCUUUGAUGAAAGCCCGUCUCUAGCAUCAAGAACUCCCCUGUAGAGUGAAUCAUCGCCAUGGAAAGAGUACAUGUAACUUGGUCCUAGAAAAUAUAUGCCUUUUACUUGCUCUGAAGAAAGUGCAUCAGAAAACACAUAGACUGGGCCCAUUUGACCUGUGAAGGCAAAAGUUUUUUCGAAACCAAUUGAGAUAGGUUCAUCACCAACAGGCAUUAAUUCUGUGCCAAUGGUGCAGUGAGUCAUUGCUUCGUUGAAUUUUGCAUACCUUAAAAUACAAAGGACAAAUUAGUAUCACAAACUACAAAUAGUAUUAAAUGAAAACUUAAAAGUCAUAAAGUAUGCACAAAACACAUAUAAUUUUCAAUGAAAGGCAGCUUCACAAAAUAAGAACAUGGUACUUUAGAUGCUAGUAUUCAAUAUGUAUCUGAUGUAUAGCAAUCUUGAUUGGUGCCUUUUCUCUUUUUUAAAAAAUAAAAGUCUUUUUUUAUUAAAUAAGUACUGAUGUUUUCGCAAAAUAUGCACAAUAAACCUUACCUCCUUAAACUUAACUCGCACAGAAAUGAAUCAGUAAAACCUAUUAAAAAAUUGAUGUAAACAGCUUUCAUGACAAACUACCAAUAAAAUUUCUAUGUGGCCACUUUAGAUAGAUAUCAAAGUAUAUAUAUAGGAAAAUUUUUUUUACACGUACGUGUAUCUACUCUGAUUAGCUAGUACACGCACGCGACUUCUGUUCCAUGAGUUGGAGCCUUCCCUUCAAGUGUCCUGCCUUAGCGGGUCUUUUAACAGAUCAUUACCCAUUAGACGAAAUACUCUGAUAUACGAUGUCCCUCCCCACGUCGCUCCUCGUUCAUCACUGGUGGCGGCGCUCCUCCCCCAUGUGCACCUCGAUCUACAUCGACGAGUCGCUCCGUUCCAUGGCGUUGCCUCCCCAAAUCCCAUGGGACCGGCAGUGCCCCUCCUCCACGUCCUCUAGAUUUGGCGACGAGGCGGUGCCGGAGCUUCCUCAUCUCCCUCGAUGGCGCGUGGCCCCUACACGAAACUGGCAUCGAGCGGCGCUGCAAAAUCCAGGUACGGCAGUCAUACCCAUUAGACGACAUGAUUUGCGGCGGCGUGGUCCAUACGCCAUUUCACAGUGUAGUCGCACCUAUAGGUUUUGAUUCUUGAGAGCUGAGGUAUUGCUGCAGAUUUGAAUGCAUUGGCUACCCGUUUCCAUCGGGCGGCUCUCUCCCCUCCAGCGGUAGAGGCCUCCCUUCCCCGAUGUGGAUCUGCUUCUCAUUCCAUUGCGGCAUUCCAUAUUUCCAUGCCUGAUGUUGUGGUGACUUCUUCAUGCCUGAUAUAGCAACGGUACGGGCCAAUUCUUAUCCUUCAUCCUUGUCUCACAGUAAUGAACUCCGAUUACAUGUAGGCGGACAUGGAGAUGACAUCAAUUCUUGAUCUCACCGGUCGGUGAAGUAAAUCAGGGAAGGGCAAUCCACUUUCCAUUCGAUGAGUAUAUGCACAUAUGUACUCCAACAUAGAAAAGUAUGCAUAGAUACUAAAAUAUAUAUACAGAUACUCCAUUUCAAAGUAUAUAUAGAUACUCCAUUCCAAAGUAUGUACAUGUACUCUCAGGAAUAAUAUGUAUAUGUAUAUCUGCAUACUUCUCUUAACCAUGUACUUUGUAUGUACCGAUACUUAUAAAAGUAUAAAGAAGUAUGCACACAUACUCAUCCGGAUUCCGAAAUGUACAUACAUGUAUUUUUAUAAUAAAGAAUUGGUCCAUACUAUUAUGUUGGAUAAGUAUUUGUUUACACUAUUUUAACGAAGAGCAUGUAUGCGAUAUUUCCCUACAAAUAUCCAUUUUUCAUGGAAGUUAUCAGCAUCCUUCAAUAGAUUUUUUCCCAAUAUGCAUACUCUCAGUCCGUUAGCUAGUAGACCCGUUAAGCACCCAUCCGAAGCCCUCAGUUUACGACCGUGGGACAUAUUGGAUGCCCUCCCGUGUGCGUACUAGAUGGUGUGAGUAGUUACUCGUACGAGUAGUAUAUAUAUAGGGAAGUAUACUUUGUAGCUAGCUACAAAAUAUAUUAUUCUGUAGCCACCUCCAUUUACGAUAAUUUUAUGUACUAAUUUACGAUAAUAUGUAUACAUAUUUACGAUAGUUGGGUUACUAUAACACAUAGGAUAUUUACCAUAAUGUUAUAGUAAACCACUUAGUAAGGAGUUACUAUAAUCUUAUAAAUUAAUAUAGUAAUUAUCGUAACUCAAAGUGGCUAAAAAAUAAGUUAUUUUGUAGCCAGCUACAGGAUAGUAGCACAUGUAAAUGCUGUAAAACAAGUUAACAACACUCAUUUGGUAACGGAGACAUGAAAUAAAUUGUAGUAUCAUGGAUGCAACAUUAUUUUAUGAAAUUUUGAAUUGAUACACAAAAGACCAAACACUGUUAGGAUUCUUAAAAUGUGAUUACGAUAUAAAUGAAGUUUCCAACAAAAAUUGUAGAAUUUUGGUUCAUCAACAAUGGUGCGAUUGUGUUGUGCUGUACAAUGCUAAAUAAAAAUUUGAUACAUUAAUUUGUCAAAUAACAUUUUGUGAAGAGGUUUGCCAUGACUACAUAGGCUAUAUCAGAGCCUACCUCCACUUGGUUGAGAGUAUGGAUGUAUGCCUAGACCACCUAAAGUUAAAUCCUCGUCAAGGAAAAUUUGGGUGCAUAUUUUAUACUUUAAAAUGUAAAGCCUAAGCAGGAAGCAUUGCGUAUAAUACGUGGAUGUAUUGCAUUUAGUCUCUUGAGUGGUUUUUGUUCAAAAGCCUCUUGAGUGGUACAUAUAGAUUAUAGAGUAUAGAUACUUAGGGGGAAAGACAUCUCUUGGGAUACAUAUGGCAAUAUCAAAUAACAAUCCUAACUACCUGUUGGUGUAAAUAACACUUUGUAGGACUCAUAUGUAAAAAUAAGAAGAAUGAAUGGAGAGUGAGUGUUGGGGAGCACACAGUAAGGAUAUUUCCUCCAAUUCCAAUAUAGUAUCAGAGCCUUCGUUAGGGUUACCUCACGCGGUGGCGGCAGCGUGAGUGAGCUGCUGCGACGGCAAGGGCAACUGACAGCAGCGGUUCCCCCAAUUCCAAUAUGGUAUCAAGGGCAACGACAGCGCAGCGCUAGGAUGGGAGGGGAGGCAGACCGAACAUGGAUAGGGAGGGUGCAACAGUUCCCAACUAUUGUGACUCGACAAAGGGUGAUGAAGAGGGUCAGUGACGAUGACGAGUAGUGCAGCAGCCCAUCAAUGCCCACAAUGAACCACCAUGACAAUCUGCUGCUACUCGAAGCAGGAAGGAUUAUGUAUAAUACGUGGAUGUAUUGCAUUGAAGCUUUCGGGCGGUACAUAUACACACUGCCUAGGUUGGCCUAGUUUUUUUAGAACUACAUAAGCCCAGAAGAUCAUAACUAAUUCACACACUAUAUACACCUAAAAUGAAGAAUGGAGCUCACAAGAUUUUCAGUCAAAUGUAACAUUAUUUAAAAUUGCAAAUGCAGAUGAAUUUGCUCACCCACACUUCUCGGAUGAUACUAGCUCCCCAUCUACAUAACACCUCAGCUGGCUUCCUCCGGAGAAAGCCCUCCCAAUUGUAUGAGUAACAGAAAGGAAUAUCCAUUCCUUUGGUGGAAGCUUGAGCGGUAACAAAACACAUUGAUGUUUUUGAUAGAUAGACUGCCAACAGGGAAAGACCAGAAUUUAGCAUGGGUUCAUUAUUCCUGCGAAAGUUACAAAUUCAGGUUGUGCAGAGUAAGAUAUUGACAGCUCCUAUAGGAAGAACAAACAUGAAGUACUUUAUGCUCUAGAGACUCAAAAGUCCAGAUCAAAGGGGGGGAAAAAGGUCUCUAAACUCAGCUGAAUUGCAUAUCCACAAAUUAGAAUAUAACUAGAUAAUUGUUUGAAAACCUAUAAUCGUAACCCAUAAAUAUCAUACAAAACUAUAAGAAAUAGCUGAUUUCUUCAAACAGGAAUCAACAUUACUGUUACUGCAUCAUGAGUCAAAAACAUGUAAAAUUACAAAUGGAUCCAUCUGCCUAGAUUAGCACCUUUUUUCCCCCAAAAAAUGGUGCCAUUGGAUUCAACCUUUUUUAAAAAAUUUAUCUACAAACAAGUAUGUUCCUAUUGAGCUUUUGUUAUGUUAACUUCCAUUUAUUUAUUUGUCAAGCAAGCUGGAAGCCGAUAAAUGGUGGAACAUGGUCAACUGAUGCAACCAAGGUCUCAUCUACUCCAUUUCAAAUUGUUAAGUAUUUUAUCUUUGUAUUCAGUCAAACUCAUUUAACUUUGACAAAGUUUAGCCAAAAAAACAUCUACACUAUCAAAAUAUAUUACACAAGAAGCUAUGAGCUGUGCAGACCAAAUCAUCAAUUUCGGUCAAAACUCAUCUGGCCCAAACUAGUCUAAUUAAAGAAAUGCUAUAGUAGUGAGGAUUGAGGAGUGGCCCCUCUAAAGGUAAGUAAUGUUUAUUCCCUAGCUAAUUAAUGGCACAUUUCUUGGUUGCAAAGUAAAUACACAUGCAAUAAAUAUUUCUGAACUGAAUAAGUUGAUGUGAUUCAAAAAUGGGGAAGAAAAUCACAAUUACCUCAUAUACUAAAGCACUUCUGUUAAGAACAGCGGAGCACCCCUUUCCGUCUUCUGUUAAAAAGGAGAAAAGGCCCAUCAUACCACUGUCCGGAAAGUUUUCAACCCUUAACCAGCAAGAAAAAGAUAGCCCUCUAUUGUAAGGCCAUAGGAAGGGUGAUUUUAUUUCUAUACCCUGCCAAGGAAAAAGAACAAAUCAAAUAUUGUAAAAGCAGAAUUAUGGAAGUUUUUUUUCUCUCGAACACAUAGGAGAGUUGUAUAUUAAGAAGAAAGGACAAUAGGUGGGUGGGGGGAGGGGGACGGGAGGCGGAGGGGGUACAGCCUCCAUAGUUCAUACUGAUCACACACACACCUAUCACUGGAAGGAAAUAAAACUCACGUGCCUAGUACACAAAGAAAAAAUGACCCUGGCCAUACUUAUAUACCAAUUGGCACAAGGGCGAGGAGAAGACACACCUCGAGCCCCAACAAAACUCCAAAACCUCAAUUCCUCAGUGUAUAAAAUAUCAAAGGAGCACAUGAAAUAAAGAAAAGAAGAUUUAUUGGUAGAACAUAUGUAUCAAAAGCCUUCAAAGGUUCAUGAUGAAAUAGAAUCUAUCCACAAAGCCUACUUUUCUUCUCGUUGCUUCUAAAAGCAGCUGACCUCUUUUGCGCUCCACAAGUCUGAAUAGCUUCCAACUACUCUUGCCAACACCUUUGCCUUUUAGCAUUGACCCAUUUAUAUAAUGAGAUAAGAAGCAGUCAAAGUACAGCUUGAUGAGACACUAUAUAUAUGUUUUUUCCCGAACAAACUAAGCAGCAAGAUAAGAGAGAUGAGUACUGUCACAUUCUAAACUGCUCAUGGAUUUUAGUGGAGUAACAAGUUUACUACAUCCCAACAAACAAAGUUGCUUUUGUCAUGUAAUCAUUCAAACACUGCCUCUAAAUGUACAACAUGUUUUGGUUUCCCUUGGACCAGUUAGACAAAGAAGGUGGAUGGAUUGGUCUAAGUUUACAAAGAAUCUAUAGAAGCGCCGUCCAUACGGAAGUCUGGUUAAGUUUGCAAUAGAUGGAGAGCUGCCAGAAAAUUCUUUAACGUUAUAUGCCUAAAUGUGUACAUGUGUAUUCCUAAUCUUUAGCAAUAAAUUAAAAGUUACUAAAACAUGUUUUAAAAUAAAUGUAUCUAAGAAUAAUAAACAUUAUUGCACAAUACAUUCAUCACUAUCAUUUGAGUAGUGAGUUCACCUUUUUAGUCAAAGAAAAGAUAAAAGAACCGUUGCAAUGCACAAACACUUUGCUAAUGAAGAAUAAAACAAAAAGGGUGCUUCAACAGAAGGAACCUAAACUUUUGUACAUACUACCUAGGAACUUGCAAAGAGAAUAAAAAAUAUGACAUAAGAAAAAUUAAUACUUUAUAAGAAGAGCAUAUAGAGAUCGUUCUAUAACUUAGGGGCACACUCUAACAACACCCUCACAACUUUUUUUCUUUAAUCAUUAAAGAAUCAUUAGUGUUGAAUAACUACACAAUUUUGACAGAACAAUUAAGUACUUCACAAUAAAUUCAGUGGUAAUUCAGGAUUUGUAUUUUUUUUUGAAACUGCAGGAGAGCUACUUUCAUUGUAUUAAAGAGAAAGGAUAUGUCAAGUCCACAUUGAGGUAAAUUUGGGCAUCUAUUUUCUUCUUAAUUAAAUGACACCUGGUUUCCCCUAGGUUGUCUAGUUUUUUUAUAUCUCAAUGACAUGGGGUUAAGGGCCACAUGCCAAUGAGACAGUCACAAAACUACCAUUGAACUCGGUGUCCUAUCCUGAAUUGCUCAAUUUUGUUUGAUGCACAUAAUCUUUGGAAAUAAACUAUGAAUCACAAAAAAUGAAAUUUUAAAUUGCUAAAUAAAUAGGACAAUACGCACAGAAUCAUGACCACUGAACUCAAAGAAAGCUUCUGGCCCCUUUUCCUUCAGCAUGUGACUGAGACUUGUCAGAAGCAAAGAUGUGUGCUUGUGUUUGGUACCAAUCUUUUCACAUCGCAAAAGUGCAAAGAUUUUGCGGAUGUCCUUGCCACAUAUACUAUGUGCACCAAGUAUCUGUAUUAACUCUGCAAUUGCAAUAACUGUAUCAUCCUUUUCCUCUACUGAAAACCAAUCAAGAAGAAAACUUAGCAACCCAGCUUUGAAACAAGAGGUUCUAUUUGUAAUGGAUUGCUUGAGCAACUGCUGUAAGAUUACAAGCCCAUAGUGCUGAAGUGACGUGCUGCUCUGCCAAUUAGAAAUUGGUUGAUGUCAUGAAAAAAGCAUAUAAGUGGGAAUUAUAAGAGGAAAUGGUAAUAUCAUCUCUGUAUGUAAGAGAAAAGACCUUCUGCAAAAUAUUCAGAAGUAAUACAACAGCAUCUUCAUUCUGAAAUAAGAAUAUGGAAACAUUACAUUAGUCGAGAUAAUUAAAUGAACCCAGAAAUGCUUAUACUAUACUAGGUUUUCAAACGAUUGAUAACUACUAGCCUUUAUAGUUGUUUUCUCAUCUAACUCAAACUUGCAAUCAACCAGCAUGCUAAGCAAUGCAUCCAAGAGUCUCCCACUUGGCGACCAUUUGUAGAAAUCCAGUAUCAGGCUCUGUAAUGUUUGAUAACCUGCUCCAACUAGUAAUCUAAAGGCACCCUAGACAAAAUGAACCAAGAUUGUUGUCACACACUAAACAGAGUUAUUGCAUGAACCACAUGUAUCAAUAUGAUUACCUUAGAUGCAUCAUUUCCUUCAAGUAAUAAAGUUAAGGUCUGAAGGACAUUAAGGACAAGCUGCUCAUCAGUCACCUUAUUGAAAUUUCCAUUCAAUAAUGAAAUAAUAUGUAGAAAGCACCCUUCAUCGCGAAAUAGAUUUUGAUAGUACUAGAAAGUGAAGUAUAAAAGCACAUUUGUCAACACAUUAUGCAUUACUGGUAUAUGGGCAAAACAAUUGUAAUUCUAACUAUUAAAUACAAAACCAUUAUGGAAACCUACCAUGCGAUCCAUCAUUAUGAUCUCUCUCAUGUUGACCAGAAGGUCAAUUGACAACUCUGUGUUGAUAUUUUCUUUUUUAUUUGCACGUGAAAAGUUCUCUAAAUACUUUGAGCAUAACUGCAAUUUGGCUGUAUGAUCUUGUGUUGACGAUGAAGGCAACUGGUUACAGGGAACCAUAUUUUAGCUCCCAACAAUAAUAAGAACACAGGGGAAGAAUUCAUGGUAAACAUAAACUUUUAUAGAACAGAAGUUAAGAAUAGGUUUACCCUAAAUAAGGCAAGAACUUGCUCCAGCACAUGCUUUCGAAUGUUCUGUUCAUGGAACAAGUCAAAUAAACACUCAAUGCAGUCAGCAUUGUGUAAAACAAGAAUUCUUCCAUCUAUCGAUAUAGUGACAUAUUCCAUAAAGAGGCUCAAAGCUAACUCUGUACAUAUAAGAGUGUCCUCAGUUCUGCCUUCAAUAUUUUUAAACUGAGAACCAUCUUGACUAACCAUGACAUUAGAACAAAGAAAAUUACUGAAGUUUCGUAGCUCUUGUGCCAGACGGCAAGCAACCUUAAGGACUCUUGUAAUUACAUCCAAUGAUUCAAAUGAAUCUAGAGUAUGUUCUGUCGCGAGUUGUAGAAUAACACGAAAGCUUUUGAGAAGAGUGUUGACUGCCAAAGGAUCAGAAAUGCAAUGUUCAAGUGCAUCUAGCAGUGCCGUGCAUUCUGGCUACAAUGAAAAGAAAAAUAAAGUAGAAGAGAUCCAUAAAGAGAUUCAGAACAAAAUAUGUGGUGUGUUCGAGAGAAAAAAGAGCAAAUUACUGGCGAUUAGACACUGAGCCUACAAUAUUACAUUAUAAAAGACAAAAGUUUUACCGUGUUAUAUGUGUUUUCAUUGAGUGUUGCAGCAAACUCCAAGAAGGAAAUAGCUUCCACUUGAAGAAUGUUAACAUCGCUACGAUACAAGCUUUCAGAAUGAAUAGAUAUUCGGUUACUGUUAACAUCACCAUUUUGAAUAUUUGUAACAGUGUGAAAACGAGUGUCUUCUACAGAUGAACCAAAGUAGAAAAAAUUCCCUGAGAAUAUCAGGUCCCAUACACCUUCCUCUCUAAAAGCUGGGAGUAGAGCUGGUGUUGAAAUAAGAAUUCUUUUGAACAUGCGAAUCACAUAAUAUUGAAUGGUCUUCACAAAAAUCCUGCAGAAUGAAUUCAGGAAAUAGUUCGUACUUUGUACAGUAGUAGCUGCUAAAAGCAGUUGCAGUUGACUAUAGGGUUCAGAAGAUUAAUAGCCAGCUAAUAUUAACUAAUAUGUUAGAGUUGCCAUUGAUAAAAACUGAUUGUUCUAACAAAGUGUCAUGAUGGGAAAAUGUGUUAAACUCCAAAGGGUAUAUUUCCUUUGUGAUGAAACAAAGCAUCUUAAUAUGAAGCAUGAUAGUUAAAUAUUCUAGUUCAAAGGGAUAUCCAUGAAUACAUUAAGAAAAAACUCACUUUAUGUGGUCUGGCAGCUCAGUUUCCUUGGUGCACGCUCUGAUACAUAGAAAGACGGUCAUAAGAAUCCUUAUGAUCCAUCUCACAGAUUGCUCCAGGUAAGCCAAUGGGAUGGAUAAUACAAUUUGGCUGACAGCUAUUUCAUCAGAACAGUGUCCAAUAUCCUCUGAAGGAAGAACAAAAGAACAAAGGGCAUUGCUCAAUUUUAUAGAGUAGUCAUUCCAUUCAGUUCUGUCAAGAAAAUAAAUUAGACCGGAGGCAGAAUCUAGUGUAAGUGAAGCUUUGGUAUUAUCCGUUUGACGAUGGAACUUCUGAAUCAUAAAUGCUGGCCAACAAAUGCAGUUUGCGAAUUUGUGUACCCGUCCAUUUUCACAUAAAAUCUGCAAAUUGUUGACGUUGCCAAAUCUAAACAGAAGUCAAGGACCCAACAAUUAGCUAGGACAUCAAUGCCUCCUAUGACAUGACCAAGAAUCUACCAGAAUUAUAUAUUAGCAGAGUUUAUUGAUAUUCUGAAAGUUGCAACUCAUGCUAAGACCACAUGUCAUAGGAUGAGUUUGCAAAUACUGUAUUUGGAGCAGAAGUAUUUCAUCCCUAUAAAAGUACAUUCAUCUAUUCUUAAAAUUAAAGGUCUAUUUACCAUUAUCUAUCUCAAGAAAUGAAAGGUGCAUUCAUGUAUUCUUAAAAUAAAGGAUACACUGCCUCACUCAGAGUUUGCAAAUACUGUAUUUGGAGGAGAAGUAUUUCAUCCCUAUAAAAGUACAUAAAUGUUAGAACAUAAAAGCUGCAUGAAAAACAAGCAGGCAAAGCCUAUUGGACUAAUUAAAGUUGAAAACAACCAUAAGGCCCGAAAGGAUUGUGAUUCUCAUACAUUGCUACGGACCUUUUUAUUCGAGAAACGGUAAAAUGUUCAUUAUGAAAUUAGCAUAGUACCAUACAGUUAGUUUGCAUAAUGUCAAAAGUCAAAACACAAAUUGGAGGGAUGGAGUCCUCUGUAACUAAAUAAACACCAUCCUAAACAAUAAAACCAAUAUAUAAAAGAGAGAAACUAUAUGUGCAGUAUCCAAAGAGUAUUGUUCAAAUUUUUAGCCAUUCUGCACCAUACGAGAUAUCAAUUAUGUGAACAAAACCAAAGAAUAAACUAUCUUUUUGAAGCUAAAAUUCCAAAAUAGGAAUGUCACAUUCAAAAUCCAAAUUUAGCUAUGAUGCAGAAAUAAUAUUUAUGUACCAAAUUCAAUUAUCAGACUAGUUUAGUUUGGGUAUAAAAUAUGAAUUUAAUACUACCAGACAUUUUUUAAACGUAAAAUACAACAGGGGAAGCCCCCACUGUAAAGUUUUAUUUAAAACUAAGCGAAGCCCAACAACUGAAUGAGUAUGAACAAGGAGAAAAAUUGUACAAGAGAAGGAAAUGAGUUAACAUUCGGGCAAAUUCAAAUUUAAUACCAUCAGAUUUUUCACUCCAAGUAUUUUGCAAAAAUUGAUUUUUCUCAAUAUAGAAAAUCAUUGGUCAAUAAUGAUCUUCAAGUUUAUCCAACAAAUUUGUGAUUCUAUGCAUAAGAAAUAGAAGAGGAAAUGAAAGCACAAGAUAAUAAAUAAUGGUAAACCAUGGUGCUAAAAAAUGCACCUUUCAUUUCUUGAGAUAGAUGAAUGCAUCAAAACUGAAAAAUUACUAGAAGGAAGUCCAAGUCCAUCCAAUAGAAUUUCUAGCCCACCAAUGCUUCUCAAAUGAUUCUGAGCACGGGUACCAGAAACAGUUGAUCGCAGAGCGCACAGAGUAAUAAAAUGGAGUGAGAGAUCAAUGCACUGCUCUUUCAAAUUCAACCUUUGAACAACACGUAAUAGUUCUGCAGUAUCAUUAAUGAUUUAUUUUAAAUAAGGGUAUAAAUUGAAUAAUAGCACAUAAGAUUUUCUGAUAAAAAAGAAUGGGCAAUACGGUGGCGCCAUUAAUUACACAACCUCUUUAUUAGUACUUUUCAUAAUAUGGAGACUAGAAAUUUACUAAAAAGGGACAAAGAAAUGGUCCUAAUUUACUACACGCAUAGUGAAUCUUUUUCUUUUUCAGUAAACAGGCCUAUAUGACAACUAGUAGGUACUAUAGCAUCAACACAAUAUACCCCAAGGCCCAAGAAAUGAGUAUCCCAAUGAUGAUCUAAAAGAAAUAUCCAGAAUCAUAUUACAUAAGUCCAAAAUAAAACUAAAGAUAACUUUACCUACUAACCAGUAGACACCACUAGCUUCCAUCACAAGAACAAUUGCCUUCUGCUGCCAAUGCCGAAGUAUAUCAGAAAUGGUUCUAGCAGGAGAGCUAGACGUGACUGCAGCCAAAUGGUUGUUUGAUGGGGUAUGCUUUAUGGUCUCCACAAUAUGGGGAAUCCUUCCAACAGUUAUUUCCAACUUCAUGAAGUUUGAAAUUAUGGUGAUUAUGCUUACAAGUAUAUUUAGCAUCAGCCUAGCAUUUUCCACCACUUCAUCUGAAGAUUGGUCUUCUGCAGCCAACAACCUGUUCAAGUUUUUGAGCUGAGCAACAGCAGCUGAAUAUACCAAAAAAGGACGCCAAUGAGAUAUAAUCCAUUAAAAAAGACUCACAGAUGUUAGUUAGAGAAUUGAGAAGCUAUGUAUAAUGAUGUACACUUCACUGAAUAGCAAAGAGGUAUAUAUACAAUGAGGUCGUGAGCCUUACAGCUCAAAUCCCCAUAAAAGAAAACCAAACUCAUGGUGGAUUCAAAACAUGGAGCCUGAGCUUCUAAGGGUGGUAGAAAAUUAAAGUGUGCGUGUUAGUUAUGAAAUUAGCAACUUGAAGUUCUAAGAGUGUACUUAACAGGGUAUAGUGUUAAUCAACUGUUCAAAGUGAGGGUGAAUACAUGAUUUGGAAUUAUUGCUUAAGAAAUACAUGAUAUAUAAUUGUUAACAUGAAUAAGCAGGAGAGCUGAGUCAUUCCAUUAAAGAAGAAGGGUUAAAAGGACAGGACAAGAAUCCAGUCCCACACAGUUCUUAGAAUGGGUGAUCAGCACCUGACAGAACUCCUACCUUUUAGUAGAGAAGUAAUCUUCUGUACACCACCAUAGUAGCUGAAUACUCUACAGUUAUGCAAGGAGCGAGUCAGAAUUUCCAAACACUCCAGAACUUGCAAUAUUUGUGAGCUUAAACCCAGGUUAUUUUGUUGCCCUGAAUGAUGAUUUGUAGGAGAUACCGGACUGUUACCACCUAACCAAAUAUGAUUUAAAUAUAAGAACAGCUGUCAAAAGCAAAAUCCAUAUAAUUAAAAACAAACAAUAUAGUCUAUUUCUCAUUCAUAAAGUGAGCAUUCUGCCAGAUAUUGUUCAUUCAGAAAAUAAAUUCUAAUAAAGUCUUUACACAAAGUCACAUUGAUUAAUGCUCAACUUGCUCAAGCAUCUUUUCAGAGCCAUAAAAGCUAACUUAUUUUCAAAUUAGUAAAGGUUACCUCUAAUGAACUACAUUCCACAAUGCAAGAUUGUGUUCAAGGGGGGAAACACCAACACACCACAACACAACUGCAAAGUUAGCCGCAAGUGCAAUGGCUCAACAAGAUAAAGCAAAAGUGUUCAACAAAUAGAAAAAAUGUCAGCAUUUUAGCAAUAUCCUUAGACUACCUCCUCCUUAUUCAACUACUUUAAACUUUAAAGGCAUAUAAGUAAACCUAAUUUUACUGAAAGUUCCAUCAUGUUAUGCCACUGAAAGUUCCAUCAUGUUUUGUUUCAGCAUAUUGUAUAUUAAUAAGGCCUCAAGCCCUGAAGGGCAUAAAAAGAAGGAAAAGUUGGGUUUAAGGGAUUUCAAGCUUUGUGACAUUUGUUGUGGAUCAUGGACACAACAAUAUUAUGCAAAAUUCUGAUUUGAUGAGCAUUAAAAUAAAAUAAUGUCAACUCAGGUGUUUGUAGUUGUAGCCCUUAAGCUGAUGGCAACAGUUAGGUAUAGGGUAAUUUAGUCAUUUCAUCAGUCUUCUCACAAGUCACAACCCUAUGAGCAGUAUAUAUUACUCCAAACUUUCAACGCUUGCAGUGUUUGCUUGCAAAUGGGCACAACUUAGCAUUGUCCACUAGCAAAAACAGGUUUGUGGGAAGCAAAUUUCACAAAACUUUGAUUUUAAGAAGCCAAAUUUGUCCAAGAAGAGCAUUGUAACCAUGAUCAAGAAAGAGUUGUUUCGUGAACAUAGAAUGGAAGGUCGGGAGAUUUACCACAUGCAAAGCAGAACUAACAAGCAUCAAAAUUAUGAAUUUAAAAAUCACAAAAUAUUGGAGGAAUGUCACAAUAAAUAGCCACUACAGAAUAAAGCUGCUUACUUUCGGUAAAAGUUGAUGUAAUUAGAGAAAUCUCCUGAAUCAGAAUAAGAAUGACCUCAGAAGGAUGGCCGCAAGAGCAUCCUACAACUGUUUCAUUAUUUUCUAAUUCUUGGUCAACCAAUUGCUCGGUUGGGUGUGGUCCCCAAUCUCUGAAUGUCUCUACAAAUUGUAAGACAAAAAUUUGAAGAGAAUUUUCCUUCUCGGCCUGUAAGAGCACAAGAUGUAAUACACCAUAACUAUAUAAAGUGGUUGCAUAAAAUUCUGAACAAAUUGCCAGCAGAAUAGUUGUGUACUGCAGCAGGUUAUGUUAUCAUGAAGCCAAAACAUAUAUGUUAUUUACCAUUAAGUAAAUAUCGGGUUAUUGCAUUUAAGGCAUUGACUUUACAUUUUUGGAAGAAGAAAAUAGCAUAAUAAAUCAUCAUCAUCAUGUUAAGGCUAGUUUUGGGUCAAAGUUGAACCAAACUUCAAAUUUGAGAGAAACAUAUAUUGUUCAGCAAAGAUUAAUCUUUGCUAUAGACAAACAAACUCUAAUCAUGGUGCCCAAAAUGCUUACCAAGCAUUAACACAGACUAUUUUAGUCAUUAGACUUAGUUAAAGCCCUAGUUUGGUUUUGGAUAAUUGAUGAAACCCUAAGUACUAACCUCUAUACUAAGUGUGUGUAGACUUAAUAAGGUUGGUACAUGCCAAGUGAUGGAGCAAGUGAUGAUCAUGGUGAUGAUGGUGAUGACCACAAGAUGAUCAAGUGCUCAACUUGGAAAAGAAGAAAGAGAAAAACAAACCCUAUGGAGAUCAAGGCAAAGGUAUUGCUUAGGGUUUUGGUUUUAGUGAUCAAGACACCAUAGAGGGUGUGAUCACAUUUAGGAUAGAUAGCCGUACUAUAAAGAGGGGAAUUCUUUGGCUAAGCGGUUAUCAAGUGCCACUAGGUGUCAUUGUUCAUGUGCAUGCAUUUAGAACCUAGUGAGCUAACUUAACUCCUUCGAAGAAAAUGAUUGUGAAAAUGCUAACACACGUGCACAUGUUGGUUUACACAUUGUGGUGUCGGCGCUUUUCGAGAAAAUGAAGUGCAUAUUUUCUAUUGCGCCGGAGGGAAAUUUGGUGAAGUCGCGGGAGUGUUUCUCGCUGAGAAAACACUCACCGGACACUGGCUUAGAGGCACCGGACGCUGUGUUUGAGCAUCCAGUGUGCAGACAGUGCCUGGCCCAGCUAGGGUAAGGCACCGGACGAUAGGCACCGGACGCUGGCUUGAGCGUCCAGUGGUGCGCGUCCGGUGUGCAGGCGUUUUGUGACCCUCUCUGCGCAUGGGUCCGGUGAGCACCGGACGCUGAGGGUGCGUCCGGUGGCUUGCGUCCGGUGAACCUACGAGUUUGCGGAACUCUCUGCGCAUGAGUCCGGUGUGCACCGGACGCGUCCGGUGCUAACUUGCUCAGCGUCCGGUGCUCUGCAGGUUACCGUUAGACUCUGACACGCGGCUGAUGUUGGAGCACCGGACGCUGGUGUUGAGCGUCCGGUGCCCCUUUAAGAGCGUCCGGUGACCCCGAGUUUUGCCCAGUGAAAGAGCCAACGGCUCUUUUUGUUUGAGGGGCUAUAUAUACGUGUUUGGCCGGCUUGGGGCUUACACUCUUGGCAUUCUAACAUACUUGACAUCCUUGUGAGCCUAAGCAAACUCCUCCCACUCAUCUCCUUCAUAGAUUAAACAUCUUUGUGAGAUUGGGAGUGAUUCCAAGUGCAUUUGCUUGAGUGAUUGCAUCUAGUGGCACUUGGGGAUCGAUUUGGCUCCGGUUUUCUUGUUACUCUUGGUGGUUGCCGCCACCUAGACGGCUUGGAGCAGCGGAGGAGGAUUGGCACGAGUUGGUGAUUGUUCGUGGCCAUCUCCCGGUGAUUGUGAGAGGUUUGUGCCUACCUCGGCGGAGAGCCAAAGGCAACAUUAGUGGAUUGCUCGUGUCAUUGAGCUACCUCACUUGUGGGUAGGUUCUUGUGGUGUCCUAGUGAGGACGAGGUUCGUGCUACACCUCUUAGCCACCGAACCACCAAGUGUUGGUCGACACAACGGGGACGUAGCGUGUCGGCAAGCACGUGAACCUCGGGAGAAAAAUCGGUGUCUCAGUUGUGUUUGAUUGGCAUUCUCCCGGUGCUUGGUUGUUUAUAUUGGUGAUUGGUUCAUCCCCUACUCGGUGGUAUAAUUAUCUCAUCCACUCUUUUACAUUCCCGCAAACUAGAGUAGCUUACUUACUUGUAUAGAAACUUUAGGUAGCUUUCUAGUGUAAGUAGUGACAUAGCUCUUGUGUGCCUAGUGAUUAUAUCAACUAGAAUUGUUGGAUAGGUGGCUUGCAAACACCCCAUUAGAGCUAGAGCAAAAAGCUUCGCUUUGUUAUUUACUAACCUCUUGCUCUAGUGAGUUUGUAGAAUUUGUAAAUAGGCUAUUCACCCCCCCCCCCUCUAGCCAUAUUAGGACCUUUCACUUAGCCUACGACUUUUAAAGAUGUUUGUUUGUUCAAACAAUUUGUGUUCCUGUCACCCCCUAAGUUAUGCUUGGAUGACACUGUUACGAACCUUGGAAAUCUAAGAGCAUGCCGACUCCUAAAGUGGAGAUGAGUAUAUAUAGCAUACUAGAGACUACAGAGCCACAUGGGCCUAGGCCAUAUAGGCCUAUAAUAUAAGAGCCAUUUAACAUCCCCCUUCAAACUCAAGGUGGAAGUGGAGGAUUGGAAGCAUUGAGUUUGAUCAAGUGAAGUUGAUGCUGCUCUCGAGUUUGUGCUUUAGUGAAAAGUCAGCAAAUUGCAGUUCUGAAGGCACAUACUAGAGAGAAAUAGUUUUCUAUUGGAAAUGAGACCAAGUAAAGAAGGCACCACACCAAUAUGCUUUGUAAGUUCAUGCUUAACAAGAUCAUUGGCAAUUUGUAUGGCCCCUGUAUUAUCGCAGAGAAGAGGUGUGGCAACAUCACAAGAAACACCAAAAUUAGCCAACAACAAUCGAAGCCAAACAAUCUCUGUAGUAGUAGUAGUAGCAAGGGCUCGAAGUUCGGCCUCCAUACUAGAACGAGAUACAACUGCUUGUUUCCUAGACUUCUAUGCGAUAGGAGAAGAACCAAGAAGAAUGCAGUAUCCUAUCAUGGAAUGUUGAUCAUUUAGAUCACUCGCCCAAGUGGAGUCCGAGUAAGCAUGAAGCUAAAGCGAACUAUCAUGUGCAUAGAAUAGGCUCUGAGAUGAUGUCCCCCGUAAGUAUCACAACACACAAAGUAAAUGUCCAAAAUGAACAGAAGUUGGGUCAUAAACAAAAUGACUCAAAAUAUGGAUAACAUGAGCAAUAUCCAGCCUAGUGACAGUGAGAUAAACAAGGCUGCCCACAAUGUGGCGAUAUCGAGAUGGAUCCUCAAGAGGUACCCCAUCAGUGAGAUGAAGUUGUAAGUGAAGAUCCAUCGAUGUAGCAGCAACUCGAUUAUCAGUGAUGCCUGAACGAGCAAUAAGAUCCUAUAUAUACUUAGACUGAGAAAGAUGAUAUCCUUUGGUGGAUUGCUUGACCUCAAUGCCUAAGAAAUAGCUGAGAGGAGCCAAUCGUACAUUUGAAACUCAGCACUAAGUUGUUUGUUCACAUAAGAAAUGUGAUCCUCAUUAUCACUUGUAAUCAACAUAUCAUCAACAUACAGAAGAAGUAAAGUACGACCAUGUGGUGACAAAUGAACAAAUAAGGCUAGAUCAUGAUCACUAGGUGAAAAGCCAGCAGUUUGAAUAACAGAUACAAAGCACUCAUGCCAAGCAUGAGGGGGAUGUUUGAGGCCAUAUAAAGCACAACGAAGACGACAAACAUAUCCUAGAGGAGCAACAACACCUGGGGGUGGUUGCAUAUAUACUUCUUCAGUCAAAUCACCAUGAAGAAAAGCAUUCUUGACAUCCAUUUGAGAUAUGGGCGAAGAAGAAGCAACCACUGCAAGUAACAUACGAACCGUCGUCAUAUGAGCAGCAGGAGCAAAUGUCUCAUCAUAAUCUAGACCUUGGGUCUGCUGAAAACCUCUGGCAGCAAGAUGAGCUUUAUAUCGCUCUAUAGAGCCAUCUAACUUGGUCUUAACUUUGAAUACCCACUUGGAUGUAAUUGGUAUCAUGUGUGUUGGUAAUGGAACAAGAUCCCAAGUGCCCUGACGAUCAAGGGAAGCAAGUUCCUCAGUCAUAGCGAACUACCAUUCUGGAAUACAAGAAGAUUCCUGAUAAGUGGAUGGCUCAUCAACAAUAGCAUUGACAUGAGGAAAACCAUACUUUUCUGUAGGAUGAAUAGAGCUGUGAUCGUGAAGAAUAUAUCGUGAAGCAGCCUAUAACUCAUCAGAAACAAUAGAUGACUCAUCAAUAGUAUUAUUAUCAGAAUCAGUAACAGCGAGCUCAUCAGGACUGGCCAAGGUGGUAGAACUAGAAGGAAGUUGUGUAGUGUUUUUAGGAUGAUGACUGAAAACACGGGUAAUGGGUAGUUCAGAAAAAGAUUGUGGUGGUGGUGGAGUUGUUUUAGGAGGAAAAGGUGGUGUGAUGGAAAUAGGAGCAGAAGGUGUGGAGGCAUCAUUGCUAGAUGAAAAAGGAGGAAGACACAAAAAGGAGGUGGAUUCUAUGGGGGAAUACGAGGGCUUGGUGGAUGGGUUAUAAAAGAAAGGACGGUCCUCAACAAAAGUAACAUCACGAGAGAUGUGUAUGCAACGGGAAGAAGGGUCAUAGCAUUGAUAACCCUUAUGUUCAGGACUAUACUCUAGAAAAACACAUUCAACGGACUGUGCAGUCAAUAUAGUGCGCUCAUGAGGGACAAGCAAAACAUAGCAUGUGCAUCCAAAAACACGAAGGUGGUCAUAGCUAGUAGGAGUACCAUAAAGUACUUCACCAUGGCAUUGAUCGGACAGCUUGGAUGAGGGUUGCCUAUUGAUGAGGUAGACAGUAGUGGAAAUAGCUUCACCCCAAAAAUGAGAAGGGAAAAAAGAUGAAAUCAAAAGGGUGCGAGCUAUGUCUAUGAGAUGGCGAUGUUUUCAUUCAGCAACACCAUUUUGAGCAUGAGCACCUAAACAAGAGAGUUCUGCAAGGGUACCCUCAGAGGACAAAAAAUGGCAAAAAGCGACAGACAAAUAUUCACCCCCCAGAGUUAGAGCGUAGAAUUUUAAUGGGAGUAGAAAAUUGUGUGUGAACCAUUUGAAAAAAACACUAAUAAAUGGAACACAACUGCUAACGAUGUUUCAUGAAAUAAACCCAUGUAUAGCGAGAAUAAUUAUCAAAAAAAUGACAUAAUAUUUGUGCUCACCCUUUGUAGCAAAGGGUACAGGACCCCACACAUCUGUAUGAAUAAGAUCAAAUGGUCUAGCAGACUGAGAAACACUAGAAGAAUAAGGAAGUUGUAUUUGUUUGCCAAGUUUACAACUCUUACAAUGAAAGCUAGACUCAAUAGAUGUAUGACAUAAACAAACUUUAUUUAUCAUGGAGGACAAACGGGACCUACAAAGAUGACCAAGAUGAUGAUGCCACUUGGCAAAGGAGGCGAAGGAUGAUGUAGCGGAUGAGGCAUGAGCUGUAGAUGUAAUAGAUGAAGGGAGACGUAGGGUGUCUAGAACAUAAAGGCUAGAAGCACCUUUACGGCGAUGACUAGUCCCAAUCACUUCCCCGCUGCGACGGUCCUGAAUAAAACAAGAUGAGUCAUCAAAACCAACAAAACAAUUUUGGUCGAUGGCUUGACCAGCCGAUAAAAGAUCCAUAGAAAACUGAGGCACAAAAGAAACAUCUGGUACACAAAAAUGAUUAUUGCAAACUGAACCCUGAUGAGUGAUAUGACAAGAAGUAUCAUCAGCACCAUUAGUGACCGAUUUGCAGGCAACCAGCUGGGACUGAUCGGAUGUCACAUAAAAGGAAGCUCCAGAAUCAAGCACCCAGGAUGAAGGAGCACUGACAGUUGAGGAAGAAGCAACACAAACAGUACCACUAGCUAAACCUUUAGGGGUGGAAGAAGUACCACGACCAUGAGCAGCAUGACGAGCACGAAAUUCAGCCAACUUCUUUGGAUGCUUAGCAAAACAAUUAUCAAAACUAUGAUUAGUCUUGCCACAAUGCUUACAGGGUUCUUUGGAUGCAUUGGUCCUCUGAUGAGAAGCUGCCAACACACUGUGGGGGUUAGGCACAUAAGAAGACAAGGCCUGAAGACGUGUCUCUUCAGCAAGCAAGUUAGACGAUGCCUUUGCCAUGGUCAGAGUAGAAGAUGUAUGAAGCAAUCUUGUACAAGUAGAAUCAAACUUUGCCCUGACUCCCAUGACAAAUAUGUAGGUGAGAAACUGCUCAAUAAAUGAAAGUGUUGUACAGUUCUCGCCUAUAGUACACCAAGGCACCAUAGAGAUCAAAGAACCCAUCAAACGAUCAAAAGUAGAAUAAUACUCAUCAAUGGACAUAUCCCUCUAUUCAAUAACAUAAAGCUACUGCAUGAGAGUAUGUUGAAGAGCACCACUUUCCUGAACAUAGUGUGCCUUCAAAUAAGACCACAUGGGUUUAGCUUGCUUGAAUUUACACAAACUCAUGAUCAUGGUGGGUUUGACACUAUUAACCAUAGCAGUCAUAACUUUUCCAUCAUUGAUUUCCCAAGUUUUGAUGGCAGAAGCAUUACUAUUAUCAGACUUAAGAGUUGGUGGAUCAUCAGUCAAAUGAAAGUAAAGACCAUGACCCCCUCAAUGCAGUAUCAACGGUAAAAGCCCACUCUAAAUAGUUCUGUCCAUCUAGUGUGAUAUUGAUGACAUAGCAGAAUGAUGAGACUGAGACUGAGACAUGAUGGAUAACUCCAGAUAAUAGUAAUAGGAGACAAAUAAAUAGCAGGAAUAUCACCACAACUGAGCAAUUGCUCUGAAGACAGGCAGCAUGUAGGCUGGUGGAGUCCAGCGGGUGUGAAGGCAGGCAGCUGGGGUCAGAUCGCAUCCACACAUGAAGACCACACACGCCUGGAGCAGAUCCCCGACACGGACAUGGGAUGAAGUCGUUUGCACACGUGGAAGACUUCCACGCGUGGAGGAGUCACGCGCUUGCGUGUGAGGGCGAGGACCCGCAUGCCUGCAGGGGACAUCUGCGCGACUGCGCCUGGAGUGGAGGACGUCCGCGCCUAGACCUGCGCACCUACAGGGGAUGUCCACAUGUGGAUGUGUGCGUGGAGGAGUCCGUGAAGGCGAGGACCCCAUGCAUGAAGUCUCUUUUCUGCGUGUGAACUCGUGCAAGAAUGAUGAUGUCGAUCGAGUGGCGACAGAAGAUACCAGCACACGGCGACGGGCUGCACGAUGACGGACGGCACGAUGACGGGCCGUAGGAAGAUAACCGACGCGACGACGGGUCAUGCGGAGCAGAGGAAUGCACGAUGACAGAUCGUGCAAAACAAAGGUUCCAAGGAGAAGAAUUGGAUUCCAAGGGGAAGAAUUGGAUCACGGGCGAAUUAGAUCAGGCAAAUCCUAACCCUAAUCCUUGGCUUUGAUACCUUGUUACAAACCUUGGAAAUCUGAGAGCAUGCCGACUCCCGAAGUGUACAUGAGUAUAUAUAGCAUACUAGAGACUAGAGAGCCACAUGGGCCUCGGUCAUAUAGGCCUAUAAUAUAAGAGCCAUUUAACAAACACAUUACUAAGUCAUCCCAUGGAUAACAGUCACAUGGACACUAAAAUAUAUGGCUAGUCCUUUGUUCCUCUUAGGCUCUUACAUUAUAUUGAAGUAUGGAAAUAACUAGGAAAUUUUUAGAUUGGAAAUAUGUGUCUAGUUUAAGAUCCUAACUGUGAGCAGAACUAGAAGGAAACUGCCAAGCUUUCAGAAAAGUACCUUAUCAAGUGCAUUCUCAUAAUUCUUCCAAAGUACAUUCAAGGCUCCCUCCUCCAGACUACCACUGAAACCAGAUAACAGAGCAUGAGAAACAUUCACACAAUCAAGUCAAGCACCAAAAAGAAAAGGCUACAAGAUCUUAUACAGAUUUAUUUAUAGAAUUAAAAUCAGCAUGCAGAUGCUACACCUGUGCCAAGCUAACAUUAAUAAUUUGCUUAAUUGGCAAGGAUUAAUGUGAUUUCCCAUGAGAUGCAUUCCAUAUACCCAUCUUACUCAUCAGAGAAGAAAAGGAGUUAAAACCAAGCAGCCCGACAAUCAUACAAUUCUUUGUGUUAUUUGGUAGGAAAGACUCACAGGCAAGCUUAACUUUGAGGCUACAUGUGGUUUACUUUUAUCUCAAUCAUUUUUAGAUCAAAGGCUUUGCACCCAGCUUAUAUUGAAAGCUGAAAAGGCACCUUUUGUAUCUGAAUCAUGACUAACAUCAGUAUUUGGUCACAACAAACAAGUUUUUGCUACCUUCAAGGAUGAAGAGUGCAAAUGGCUUGCCACAGGGACAAAUAAACUCCAGUAGUCUACAUCAAAAUGAUGUUGCAGCUGCGGAUUAGAAAUAGUCAUUUGGUCUUUGUUUUUAGGAUUUAUGGUUACUUGAGAAUUGAGAUGAUGUUGUACUUUUCUCGUUUGUCAAUCUCACAUGCACAUAUACAUUCAUUUUUCGUUUCCUUUCCUUCUGUUGUUUGCAAAGCCAUGGUUGCACCGGUCAGUAUAAGUAGUUUGUAUAGCCAUUCUUAACUAAUGGGUGGAUUGGUUCAGGUAAUGGGCAUGCUAAACAACCCAUAAUAUUACGGUAAUUCUCCAUACAGGGCGUCCGUCCGUCCAAACGAACCCGUCCACGUUGCGCACCGCGCACCCUGCGCGUCCCGCCUCCAAUCCUUCAUUAAUUAUCGUGAUUUUUUCAAUUAAUUUUCUCUAGUCACGCGUGGGAAAUAGCUCACUUCAUCUGAUCAAUCACUAGUCAUAGGAAUCCAAACAUGCAUACUUGCCACUUAAUUAGUACUCAUGCCCUGCUACAUCACAUCCCGUACGUGGUCUCCACCACUUUCCUAGUGUGCAUGCAGUCUCAAAACAUGGGCGACUUUGGCCAUGUGGAAUUUUUUCAUCGAGACAUGCAAUGCUUAGUAUUUUUUUAAGGAUGCAUGUCACCAGUGGUGUGUGUAUAUGCACAUACAUGCAUAUUAAAAUGGAAACUAAUUUGUGUGUGGAUGAACUCAGCACCACCAACCUCUGUGUCACUCCAUGUCAUUGAGUUCCAUGUUGAAUCAAGGUCUUUGUAUCCCAUGUGUUUUAAAAUGUAUGUUUCAGGUGAAUAUUGUAAAAGUAGAUUUGGUAUUUGUAUAUGUUGCAAAUGGCUAUAUAUGUAUGUUGUGAUUGUACAGUUUCAUCUGUUUCAAAUGUAUAUUACAAGUGUGUUUAUCCCGUGUUGCAUAUGUUGCAAUGGUUGUACACGUAUGUUGCAAUUGCAUGUUUUCAACAUUUCAUCCGUUUUAAAUGUAUGUUGCAAAUGUUUUAUCUGGUGUUGCAUAUGUUGCAGUAGCUAUACACGUAUGUUGCAAUUAUAUGUUUCCCAUAUUUCAUCUGUUCAUACAUAUGCUACAAGUGUUUUAUCUAGUAUUUCAUACGUUGUAGUUGUAUAUGUUUUAAAUGUUUCAGCUAUUUCAGAAAUAUGUUGUAAGUAUUUUAUGUAGAUGUUGCUGAUGUUGCAGUGGCUAUGCAUAUUUGUUGUAAUAGUAUGUUCCAAAUAUUUUAUUUAUCUUAAACAUACGGUGAGAAGUAGUUCAUAUUUAAAAUGUUUUUAUAGGAAGUUUGCGAAGCAGCAAUAGACGGGCAUGCCUAGGCGCGCAGCAGCAGUCGCAUGGGGGUGCGUGUAGCCAAACAGCGAGCCAGCAGCGCAGCAGCAGGCGUGUGCAUCCCAGCAGCGGCACGCAGCAACAGCACACGCGCAUAGGCGUGCAACAGGAUCUUGCGCAUGCGGCCACAUGUACCUGUAUUGUACGUGUCAACACUCUUGACAUGCAGAUGGACGUGCUCACUAGUAUCUCCAUCUCACCGUCUUCUAUAGAAUUAAUUAAUUAAUUAAUAGCACUUAGCCAGUCACUUUUUUAGGAACUUGCAUGCUGCUGCAGCAGCAGCAUGUGGAGACAGAGUAGGCAAACACGCACGGAAUAAAUUAUAGAAGAGCGGAGAGUUAAAGAAAAAGGCGCAGCAACCUACCCGUACUCGGGCGUCCGAACAUGGGCUAUCCGACAGACGUCCGGGCGCUAGCUCUGCCGAUAAUAUUAAUUUAACAAUUUGGAGCCAAGCUAAUAUAUGAUUAAACUAUCAUCUUGAAACGAAGCCCCACUGGCUCACUGCCACUUCGAACCACUAAUGGUGAGUUUCAAGUCACCGGCACAACAUUCUCCAACGGAUAACUCGAAUCUCGCGCAAUCACGACGAGCAUGGGAGAUUAUGUAACCCACACAACCACCGCGCUACGCAAGUCGCGUCAUGUAUAACCUAUGGGAAUUGAGAGUGCCAAGGUGAAUGAGCGAGUGCAAUCAUUGUCGCGCAUACCUGAAGACGACGCGCGGGGUGGGCGCAUCGUCGAAGUCGCUGGCGGGGAAGGAGGUGGUAGGCGCCGCAUCACCGCCCGGUGCGAGAGGAGGUGGUGGUGGUGGCGCCUUGCGGAGGUAAUCGGCAACGCCGCGCACAAUGUUCAUCUCGCAUCCGACCAAAAGCCUAGCACGGCAUCCUCGCCUCCGCCUCGCCGGUCGCGAAGAGAAAACCUAGCUGAUUCGAAUUGGGCCUCGACGAUGGGGAUCGCUUAGGGGGGAGAUUUGCGAGGACGAAUGGGGAAUUCCGUGUGUGAUUGUUGGCAUGCGCACGUCGAGCUCGCCUAUGUUUAGAGUGUGAAAUGGGAGGAUGGAGGAGCGAUCGGAAGAUAGUAACUAGGAGUGGGAGAGGGCAGGAGGAGCUUGUGGUUGGGAAGGAGACGAGGAAGAAGGAAGAAGUUUAGGGGGUGCUUUGCAAAAUGGUCCAACUAAUCCGACUGUUAACUAUUUUAAAACUGUCUGCUUCUCUUGCACGCUUGCGCCUUUUGUGCCCAACGCUACAUGGCUAUGAAGGUUGUAUGUAUGUAUUGUUCGUUUCACACUUUGGCCUUGUUUAAAUCUAAAAAGUUUUUUUAGAUUUUGACAUUGUAGUAAAACUGCACAAUUAGUUUUUGUUUUCAUCUAUGACCUUGUUUAGUUCACCUUAAAAACUAAAAAAAAAUUAAGAUUCUCCAUCACAUCGAAUCUUACGGCACAUACAUAAAGCAUUAAAUAGAUAAAAAUAAAAAUUAAUUGCACAGUUUGCCUGUAAAUCGCGAGAUGAAUCUUUUGAGCUUAGUUAGUCCAUGAUUGGACAAUAUUUGUCAAAUAAAAACGAAAGUGCUACAGUACCCUAAAUAAAAAUUUUUGGAAACUGAACAAUGCCUAUAUUUAAGGCCUUGUUUAGUUCACCCAAAAGCCAAAAAAAUUUCGAGAUUCUUUGUCACAUCAAAUCUUGUGGUACAUGUAUGGAACAUUAAAUAUAGUUAAAAACAAAAACUAAUUAUACAGUUUGCCCUGUAAAUCGCGAGAUAAAUCUUUUAAGCCUAGUUAGUCCAUAAUUGGACAAUAUUUGCCACAAACAAACAAAAGUGCUAUAGUGUCCGAAAACUUUUCAUUUUGCCACUAAACAAGGCCUUAAUGUCGCAUGCAUAUAUCGUAAGAUUCGAUAUGACGGAAAAUCUUGAAAAGUUUUUGGUUUUUACGGUAAACUAGACAAGGCCUUUCUUCAGUCUUUCUUCAGCAUCUUCGGUUCAUUCGAAUAGAUGAGAAAUCUGACGGUGUAUGCAACGAAAAACAAAAAUCAGGUAACUAUGAAUAUUAUCAUUAUCAUCAUCAAUGAUGUGAGCGAGGAAGCGAGAAAGCUUCCCAUACAACAAAUCCACCGGGAAUGUUUUAACUACAAUUGCUAAAUAAUAUAUGAGCUGGUUGAUCAUCAGCGCCACAAAACGGAACUCUGUUCAGCAAUCUGAACACCCCAAUUAUCUCUGUUCAACAAAUCCCUGGAAGUUCCGGCCACCCCUUCGUUGCCAGAAACAAACAAGGUCUUGCCGUCUUGGGUUCAGGGCUUCAGCUUCAGAGAGGCCUCGUCCGGCGGCCAGAGGCCCGGCCGCAGAGCAGUGCGUUCUUGGGGAUCGGGUUCUCGUCCCGCCACGAGUUCGCUGGCGAGUAGACGCGGAGGUAGAACUGCUGGCCGAGGUACUGCCUGGCCCAGCUCUCCGACCUCACGUUCCACAUCCCCACGUUGUCCAGCGGCAUGUAGAUAGCUGUCCAUGACUGAGGGUACACCUGAAAACAUGGCCAGCGUAAAACAAGUGAACAUCCAUGGCUGUUCAGACAUCAGAACAAUUUCUUAAUCGACUUCUUGUUAUGGCACCGCAACAGCGCUGUUAAGGGAACUGCAUAUCCAGGUAUAUGUAGAUCAAGGUGAAAUCACACAUGGUGAAUGACCGGUUUGAACAAUACCUGCAAUGUGUACCGAGCAAUGGCGUCUCUAAGGUUGUAUCCCUGACGACUAGCCGGUGUCCACUGUCCUCCAUCCAUCCUGAUCAUCCAGAAACAAACAAAAUCACAUCAAUCUUCAGUCAUCCGGAUCUAGCUAUACAAAACAUAUAAGGAUCACCAAGAAUGGAACUAGUAGACGCACCCGACGACCCAGAACGCGUAACCGUCAAUGUGCCACGACUGCACGAAGUUCUCUGUAUUUUGAAAGACGAUCUCAACAUAGUCCCGCAUGUUGGCCGCCAUGACAGAUGUCUGGAGGUAAGCACCGCCACCGGUUGGGUUGUCGGGCAUGCUGCCCAGCGUGAAAACCCCUGGGAUCUUGUAGAAAUCAGCAACUUUAAGAGGGGUGUCAGCCGGGAUGAAGGAGAUGCUGUUGACUGCGUAUCUCAGCUUGCCGUUGAUGGUUGCCCGUGAGUUAGCGAGUAUGAUGGUCCUUGUGGUGUUGACGAGGCCAUAGUGGUAAGAACCUUGAGGAUUUGGCCUUGGUCCACUCGCUGUCAGAUUCCACCUGUUCAGAAGGUAGGCAACAAAAUAUACCAAAGAGUCAGGGAAGACAAACCGCAUGCGUUCUCAAUGUGACAGUAAUGUUUUUUUGAUGAAAAUUGUGACAGUAAUGUUGUUAUGGUAUGAUAUCCAAAACAAAGUUUCAGAGCAAGCAGAUUACUGAAAGGAUUGUGACGGUCUUACCGAAUCGAUCUAGCCUGGUUGAGAGAAAAAUCGAUCUCAACUGUAGGCGCUGCGGGAGGUGGUACUGUUGCAGCACCAUUUGAAUUGCUGUAGUGGAGGAUGGCAGUGGUGGUGAGGACAGGGGUGGUAAAACGAGUGGAGAUAAUUAUGGAGUAGUCUGCAGGUGGCUGAUCAGCAGUAACAAGGAACGAGUAUGAUUGGCCUAGAUGGAUGUCGAUGGAUGUGUAUGUGCUCUGCAUGGUGUGAGACCCCUCCACCUCUACCAGGAGCAUGGAAUGGCCUUGAAUCCUUAUAUUCACUGACGUUGCAAUGCCCACAUUCGACACCCGAAAACGAUAUGUUUUCCCUGGCAAGAUUACGUAAAGCAACUUUAGCACAACUCUGUCUAUACGAAGAUUACUAAUAAUUACCAGGCAUUUCAUCUGAUGUACUCGAUUCUAUAGUUUACCUUGGUCUACUGUAAAUCUGUUGCCAUUCCAGCCUUGGCCAUUAAUAAGAAGGCCAUCAGGCAACGGCAGGUCAUUACCACUAUCCAAAAUGCCUUUCAGGUCCUGCGGGGAUUCAUAGUUGCAGUGUUAUUAGCAGUGCACCAAAAUGGGUGGUAAGAUGCAAUGCAGGAUACUUGGGGAUGUAAACAUACAGUGUGAUUGAGCUUGAACCAGUCACCAGCUAAUAUGGUGAAAUCACCGGCAGGUGGGUCAAAUGGGACAGGGAUCCUCGGCCGGCUAAGAACCCUGAUGCCACCAUAACCACCGGCUGCCUUGUGAAAUAGAAGGGAAGGGAAGUAGUAGUAGGUCCCGAUUUGGUCCUUGAACUGCAUGUUGUAAGUGAAAUUGCCACCCGGAGGGAUGGGGCAGUUGGUACCAUACACGCCGUCUUGCCAUGAGCUCCUCCGCUGCUGAAUUCCUUGCCUGCAAUGUAGAAGAGUAAAAAAAAAAGAACAGUUAAUCCUCAAAAAUUAACAUUGAUCCACAACAUCACACAGUGGUCCACGGUCAAGUAGCCAUGAGAUUGAUGCAUUUAACAUUCAGUAUAGUCAGUCCACAGGUAAUAUGGACAAUGUGCAUUUGCCUUAAUGUGGUAAGCCAUAGCCACUCUUGCCACUCUCUUAAGGCAAAAGAAGCCAUAGAUCGCACUAAUGUGCAAAUGCUCAAUGCUAAACAACUGGAGGCCCACUGAUCUAUCAUCUAUGGAAGCUCGCGUUGUUUGUACAUGUGCUCUUUGCAUCCUGGAUCUGGAACGAAAGCGAAAGCACAAGUAAAAAGGGGGGGGAGGGGAACUAUAAUAAGGAUACAGAUUGGGCGGAUAUUAAUAUAUUAUAAAUAGUAUCAGAUUCCUCUACUAGCUACUCUCCAUGACAUGAACGUGACAUGCAGUAGCAACAAAACAAGCGGUGCAAGGCAACCAAAGAUUCACUGCUGUGCCUACUCUAUCCAAGGAAAAUUUUUAACUGCAAACUUGGACUUGAAGGCCGGACAUGUUUCACUCACUCAAGCGUAGUCCAUGUCUGAACAGAUACCGAUCCCACUAGUCUCACGAACGACACAGCAUGUGCCAAGGAGUUGGCAUUUAUCCCGGGAACGUCAGGAAAUAGCAUUUCCAGCGAGAAAGAGAACAGAGGUAACAGUAAGACUCAGAGCACGAUCUGGAUCACGCCGCUGCAACUACAAAUCUGGAGUUCUGGAGCACCGACUCAGGGCGUCCAGCUGAGAAAAGAGCCGAUCGACCAGUUGCAUUGCAUUGCAUUGCAUUGCAUCCUAGAACAUUCAGAUGGAAGCAUGCCAAUCUUGAACAGGCAAGAGUUUUUUGAGCGAGACAGUAAAAAUAAAAAGAAAAAAGAAAACAGAGUACAAGUGGUAACAGGAAGUUGCUGCUGGUGCUAGGAGGAGGAGGAGGAGGUUACCAGGAGAGGAGGAAGGGGACCGGCAGGUUGUUGAAGACGUUGACGAUGAUGUUGUCGUUGGUGACGGCGUCGAUCUGCGGCCCCGGGAACUGGCCGUUGAUCAGUAUCCCCUGCAUUCGCAGUCACAUCACAUUCACAUUCACAUCCACGCGGCCAUUGCCGAAUGCAGGCCGAGGCCGGACCAAGGUAGAAGAACAGAGGCAGUGCGUGCGGGCGUACCUCCUGCUUGACGCCGAGCGGGUAGAUGUCGCCGAAGGUGACGUUCCAGGUGUAGAACCUGUAGGGGUCGUCGGCGCGCGCCUGCAGGAGCAGCGAGCCGAGGAGGAAGAGGACGACCAGGAAGAGGGGCGCGGGCGAGGAGGGGGGCUCCAUUCUUCUCCCCGUCUGUGGUACGGCGCUACUACACUAGCUAGCACUGCUAUCGCCUCGCCGCUCGGCCUUAUUAGCUGGAGGGCAGGAGCAGGAGGACGACGCGGCACGAGCGGCAGGGGUCAAACAGUGUCAGCGAGGGAAGGGACGGGACGGGACGGAAGGAGGGAGGAAACGGGGAUCUGCUGCUGCUGCUGCGGCGAGGGGUGGAAGUGGAACCGCGUGUGGGAGAGAAUAUAAAGGAGGGCGGUGCAGGUUUUUGCCCCGCUCUGGAUCCGAGGGGAGGGGUGGGGGAGUGCUGUCUGACUGUCUGCCAUGGCCCAUGGGCCAUGGUGCUCGUGAUUUCAGGGGGCGGGGUGGGGUAGUGGCAUGCAGGAGCUGUACCGUACGCGCCAGCGCCGCUACGCCUACGCGUGUGGUGGGGGAGACGGAGAUGGCAGGCGGCAGCGCGCGCAGCCUCAAAAACCCGAGCCAGGGUACGCGUUGGAUUCUUUACAGUGGACACUGGUCAGUGGGUAAUCUCGGUUUAUUAGGCUUCGUUCACGCGGCGAGCAACGUGCAUGGUAAACAUUUUGGCUUCUCUGGUUAAAACUAAUCCAUGCAUGAGUCAUUGAUUAUUCAGAAUAAAUGCAGCAUGACCUUAAGGUAUACUCUUGGUGUGGUGAUUAUUAAUUCAUGGAUAUCUGUUGCAUUUCUUCUUUUAGAUUAGAUUGAUGGAUGGAGCUAGAUAUACAUACUCUCUUCUUUGUUUGACUCAUUGAUGACUACAAGGUAUCCACCGUCCUGUAUUUCCUUUGGUCUGCGUUAGGGUGGGCAGAGUUCUUCACUUAGGAGUAAUUGAUAAAUUCUUAAAUAUAUCCAUAGUUUUUCUUUGUUGAAACAAUUGAUGAACCUAGAUAUCCACCACAUUUUUUUUCGUUUUAUUGACUGAUGACAUUAAAUAUAUUCAUAUCUCCUCUCUAUCUAUUUGAUUAUUAUAAUGAUUAUGUAUCCACUGCUUCCAUUUUUCUGGUCAACCAUAGGAUAAUGCAAAGAAUAUCCACAUCUCUCUUGCCACGUAAGCUUGACACAAACCUUAGGCCUUGUUUAGAUACACCCAAAAACCCAAAAUUUUACAAGAUUCUCUAUCACAUCGAAUCUUACGGCACAUGCAUGGAACAUUAAAUAUAGAUAAAAAAUAACUAAUUGCACAGUUUACCUGUAAUCACGAGACGAAUCUUUUAAGUCUAGUUACUCUAUGAUUGCACACUGUUUGUCAAAUAAAAACGAAAAUGCUACAGUGUCAAAAUCCAAAAAGUUUUUAGAUGUAAACAAAGCCUUAAUACAACACAUAUUCCCUCCGUCCCAAGAAGAGAGGUGCUAUGGGAUGUAUGUUGGUCAUUUUAAAAAAAAUAAUUAGUUUAAAGAAAAUAUUUGUAACAUUUGUAUCACUAAAUAAAUUUAUUAUAAAAUAUAAUAUAUAAUUUAUCUAAUGAUACUAAUUAUAAGUUAUAAAUACUACUAUUUAGUAUAGGUCUUUUUGGAUUUUCAAACUUAGUGUUGUACAAGAAAAGUAAUUGUAAUGGGUUCUCUAAUAACUAAGACAAAAAAAGGGUAAAAGUAGAGUUCAGCGUGAAGAGUAAAUGGUUCGGAAGAGCUCUUCAUCUAUACUGGCUAGGGCAAGAUUGGGUGGAAGAAUCCAAACCUUGCACGGGUGUGGAAUUACCUCGCAAAGAGCUCGACCGGCUACUCUUCAAUGUAUCAACAAAGGUCACAAUUGGUAAUGGCAAAAAGGCUCACUUCUAGCACAAAAGUUGACUAGACGGUGAGGCCCCAAGACAUCUAGCGUCCCACUUGUUCGAGCUAGUCAAAAGGAAAAACAAAUCAGUCAAGCUUAUAUUUGAGCAACGGCCCGACCCGCCCCAGCAUGGCACGGGCCCAUGCUAGGCACGACCUGAUAGGGCACGGGCCAAUAUGACCCGUCUAGCCUCCAUAGGCCACUGUGCCUGCCUAACGGCUCAAUAGUCCAUGUGGGCUAAUUUUCAGGUCGGACCGGCUCGAAGAGCACAAGGCCCAAUAGUCCAUCUGGCCAGCCCAUAGCCCGCUAUAUGAAAAACCCAGACUUAAUAUAGAAUUCAAUAAAACAUAAGUAAAUCACAUUCAAGUCACAUACCUUGAUAGUUCAAAAUUCACAUAACACAAUAUACUCCACAAAUCAUAUUUCACAUGCCAAAAAUCAGAAGUUUCACAAGUCACAGAACUUGGCACUUCAAGUUUCACAAGUUCCCUGAUACCGGGCGGACACUGUGUCUGCUGUUAAAAGCGAGCUGGGCCAUGCCGCCUGGCGGGCCAAGGGGUCGGCCCAAGCACGACCCGCUACGUGCUUCGGACUGGCACGAGCACGGUUGGGAUCCGUAUCGUGCCGUGCUCGGACAGGGCCAAAUCGCCAUGCUUUAGGCCGUGCCUUUGGCCCGCAGGUUGCAUGCUCAACUUAAAUCAAGCUAGAACUUUGAAACAAUAGCUGUUUCGAUCGCUAAGUGGUCGAAUCACCACCACUGUCUAAGUCGAGGAUUUGAUCGAUCUCCCUAUGGAUAAGAAUCCAAAACAUCCACCUCACACCAGGCGUACGAGACUCCAUUGUUUGGAGAUUGACAGCUGAUGACACUUACUUCACCAUAUCAACUUAUGGAAUUACAGUUUAAGAGUUGCUAUGGGGGCUUCCGAAGCAAACUCAUAUGGAAAGCUAAUACAGAGAACAAGUGCAAAGUGUUCGGUUAGAUUCCAGUGAGCGAAAAAAUCCUCACAACGUAUAUACUACAGAAGAAAUAAUGGCCCCAUCAAGACCACUGCUCUUUGUGUAAUGGACUGCUUGAGAUAGGACUGCACAUGUCACUGCUUUGCCCAUUCGCGAAAGCAGUAUGGAGCUUCAUUCUAUCAUGGAAGCACUUUGAUGCCCUACCAUCUCGGGAACUGGUCCAUUUAAUCUUAGGAUAAAUCAUUUGCAAGCAGGGUCUCAAAAUCCAAAAACCGUUUUUAAUUUUCCAUCACAUCGAAUCUUAUAACACAUGCAUGGAAUAUUGAAUAUAGAUAAAAAAAUAUUAAUCACAUAGUUCAUUUACAAUUUACAUGAUAAAUCUUUUGAGUCUAAUUAGUUUCAUAAUUAGAUAAUAAUUAUCAAAGAUAAACAAAAGUGCUAAAAAAUUUUGAAUCUAAACAAAGCCUAGGUAUUGGUACCAUCACAGGAUAGUAAAACCGAGUUUGGGAUCGGGACCUAAUUAUUGGAGCUUGGAGCGCGGGGGGUGGGGGCCGUGGGGGGCAUAUGUGUGCGUGAUUCGGUGAUUGCCCUCCCGGCCGCGGUCGGGCCGGGCGAUUCCCUCCGUCACCGCAAUGGCACGGCGUACGCACGCGCACACAUGACACAUCCGCAGCGCGCGCGUGAGAGCCGCAUGUGGGCGGGCACGCCGAGGAUCUCAUCGCCACUUCGCCACGCAUAUGCCCCGCCCCGCCUAAAGAUGUCAACGGGGUCCGCGAUCCGUAACCUGAUGGGUAUUUACUCUAUUAGAGUAUCAAUAUAGAGUGAAACCAGUACCCAUGGAUACAUAAAUGGAGCAAACCCUUCACCCAUUGGGUACGCGGGUAUGUGGACGUUCUAGUAGUCCCCAUACCCAUUUACCCAUGGGUAAAAAAAUACUCAGCCCAAAACUAAAGAAGCCCACCAACCACCACUCCACCGGCAACCCAUACACUGAAACCCUAUGUAGUGCUAGCAAAGUACUAUUCUCUACUACGUGAUUUAUAUGGACAAUGAACUAUUAUGGUGUUGUGACUAGUGGUUGCAGCAGAAAUUAUUAUGUUACUAUUUGCUAGGUAUAUGGUGAGGUGGCUAUGUGACGAUGCUUGUGAAUGGCUAUGUGACGAUGCUUGUAAAUUGCUACUACAUGACUGGUGCUUGUGAAUUGCUGAUGUUUGGCGGGUAUGGGUGACCCGUCGGGUCUAAUUUACCCAUCCGGGUAUGGGUCUGGGAAAAUUCCUCCACCCAUCACUGUAUAUGAGGAUACCCAUAGUGUUAUAUUAUUGUCACGGGGAUGGGUCUGGAGAGUUCAUACCCGAUGGGAAUUUACCCAUUGCGAACACUAGCCCCGCCCCACGUUAUGUCCCCCGUCUCGUCUCCCUCCCGGCCAGUUGCGCCCACAUCACAUGGGCUGGCUGAUGCCCGAGAAUAGAAAGAAGCAAGCAGGUCGAUCGCCCACGCUCCUCCUUCCACCUCCAGUCGCCACUAACGUACUUGGAGCAGAAAGCCGGCGGCGAAAGCAAAAGGCUCCCAUGCGAAGCCGACGGACCUUGCUGUUGGUUUUGUUUUAUCUGCUGCUGGUUCAUCUCAGCGAGCGACCGUCCGACUCCGAUCGACGCCGGCACGGGUAAACAGCUGCUACCACGGCGAGCCCGUUGCACCGACAAAAAUGGAGCGGUAUCCUUCACCGACAGGGGUUCAAAUGGGUAGGUACGUGGGAGCUCCGCUGUGAAUGUGACUCUGAUUAUUAUUGGGGGACAGGCUUUCCCGAUUGGUUGAAAACCAGCACCGGUGCGAGUCUUCGGGCUGGCGUCAGCACCAGCAACAGUGCCACCACAGUCACACACACGCUCACACUGUAGGCUGCGCAUUCAAUGUAAGGCCUUUUUUUUAUUUAACGCAGUUUAGAUUGGAGAUGGAAAUUUUUUAGAGGUCACAUCGGAUAUGUCGGAAAGAUGUCGGGAGAGGUUUUUAGAAACUAAUAAAAAAAUAAAUUACAUAUCUCGUCAGAAAACUACAAGAUAAAUCUAUUAAGUAUAAUUAAUAUGUCAUUAGCACAUGUGAGUUACUGUAGCACUUAAGGCUAAUCAUGGAGUAACUAGGCUCAAAAGAUUCGUCUCGCGAUUUCAAACAAAACUGUGUAAUUAGUUUAUUUUUUAUGUAUAUUUAAUGUUUCAUGCAUGUGUCCAAAGAUUCGAUGGGAUGGAUGAAAAAUUUUUAUGUGGAAAACUAAACAGGGCCUAAAGGCCUUGUUUAGUUCACCCAAAAUUCAAACAGUUUUUAAGAUUCCCUGUCACAUCGAAUCUUACGGUACAUGCAUGAACCAUUAAAUAUAGACGAAAAUAAAAACUAAUCACAUAGUUUGACUAUAAAUCGCGAAACGAUUUUUUUGAUCCUAGUUAGUCUAUGAUUGGACAAUAUUUACCAUAAACAAAUGAAAGUGCUACAGUAGCGAAAUCAAAAAAAAUUCACAUCUAAACAAGGCCUAGUUCCCCCAAAAAUCAAAAUUUUUUCAAGAUUCACCGUCACAUCAAAUCUUGUAGCACAUGCAUGAAGCUUUAGAUAUAGGCCUUGUUUAGUUCCAAUUUUUUUGGGAAAUCGACACUGUAGCAUUUUCAUUUGUAUUUGACAAAUAUUGUCCAAUUAUGGACUAACUAGACUCAAAAGAUUCGUCUCAUCAAUUCCGACUAAACUGUGUAAUUAGUUUUUAUUUUCGUCUAUAUUUAAUACUCAAUGCAUGUGUCUAAAGCUUCGAUGUGACGAGGAAUCUGAAAAAUUUUGCAAAAUUUUUUGGGAAUUAAACAAGGCUAUAGACGAAAAUAAAAACUAAUUGCACAGUUUGCCUGUAAAUCACGAGAUGAAUUUUUGAGCCUAGUUAAUCCAUGAUUUGAAUAAUAUUUGUCAAAUAAAAACAAAAUGCCAACCUUCACGAAUUGGCUCCAGCCCACACCACUUCCGCAGUUUUACAAGCCCACCUCCCCCCACACCAGCUUGUGAAGAAAAUCUCACCCCGUUUCAAGAGGCCCAUAAGGCCCAUGUGUUCUAGGUUUUCUGCGCUUCUACGCUCGCGACGCUCCUCCCACAGGUUUCUUCUUCCCGACGCCGCCGCCGCCAGGGAGACUAUAAAAACCAAAGGCCGCACCAAGCCUGUCUCAUCGUCUUCAAGGGUUCCAAGCCGCCGCCGCAGCAUCGGAGCCGCCAUCAGAUUAACCCUCUCUACCCGUUCUUUUUACUGUUUGCUUUGCUUUGGUUUGGUUUGGUUUGAGUUGUUUGCAUAGAUCGCAGCGUUUACAACAGAUUUGCGCUUGCCCCCUUAUUUUUUGUUUUCGUUUGCCAUGGUUGCGAUUUACGAUUCGAAAGAUCUGUCCUAGAUAGGAUACGUUGUUGCACGGUGCUAACCCCGGGCUUGUCGGAUCUCUACCCUUUGAAGAAGGAAGCCCCAAUGCCUGUGCUAGAUCCACCAUGCCAUUCAGUGUUGCAGGCCCUGACGAAUCUCGUGAUUGGUCUGUGUCAAAGCAAUGGAUACAUAUGUUCAUAGCAUUUCAAAAUCUCUUUGUGAUGUUUUGUUUGCUGGUCCGCUUGAAUGGUGGCAAUGAUUUGACAGUUAUCCGCGCUUCUGAUCUAACCCGUGAAGCAAAUGGAAAAAUAAUGGUUGAAUUUCUUAAUAUGAGCCGUCCAAUGAUGUAUAGUCACCAGCCUCUUCCAUUUUUGUUGUUUUGUAUGCAUCAGAAUCAUGUGAUUGAUUGAUUGAUUGAUGUGCAGUGAUGAUACAACCAUUCAGCUUAAAACGCCAGUUCUGCUUCUGAGAAUUCGUGACUGAUAGAGCUGAUUCGUAUCUGAGCCUCAAUCACUCACAUGUCUUUGCACCUUCGUACUCGCCAUAGGGUAGGUUCAUUCACUCUGAUCGUAAGAAUUAGUUUGGAAAUCUCACUCAUUGGCCAAUGAUGAAAUCGCCCAAUUGGUUUGAUGCUGCUGUCGUCUCCAAGUUCCUGCUUGUCAGGAAGAACCUACUUGGAGCCGCUUCAGUCGCUUGAUAACUCUGGGCAAAUCUGAGGUCAUUGAUGAAAUUUCAAAUUUCUUCUGGUUUUGAUUUGAUUUGUUAGUGUAAUUAACUAUUUCAGCUUUUCAAAAAGUAGUGCCGAGUUUAACUAUCCUAGCGCAAGUGUUUUCUGAGUUGCGCGGAGGCUGAAAAACUCGGAACAGCCUGUGUUGUCAUCAGCUUCGUCUCUUAUUACACUGUGAGAUGGGAGUUAAAUAACAGCACGAGAUUCUUUUUUUAAUUUUUUUUGUUGUUUUGGUUAAUACUCUCAAUUUGAAUGGUCCUACAAAAGAAGUAGAAUUAAAAUUUUCGACCAAAUACUUGUAAAUAAAUUUAAUUGUACAAUUUUUUUAAUGACUAGUGAGCAUGCACGUGGGUAUCAUAAGAAAACAUAUUCAUAACGAUGGAAUUAUAGAUGGCAUUAAAAUUCUAGCUUCUUUUAAGUGGAGAAUUCCAUUACUCAAAUUACUCAAUUACCAGUUCGAAAUUGCAACCACAUCCAUCUAUACAAAUGUGAACAAAGGCAAAAAAACUGACUCACUAUGUGAUAUGAGGAAUUUAUUUGUUGCUUGAGUGGUGCACCACCAUAACAUUGAUGAUAGCUUUGCCCCUGACUGAAUACAGUAAAACAAUUCUACAAUACCCUGAUCUAGAGUAAAACAAUUCUACAAUACCCUGAUGUAGAAUCAACUACCAGGCUCCUAUAGAGUACUACGCUACAAACUCCUAAAGCAUGAAUGACAUUAACAUUUAUCUGUUAUGAGCUAAUAUCUCCAUCUCCCGCAUCAAGCCACUUGCAAAGCUUGUGAUCGCAGUAUGUUGACACUUGACAAUGCAGCUUGCCAUCAGAGUCUGUCUUUCUUGUGUACUGGGAUGUUAGAAUUUUUCCAUUACCCUUCUACUUCUCACAUCCUCGUACCACACUUAAAAUAUCUUUCUAAAAUAUGGACAAAAAUAAAGAUUGUUAUCCUAUAAAAAUAUUCAGAUAUAUCCAAGGCCUUGUUUACUUCUACCUAAAAAUCUAAAAUUUUUUAAGAUUUCAUGUCACAUCGAAUCUUAGAUGCAUGCAUGGAGUAUUAAAUAUAUACGAAAAUAAAAACUAAUUGUAUAGUUUGGUCGAAAUUGACGAGACGAAUAUUUUGAGCCUAGUUAGUCCAUGAUUGGACAAUAAUUACCACAAACAAACGAAAGUGCUAUAAUGUCGUGAAAGUACUAUAAUGUCGCGAAUUUUUUUCCUUCGGGCCAAACCCUGUGAAUGAAUAUAUGAGAAUUCUACUUCCGGAUCCCACCUCACGAGAAUUGUGGUACUAGUAGGUAGUACUACGUACUCUUAGACCUUGUUUAGAUGUACCUAAAAAUUCAAAAGUUUACAUGAUUUUUCAUCAUAUUGAAUCUUUAGACGCAUGCACGAAGUAUUAAAUUUAGAUAAAACAAAUGACUAAAUGCGAAGUUUACUUAUAAAUUGUGAGACGAAUCUUUUGAGCCUUUCAUGGUUAGACAAUGUUUGUCAAAUAUAAAUAAAAGUGCUACAUUGUCAAACUUCAAAAAAAAUUUGCAUCUAAGCAAGGCCUUAGUGCGACUUGCCGAACUGGUCGGCCUUAGUACAUUUCUAACUAUAUUUAAUGUUUCAUGCAUGUGCCGUAAAUUUCAAUGUGACGAAGAAUCUGAUAGUAAGAUUUAUCCCAUUGGCCAGUGAUGAAAUCGCCCAAUUGCUUUGAGGCUGCUGUCGUCUCCAAGUUCCUGGUUGUCUCGAAGAAGUACCUGUUUGGUGCAGCUGCUCUCGCAUGAUAGAAAUCUGGGCAAAUCUGAGGACUGAGGAAGUCCACUUUUGCCCCCUCUAAUUAUUGACUGGGUUUAAUUUUAGCCCUUAACUACAAAACCGUCUGUUUUUCACCCUCAACUAUCAAAAUCGAUCACUUUUAGGGUCUGUUUAGAUUGAGGAUGAAAAUUUUUUGGGUGUCACAUCGGAUGUGUCGGAAGGAUGUUAAGAAGGGUUUUAAAAACUAAUAAAAAAAUAAAUUACAUAGCUCGUCAGAAAACUGUAAGACAAAUCUAUUAAGCAUAAUUAAUCUAUUAUUAGCACAUGUGGAUUACUGUAGCACUUAAGGCUAAUCAUAUAGUAACUAGGCUUAAAAGAUUCGUCUCAUGAUUUUCAACCAAACUGUGUAAUUAGUUUAUUUUUUAUCUACAUUUGAUGUUCCAUGCAUGUGUCCAAAGAUUCGAUGGGAUGGAUGAAAAUUUUUUAGGUGAGUACACAGGGCCUUAGCACUUGGACGGAGGACAGAGCGGUUUUGAGGGGUUUCCCUUUUUCUUUUCUAUAGUUAAAACUCUGAAUUUUAUAAUGAAUUUUUGAAGCAUUGAAAAUUCAAUAAUUUUUUUGGGUAACCUUGUCAUGAUGUUCUCUAUGCAGAAAAAAUGUGAAACUAUGAAAGUAAGUAUUUUUUUGGAUGCUAAAAAAUUAGCUCUUUUAAUUAAUAAAUACAUGUUCUAUGAUUUUUGUAGGAUAAUAUAUAUAUCCUAUGAUCAUGAAACUUUUUGCGUAACUGUUUUAUACUAAGAUAGAUCUUAAAAAAAUUUAAGAUUAAUUUAAUGAUGUUUGCUUAUGUCUCUAAUUUAUAUGUAAUUAAUAAAGCAUAUAAAUUAGGGAUAUAAGCAAACAUCAUCAAAUUAAUCUUAAACUUUUUGUGAAGGUCUAUCUUAAUAUAAAAUAGUUAUGCAAAAAGUUUCAUGAUCAUAGGAUAUAUAUAUUAUCCUACAAAAAUCAGAACAUACAUUUAUUAAUUAAAAAGAGCUAAUUUUUUAGCAUAAAAACACUUCUCGUUUUUAUAGUUUCAUAUUUUUCCUUCAUAGAAAACAUCAUGACAAGACUACCAAAAAAUUUGAUGAAUUUACCAUGAUCAAACAAUUCACUGUGAAAUUCACAGGUUUAACCAUAGAAAAGAAAAAGGAAAAACCGCUCAAAGUGACUCAAAACCACCCUGUCCUCUCUCCGGGUGCUAAAAGUGACCGGUUUUGAUAGUUGAGAGUAAAAAUAGACGGUUUUAUAGUUGAGGGCUAAAAUUAAACUCGGUCAAUAGUUGAGGGGCUAAAAUGGACUUAAUCCUUAUUUAAUUGGUACUGUAAUAUUCCAAAAACUAGUGCCGAUUUUAGUUAUCCUAGAAGUGUUUUUCUGAGUCGCAUGGAGGCUGAAAAACUCACGGACUGUGUGUUGUCAUCAGCUUCUUCUCUCCUUCUACUAUCUAAUUGAUUAUUUUUGAGAAUCCGAUCAAAUUAGAUUUGGUUAAAUGUUUAUAUAUUUGGGAGAGCUCUGCUCCUUGUUUCUUUAGAGCAUCUCCAAGGGUUUUGGCAAAUUAAAUUGACAUUUGUUGUUGUUUAUAAACUUUCAAAACAAAAUGCAAAGUCUAAAAAUAGGUCAUCUCCAAGGGUUUUGCAUAAUUGAGUUGACAAUUAGCCAAAGCGGACCCGGUUGUGAAUUUUUUUCUUUGCGCGCGCUCGCGAUCGUCUUCCCGCACGACUUUUCUUCGUGCGCGUAAAGUCACCGCCGGUUCUCGCGUUUUCCUCACUGGUCGCACCGCUAGUUCUUCCUGCUCCCCACCGCUCGUUGCAGGUGCCGCCACGACGACCCGUAUCAUACUCGUAUCAGGUUCUACAGCGGACGGUGGCAGUGACGAAUCUAGAAAAAUAUUUAGGGGAGGCUUCUGCUACCUUAAGAUAACUUCAACCCCUUCUUAAUGAGCAUCAAUGAUAAAAAUUUGUAGGAGGGGCUAAGGGGGGGCUACGUGGUUUCUACGGCCAUAGGGGGGCUGGAGCCCCACCAGCCCCACCGUUGGCUCCGUCGCUGGACGGUGGCGAUGGUGUUGCUCGCAAUCGGCAGUGGACGGCGGGUGGUUUCUAUCGCGAUCGAUGAACCAUAUAUGGCGCGAAGAAAGUCCGAGUCACGCGGGGGACCGCGAGACGCGCACGAUUGGCCUUUUGCCAAGCCGUACGAGGCUUGGCAUAUAUGCCAAGUUUACUUUCUCAUUUGUCAAGUUGCCCAAAAUGCAAACUCCAAAUACAAAAUCAUUGGAUACCACUUUUUGUGAUUUUUGACAAAUUACAAGAAUGCAAAGUUCAAAUACUUAUUGAUUCUUCGAUGGAGCAAUUCCAUUAGAUUCCUAUGACGAGGGAUGAACGGAGAAUCAAUUCUUACUAGUUUCAAAGAAAAUUAAUUUUUUAUCAACUUCUUACUCUGCUCCCUCCUAGGAAUUCAAUAGAAUCCCUCUGAGAGAAUCAAGAAGCAGAGGAAGAAACAAAGCCAAACAUGGCUAUUACAACUGCUGUGCGAGAUUCCCCCGUACAUCUCUUGCACUCCUCGCACUUCCUAGAAUAUCCAUCACAACCAACUGCUUAUUAGAUUUUGGUCAAUCGUUUGACGCCACCAUAUUCACACUCAAUCGUGUUAUUGUCUUCGUCACCACAUCAAACGAAAAUAUUGUCAACUUGUCAUCCCCACUCCAAGCUUCUUGUAGCUAUAACGUCACUUCAAUGGUUGUCAUUAAGGUUAAAAAAAGAUACCUGGCAGAAUUUAAUCAAUGGAUCAGCCUUCUAUCAUAGCUUAGUUACUUUUAGUCCUUAGUUUCAUUUUCUACUACACUUCUUUUUUGUUUGGCCUCUUGUUGAGGUUGAGGCUCCCUCUCUCUGUUCUCUUUCAUGUCUUUUCCUAGUCUUGUUUUAGCUCUGUCCUGUUUUUUCCCGUUUUAUGUACUCUGUCUCUUUUAAUAAAGUACUGUAGGGGCGCAAACUCCUCCGUUUUUUAGAAAAAUUCUAUUUUAAGAAGUCAACUAAUCAUUUUGACUAGAUUUAUUAACAAUACUAGUAUUCAAUAUUUAUAUCUCUAAAUAUAUUUACUAUGAAUGCUUAUAUGCAUAACGAAUAAACGUUAGUGUUGUAAUUAUAUAUAUAAUUAAAAUUAAAAUUGAAAAUGUAAUUAUAUAUAUAUAUAUAUAUGUAUAAUUAAAAUAAAAAUUGAUAAUGUUUAACUCUGUUUGCGCCUCACGUACGGCAGCCGGAUUGCAUUGCAUCGCUGUUGCAGGGGAUUUUUUUAAUGCAUGGCCCAUUUGGUGUUUUUCCCACGCUGAUAGUGCCCUAGCAAUAUCAACAUGUUUGAAACUGGAUCGACGUCUAGAACAGAGAAAGAUCCAAGAAUAGGCUCAUUACAAAAACAAUGCGUACACUGUUCUCGUCGCGGAAGCAAAUCAAACACACGCUCUCUACACAGUUUCCGAUUUCCAUUUUUUUUACCCGGCCGCAUUUAUGCGUUGCAGCCGUGCUCGUCGAUGGACAGUGGUAGCAAUGACAUGAACUGCUGCAUCUCCAGGUUGAACUCGUCGUCGGUGACGGCCGACGACGGCCCCGUCGACCCGCCGCAGGUGCCGAACCAAUCCCCCGCCGGGGCGAUGGCGAACAUGUCGGAGAUCCCCACCUCGCUCGCCGUCCUCCUCUUCGCCGGCUUCACGGCCUCUGAAAACGCAUCGGUUUCCCGAUGCAUGCAACGACGACAUUGUCAGACGAGACGGUGAUCAUCGUGCUUGCGCCGCGUGCACGCACGCUCGUGUUCGUCCUACUCUACAUUCGACAUCGAAAUACCAGACGAUCGAUCGCCGUCAGUUCUGCGCUAUCGUUUCGCCGGCGAGCAAGAAUCUGAGCAAGAACUGACCGAAGGUGAAGUCCCAUGUCGCGCCAUGGUGGAUGUCCUCUCCCGGAGGGCAGAGCGCGUGCGCGUGCGAGGUGACGUCGCCGUCGCUGCCAACGCCGUGGGCGGGCAGCAGCCUGGAUCCGGCCGGCUCGCGGUAGGAGAGCGCGGGCAUGGAGGGGACCUUGACCAUGCUCGGGUUAGGCCGGAGCAUCAGGUGUUCGUCGCCGAUCAGCAUCGACUCCAGCAGCCCCACGCUGCCGCUGCCACUGCCGCUGCUGGAGGUGUCGAAUUGUUGGUUCGAAGGGAGCUCCAACUGCUGCGCUCUGGCGGUGGCGGUCGGCAGCGGCGGCAGGCCCGAGGAGACGAUGCCGCUGCCGAACGCCGCCGCCGCGCUGCCGUUGUCCUGGUGGAACGCCGGCUGCGGCUGCUGCUGCUGCUGGUGGUGGCUGCCUCCGAUGUGGUGGAACACCUGCAUCUGGUUCAGGAGCGGGUAGUUCUGGUUGAUCUGCAGCGGCGAGUGCGUGGGCGACGGCGACGGCAUGGUGGGCGGCAGCGCGACGAACGGGUUGCUGGCGUCGUAGAGGAGCGGCGGCGGCGGCGGAAGGCUGGCGUUGGCGUUGGCGUGGGCAUUGGCGUCGGCGUCGGCGUUCUGCGCGCGGAGAAUCGCGAUGUCCCGCUCGACGUCCGGCGGGUAGAGCGGCAGGCCCGCGCGCUGCCGGCGCUUGAGGCGCGUGUUCCAGUAGUUCUUGAUCUCGUUGUCCGUCCUCCCUGGGAGCUGCAUGCAUGCAUGCGACCGAAGCCAAAGAAAGACGAUGAGUUCUUCACGGCCGGCGUGCGUGGCGCUGAUCGUCGGAAUCCCUCAAGAAACUGAAGAAUACGCUGGGACAGGCAGGGACGACUCACGUAAGAGGAGAUUUUCGCCCACUUGUUGCCGUUGAGGCCAUGGAGGAUGAGGAUGUGGCGCUCCUCCUCGGGGGAGAAGGGGCCCUUGCGGAGGUUGGGGCGGAGGUGGUUGGCCCACCGGAGGCGGCAGCUCUUGCCGCAACGAAGCAGCCCCGUCUCCCGGCGCACGGUGUUCCAGUUGCCCUCGCCGUGGCGCCGCACGUGGUCCACCAGCAGCUUGUCCUCCGCCUGCGUCCACGGCCCCUUCCUCAGCCCGCCGCCGCCGGUGCCGCCUCCUCCUCCUCCUUCCACCCCAACGCUGCCGCCGCCGCCGCUCCUCGCCAUCGUCGUCGCUCCGUCCGCCAGCUUAGUCGUGGCCUUCUCGAUCUCCUCCCCUCUCAGCCCCGGGAACAGGGCAGAGAGCGAGAGAGCGAGAAGACGAUCGACGCGGCGGUCAGUUCAGUUCCUCCGACGAAUGAGCCGCCGGCCGGGGAGGAUCGGAGGAUCUCCAACAAGAUGCCCUGUGCCUAGGCCGGAGCGCAGCGCGCAGCCAUGCAAUGCGACGACGCAACCGCGCGCACCGGCGGGUUGCUGUGUAGCUGGGAAAAACGAACGGGCACGGCGGGUAGUGGUCGGUGGGGCGACGGCCUUCCGCCGCUGGGCCGGCGGAGGGGAAGGAGGGGGGGAAGACGAAGACUGAAAGGGAGGCGUGGUAAUGGACUAAUGGCGGCAGAGCGCGGCGGGGGGCGCUGUGGGCGGAGCGGGAGGGGAGGGGAGGGGGUGAUGAGGUGGGCGGUGCAGCUCCCGAAUCGGCCCGGGAAGCGCUCGUCGCCGCCUAAUGCUGCGGCUUCAGUUGGCGUGCAUGCAUGCAUGCAUGGCAUUUGCGUGCGGAAAAGAUAUGGUCUUGUAAAAAGUUUAGGACCGUUGCUUGCACACGCUCGCUCGCUGCUUUGGCAUCGCCGAGAUCGCAGGAGCUUCGGUUCCACCCUGUCCACACUCCACAGUCGAUCUCGUGUCCCGUGCAUGUCCGCCUACGACUCUCUCGCCCAUUCUCUUUAGGCAUCGAUCUGAUGCUUCUAGAUGAAAUUGGAUCACUAUAUUCAUGGGGGAGUAUACAAUAAGGACCAUCACCAUAUAUCUAAUGCUAGUUGUUAAUAAUUAAUCAAAAUUCGAUAAUGUGUAUAUAGGGAGUACUAAGUUUUUUUUUUGAAACAAAAAUUGCUUUUAAGAUUUGUGUUUAGCCAUAGAUUCACUAGUGAUGAUGAGGAACGGUCGAGAACUAGAUGAUAUCAAGAUGGUGGAUUUUUUUUAGAAAAAAAGGAAUAUCUUCUUUAAGAUCUGUGUUUAGCGCCAUAGAUUCACAUGACGAUGAUGCUAAGAGAGGACCAAGUUGAGGAGAUCAAGAUGGUGUGGAUUGUGUAUUAUUGUUUCAAACAACAUAAAAGAGGGAGUUAUGCAAGACACCGAUGGGGUUGAUUUUGCAUUAGGGAGGACUAUGUGUGUGUGAGAGAGAAGUUCAACUAGGGAUCGAACCCUCUCUUAUGGUUGCCACAAGCUUAUUAGAGCCCAUCCUAAAUCCCUAUGUAAAUUUGUAGCCAUGGAAGCCUACAAGAAGGGACUACGUGUAGAGAUGAGAACGAGACCCUACUAGUAUUUGUUUCUAGAUCCACAUUUGGUUACAAGGAUUGACCACUACAAGAAUUAGUUGAACUAUUUUUAGGAUGAUAAUUCGGUAGGUACUUUUUUUUUUCUACGGGCCAUGUGGCUUUGCCAUACAAUCUGAGAGGGAGAUAUGCAGCAUAGGGAUGUUAGCACGGGGAAGAGAGGGAGAGGUGGUGGCGCACACUUGGCACAGGGUGUGGUGAGAGGUCGAUCAAUUGUGCAUGAGCGUGGCUAUAGGAGACAUGGUCGCACGAGGUGAGAGGUAUGGAGACAUAUGGUUGGAGGAAGGACAGGAGAGCCUGGCAAGGCAGACCUGCCCUUAGAGAGAAAAUAUGUGCACCCUCACUCUAGUGGCAAGCAGUGAAAACGACGAAAAUACCCGAUGUGACCUCGUUACCUUAUCCUAGAGCAAAAUCACCUUUCCAUCCAUCAGUAAGUGAUAGUUACCUUCAAAUCUGAUAGCAGUGGCGUGUAGGUAAUAAGAAAAGUUUGGUAGUGGCAUGUUAUCCUCAACUUUUUUUAUGAAAUAUAUGUAAUUUUAAUAUUUUUUUAGUAGCAUGUAGGUGAAAAAAUCUCUAAAAAUGUAAUAUGGAGAUAGAGCGACUAUAAUAGCUGAGUGAGGAGGAGGAAGGGGUACAUUUUUUUUACCCUUUACAUAACAUCAAGUGGAUUGAUUAUCAAUAGGCCGAAUAAGAAGGGGGCUAUAUAGUUUGGUUAUUUGUUACUAGUUCCUCAUUUCUAAACUAUAGUUUACUUUAGUGUUGCUCUAAUUCAAAUAACUCUAACUUUGGAAAUCUUAAUAUAAAAAAAUAAUAAUUAACCCUACUAGUUCAAUUAAAUGCACUAUCAUUUUUUUGCGAGUUUCUUCAAAAUAUUUUCAUUGUGAAUCCAAUGAAAUUAAUUCAAUACUAUAAAUGAUCUAGGUGCAUUGUGUUUUAUAAAAUUAGAUAAAGUUAAAGAAGUUCGACAAAACAAAAGUAACCUACAGUUUAAAACAGUCGUCUCUAUCCAAUGAUCAAACAUUUGACCGCCCUUUCUUCAAUUAAAAAAUUAGACCCACACCACACUAAUCUUUGCAUGGCCUCCCAAAUCCCUAACCCGUGCAGCGCCAUAGUGGCAUCUGGAGAACUUAAACAACUACUUCCUUCGAUCUAAAUUACAAGAUAUUUUGAUUUCUCUCUGUACAAAAUGCUUUAACCAUGUAAGUCUAUAUCCACUCAAUCGUGAAUGGUUGAGGUUGGAAUCAUGUAAUUCCGUUAUCUAAAAAAGUUAAACAACUAUAGUUCUAUGCAACAGUUGUUUUCAUUGGAGGAGAUGAUGAAACACACAUAGUUAUAUAGAUACUUGACGUAAGAAGUAUAAAUGUUUUGCAUCAUACUCUCUCUUCUAAUACAUAAAACGUUUUGGUUUUUUAUAAAUAUAUAUCUUUUGAUAUUCACUUAGAUAUCCAUGACGUCUUGACGUAUUUUAAAAGCAAUGUACCUAGAAAAGUUAAAUCAUCUUAUUAUUAAUUUAGGAUGAAGAAAAUACGUACACACUCUUAAUCGGUGAUACACUUUGCAUCCAAAUCAUUUAGCUGCCAAACUAUUUAGGCCCUGUUUAGUUCCCUACCUAAAAUUUUUUCGUCCAUCCCAUCGAAUCUUUGGACACAUGCAUGAAACAUUAAAUGUACAUAAAAAAAUAAACUAAUUACACAGUUUGAUUGAAAAACGUGAGACGAAUCUUUUAAGCCUAGUUACUCCAUGAUUAGUCUUAAGUGCUACAGUAACUCACAUGUGCUAAUGAUAGAUUAAUUAUGCUUAAUAGAUUUGUCUUGUAGUUUCCAAAUGAGCUAUGUAAUUUGUUUUUUUAUUAGUUUCUAAAAAUCCCUCUCGACAUCUUUCUGACACAUCCGAUGUGACACCCAAAAUUUUUUUAUCUCCAAUCUAAACAGGCUUGAUCAGUCAGAACUUCCGGUCCCACACCCACUUGGAAGGAGUUGACAUCACCUGCCGAUGACCAACACGAAUGGCGCCCAAGUUCCGUUACACGGCGCCCCGUUGACCCGUUCUAUCCCAUCCCAUCCACAUCCAGCAGGGCACGGAUACCGCCGCCGCCGCCGCCGCCGCCGCUCGCUCACGGAGGAGUCACGGACUCGCGGUGAAGCGGGUUCCUUUCGUCGCGCAACGCAAGGCACGUUCCAGGCGGUGGCGGUGACCCCGUCCGGCCGUCCUGGCUCACAGGCGCUCCACACUUCUUUCUUUUUUUGGUUUCUUCCCGGCACUCUCCGUGCGCCACGGCACUGCCGCCCACCCACGCCACUGUACGCGGCGGAGCUGAGCUCCAAGGAAGGCGGCGCGCGGCACGACCUGCCAUUCUGUACCUAUGCUAGGCUAGUGCCUACCACACCGACACGACACCGUCUGGAUUCGCCGUCCUCCGCUGCACUGCCGCCGCCGCAAUUCCAUACCACACUCGCUUGUCGCUUCCCUCCCAUUCCGAUACGUCCAGCCAACAAACCCAACACGGGGCGAGCUGCCUCCCAUUAAUUUACUCGCAGCAGACAGUGUACCCUGCACUGUCGGUGGCCGCCUCCCGCCCGCGCACAUGGGUCUCAUGCCAUGGCCUCAUGGGGAGGGGAGAGGGAAGGCACGGAGGGAAUGCGUGGACCGUGGCGGCGUCCGCUCCGGCCUCCGGGAUUAAAGAAUCCAGAGCAUGGCUUCCUCGCGCCUCGGUCUCCUCCUUCCUUGCCUGGCCGUCCAUGUCCUUCUGCUGCUGCUGGACCUGAGAGGAGGAGGAGGUGGUGGUGGUUGUGGCUGGCGGCGGCGCGCCGGCGGCGGCCAUGGGUUGGAGGCGGGGAGGAGGCGCGGAUGGCGUGGCCAGGAGGUGGGUGCUGCUGCUCUGCGUCGGGAGCUUCUGCCUCGGCCUGCUCUUCACCGACAGGUUUAUUCCGUUGCUCGCUCCGUGAGAUCUUGACUUCGCCAGUUCAUCCUGUCGACACUUGUGCCUCGUUCCGCACGCUCCUUGGUACGAACGAUGGAUGUGGGAAAGAUCCUUGGGUUUCUGGUCAACUACAACAUUCUGCGGUUUGGGGCAGAGGGAAUGUAGGUUGCUUAGACUUGGACCGCACUAUUUACCUCAACUUGUGAGUCGUCAGUGUCCGUAGUAGGACUUCAGUUCCCUGAAUCCCGCGAGAGUGUUGCUAAUUUGGGAACUGGGAUUGCUCAGCUGCUCACGGCUUCAAGAAUUCAGACUUUGCCAUCGUUGUUAUGCUGGCUUGUUUGUUCACGUAUUGGGGCUGACUGCUGAGCCCACAGUCAAUGACCCUGCACAUUUGGAUUGUUCAGAGUGGAGUGGUAACGCGUACUACAGCGAUGGAGCCAGCUGCUGUGUUUUUGCUUUGAGCUGAUUGCUAGUGCGGAUCAUACAGCCCUCUCUGUAUCUCAGUCACCUUCUGCUUCAAUUCGAUCGUAUUUGGCUUGAUUUCACUCCGGUAGCGGUUCUGCAGCAUGCAAUUUCUUCCAUGAGCUAAAAUUUCUUGGAAUAGUGAUCUUGACAAAUGUUUUCUCCAGGAUGUGGACUUUGCCUGAAGCAGAUGAGGUAGAAGUACCAAAUUUAAGAAGAGGGGGAGAGGCUGAGCUUAAGACUGGAGACUGUAAUGUGCGCAAAGUAAUUUACUUCCCUGCCUCGGUUAUUUUCCUGAAAGUAUUUUCAACAUUUGAAUUUAACUCGAUGCCUCUCUAGGUAUUGAAUAGAUAGAUAGACUGCUAUCAAUAUUUGAAACCCUGCUAUCACGUGGCCCAUUGAUCUUGAUGCAACUUUUAUGCCCUUAUGUUACCAGGUUCAAGGAAAACACAAUUACAAUGACAUGUUGCGUAUCUCAGAUACUCACCAUAAUUCACAGUAUGUGGUGAUCAUACAUUCAUACAUGUCUUCUGGCUCUUUGAUUUGAUUCACGGAAACUUCAAGGAAAUUUUUUUCUAAUUGGAUUUGAACUGGCCUCUUGCAGGACUUUAGAUAAGACAAUAGCGAACUUGGAGACAGAGCUGUCUGCGGCGAGAACUCUACAAGAUUCUUUUCUCAACGGAUCUCCAGUGCAAGAAGACUACAAGGCUUCUGAGUCUACCGGUAGGCGCAAGUACCUUAUGGUAAUAGGUAUCAACACUGCUUUUAGCAGUCGCAAGAGAAGGGAUUCUAUACGCAACACCUGGAUGCCUAAAGGUUUUUUCUCAUACUGGGUUCCCUAUAAAAGUGCUUUGUUUGUUCUUGAAGCAGUUUGAUGGUAUAAAACAUUGACAUUGAAGUAAUACUUAAAACCAGGGGAAACAAGGAAAAAGCUGGAGGAAGAAAAGGGGAUCAUAAUUCGUUUUGUAAUUGGCCACAGGUGUGCACCAUCUCUCUGUUAUCUAUAGAUUCUGUUUAAUUUUCGCCAUUAACUAGUAUAUGUUGUCGAUUGCAUGCAUGCCAUACACAUUUGCUUUGGCAUAUAAAAUUUUUUCACACACAUCAACAUAAUUGAUAGAAAGGUAGUGGUGACCCCUAUCAUGCUGUAUAGAUAUACCACUACAGUAUGAAGAAACCUGUUAUAUUCGUUGUACCAUACAACCAACUCUUUUAACUCUUUAUUUGAAUGGUAAUAUCUUUUUCUACCUAUCUUCCAUGUGACUUAGCUUUGUUAGCAUCUGGACCCAUAAAGCUUCUAACAUAUCAAUGUAUGCCAAUGGUAAAGUUUGUAUAUAGAUAUAUAGCAAAAUGUGACAUACUACAAGGAACAUGAUUGGUGACAAAUUAAUCCCUAAGUUGGUGAAAGUCCUGUUUACCUGUUAUUAGGCUAAAGUCUUGGACAAUUUUUUUUUUCACUCAAAACAUAUUUUUCCUUUUAGUUUACUGUCAGCACAAGCAAGUAAUUCUCGUCUAUGCUCUCUUUCAGUGCUAUUUCAGGUGGAAUUGUCGAUAGAGCAAUUCAGGCAGAGGAUAAGAAACAUGGAGACUUCAUGAGGCUGGUAAGAUUUCAUUUUAUUUGGUUCACUAACAGUUACUUGCUGCCGCCAUUGCCUUCUAGAUCUAUAUGUGGACUGUAGUUUUGAGGUCAUUAUUACUUCCCUUAUGUUUUUUCACUCUAAUUUUUGUCAUGUGCACUUGCAUUGUAGGAUCAUGUUGAAGGAUACCUUGAACUGUCAGGGAAAACCAGGACAUACUUUGCAACAGCUGUUGCUUUAUGGGAUGCUAACUUCUAUGUGAAGGUUGACGAUGAUGUACAUGUUAAUAUAGGUAUUAAAUUUUGAUCCAGUGCCUUUUAUUGUUGUCCUUUUGCUAUUGGAAAGUAUUUCCUUUGCUAGGAUAGUUACAAGUAGUACUAAGGUGCUAAGUACUUGUAUGCAGAUCUGAAGCUAAGUUUUUUUGUCUAAUCUGUUAAUUUCAAAUGAAGGAAAAGUUUGUCAGCGUUGACUGUUAGCAUAUGGAAGGCUCAUAUGCACCCACCAAUUUUCUCUGUAUGCAGUAAAUUCUAUUCCUAACAUGACAGUUUUCUGUUUGCAGCUACACUUGGAAAUAUCUUAUCCAAACAUAUUUCAAAGCCCAGGGUAUACAUUGGAUGCAUGAAGUCUGGCCCUGUCCUCUCUGACAAGUAAAAGAAAUAGUCUCUUUAGUUUGUUAGUAUUUAAACCACUUGCUUUUGCCAGUUGUUACAAUGAGAUUGUUGCUGUCCAGGGAUGUGAGGUACUAUGAACCUGAGCACUGGAAAUUUGGAGAAGUGGGUAACAAAUAUUUUCGGCAUGCCACCGGUCAACUAUAUGCUAUUUCAAAAGAUUUGGCAGCUUACAUAUCACUAAACAAGUGAGAUAUGCCCUAUCUAGUUUUUUUCCCUCUCAGAAUAUGACAGUAUGACACCACUCCAAUCCUAUUUCGUUGCAACCAUACUAAAAUUGUUUCUGCUGAUUCGGUUAUUGCAGGCAUGUCUUGCACAAGUAUAUCAACGAGGAUGUGUCUUUGGGAGCUUGGUUGAUAGGGUUAGAUGUUGAGCAUAUUGAUGACCGCAGACUAUGCUGCGGCACUCCACCUGGUGAGCUUCUGUUAUUUUCUGUAACCAGAAUGAGUUCAUAUUGACUGUCCAAUUUACUUGCUGGUUUACAUUAGCUUGUCGAAAGCCAUGGCUAAAGUUGCUAAGAAAAAGCAAUAAUAUCCUCAUGCAUGCUGAUUUUGAUCACAGAUUGCGAAUGGAAAGCUCAGGCUGGGAACACCUGCGCUGCCUCAUUCGAUUGGAAAUGCAGUGGUAUCUGCAACUCUGUGCAGAACAUCUGGGGGGUUCAUAAGAAGUGUUCAGAAGAUGAAAAGGCGCUGCUGACCGCAUCUUUCUAAUCGAAGUGCUCUGUGUUGUCUAUCUGUACAAUGUGCAAAGAAUGUGUCUGAUUCAUAUGUAGGCCUGUAACUAGGUGGCUAUGGUUUUACAAUUAGGCAACACCACUGGAGCAGGCCGUGAUUUUUCUCAGCGUCUGCUGGUGGCAGUCGAGGAUUUAAGGGGUGUAGAGCUGACCGAUUCUUUUAACAAGUUGGAUGGCCAUACAUAUAUUGACCUGAAUACCUGAUAAAAGAACACUAUAUAUUUGCAUUUUUCGCUUUCUGAAGGCUACUUCAACAUUUUCUCAUUUGCUGCAUUCAGGGUUGAAACUAUAAUAGGGCAUUUGCAACCGUAAGCUAACCCCUAAAGCCUAACCAUUCGAGUCUCUUGGCUGAACGAUGCAGCCCCGGGCUGUACUGACUUUGCUAAAAGAAAUUGUGCAAAUUAUUUGGGGGCAAUUUCCACUUCUUUAGUGAAAUGGCAAGAAAAUAUAUUCAACAGUAGGACAAAGUUAUACCAAAAGCCAAUUCCUUCAUCAUAAGUUCAGCUUACUCUUAGACUGCUAUCUAUGUUUAUUAUAUAUAGUCCGAUUGAUACAUGUCCUAUAGAACUCGGUACAUGUCUAAGGAGGACUCUAAAUCUAUUUGGAGUACAAUACUAUUCAUAUACCUAUUGUAUCUUUAGGACUAUAUGUCUAUAUCUUUGUUCCUAGUCGUACCUAUCUAUACUUCUAAAUCUACUUGGAGUACAAUACUAUUCAUCAAUCUAUUGUAACAAGAAGUUAGAGUUACAUGAAGUCUAAGUUACAUGAUGACACCUAUCUACACUUCUAAGUUCUAACACCAUUCACUCCAUGACUUUCUAAAUAAAUAAAACAAAAAACAGGUUACUGUAACAAGAAGUUAGAGUUACAUGAAGUCUUACCAAAUAAGCUCUAAAAUUUGAGCAACAACAAUACAAACAUUUUUAGAAGAGAAACAAAGUUGCACAUUCAUGGUUCCCUCAAAAAAAAAAAAAAAGGUGCACAUUCAUGGGAGCCUCAACCCACUCCACUAGUCCACUUCCACUAUCGUCUCUGGUCCACUGGCGCCUAAACCGCCUACCGCCUCCCUCCCAUUUUUCGAAAUAUUCAUCCCAACGCGGCAACGCCCUUCCCGCCCGGCCACGUUUUCGUUUCCUCAUUUCCCUCCUCCUCUCGCCCCGCCAUCAUCUCAUCAUGUCAUAAAAUCCAAACCCCCCUCCCGUUUCCCCCCAAACCCGCGCACAAUUCCAAUCCUCCCUCCCCUCCUCCGGAUCCUCUCCUCCGCCGACGCCACCCAUCCAUGGACCGCCGCCUCCGCUCCCCGGCGCGCCGCCCCUCGGCGGAGCGCGGGCAGCAGCAGCACCUCCCGGGCAGCGGCGGCAGCCCGCACCGGUUCCUCCGCCCGGGCGCGCUCGCGCGGCUCCGCGACUCAAGGGUCCUGGCGCGCUCCCUCCGCUGCGCCGCGCGGGCGCGUCCCCAGCUCCCGCCGCCUUCCACCUCCUCGCCUCCCCGCUCGCCCGCGCCCGCCGCCUGGGACGGCGUGCCGUGCUUCCUCGGGACCGGGCCCGCCGCGAGGGGGAUGCGCUACCCGCUGCGGAAGAAGCUCGCGGCCGCCCGCGCCGUGGUGUUCCUGCCCCCGCCGCCGGAGGCAGUGGAGGCGUUUAUGGAUGCGUUCGCGCCGCCGGCGGCGGCGUCGCCGGACGUGGUCGCCGCGCACUGAGCGGUGGUGGCUUUUCCCGCUCGGCGGUUGUCGUCGCUUGUCUAGUCAUUAAUUACUUAAGUUAGAGAUAUAUGGUAUAUAGAUAAUGUGCAGAUGGAUCGGUUUAUGUUUCUGCUAGCUUCUUGUAUGGAUCUGGACUUGGUAUAUAUAAAUCUAAGAGUUGUUGAUGAUCCCAGUGCCUACAGAUUUUGUUUGUGCGUUGAUUUGAUUCACACGCGAAUUCAGAUUUCAACAAAAUUGCGUACGCCAGUUUGCACGAAUCUCUCAUUCAGGGUCUAUUUUAGCAGAACUCCUAAUUCUCUGAAAUGAACCAAAAAGACUGCGUAUUGUAGUUCGCACGAAUCUAGACAUUUGAAGCCUAUUUGGAACGUAGGAAUUGCAUAGGAAUCACGCAAAAAUUUUAUAGGAAUCAGUUUAAUUUCCCAGGAAAAACGCACGAGCAGUGAAAAAUUCCUGUGUUCCAGGCAAACAGCCCUUUAGGGUCUUAUUUAGCAGAGCUAUCGAUAAUGGUUCCAGAGCUAGAGGACUGAGAGCUGAAGAAAGUAGUUUCUUGAUUCAUCAUCGAGACUUUUUUUUUCAGAGAUAAUUUCUCUGAGAGAAUCAACUUCCACACAGAGCUUAGAGCUGGAGAAGCUAUACCAAACAGGCCUGCGAGCAAGUUCACAUGAAUCAUGUCAUCCAGAUUCAAUGAAAUACAGACGAGCAGGAUCAAAAAAUGGCAACCAACUCAUGAUUCGAUCAAGGCACGCUUCCCUUGCACUUGUGUAUUCACAUUUAGAUUUUUCUUACUAGUACACGAUAGUGUAAACGCCACUGCUACUGCCCAAUACAAAACUGUGUUCAUAGUAUAUGCUAUAUUUUGCCUUUGGCUUGAAAGAUUGAACAACAUUUCUCGCCUCAUGUCUCCCUUCUCCACUGUGUUUGCCAGCUACUUUACUGAGAUACAUACAACAAACAACAUAAACAAGAAGCAAAGCAAAGUUUGGUAUCAGCUCUUGCGCAGGUUUCUGCUUGCUUGAGCAGCAAGUGCGAUCGACCUCGCGUCGAUGUCAUUCAUCAUGUAGUCCCUUUCAGCGCGGCGCCGCUGCUGCCUUUCCCGUUUGGCCCUCUUGGGUGCCAGCCUUGCUUCCCUCUCCACAUAGGCCAGCCUGAACCUUUCCGCUAUUGGUAUUUCAGGCGGAGCAUUUGGAUUCGGUGGAGCAACAGGUCUCCGAGGAGCAGCAGAAACAGCCCAUGUUUUGGGAUCAAUAUCCUCAACUACGGAAUGGUCCAGUGGUACGCUUGCCAAUGCUUCCACUGGGACUUUGGAUCCCGAGAGGUCGAACAGUGAUGGUUGUGGGUUGACAGUAACACGAGGACAUUCGGCAGCUAGAGUCUCCUUUGAGUUAUCAUCUAUCUUUGGCUGCAAAACGGGGAAAAUAUUAAUUGAACACAAGAUAUGCAUUGGUGAAUUGUGAACACACCAUAAAUCAUAGCUAGAAAAGAAGUGAACUUGCAUGCAUACCCAAACAAGCCAUCUUAAAGACUCUGCACCGCCUCCUAUAUCUAGUGUAUCAAGUUCCUCCCAUGAGUCCUCCUCAAGAGUAUUCAAUUUGGGUUUCAAGAGAUUCAAGCACCUCCGUGCCGUGACUUCACUUCUUGGACAUCCUCUGCAACCAUAGGGUUCAAGCUAUUUUUAGUAUCCUGUUAUGCGGGAAGUGGGAUACAAUGCAUAGUCAACAACUCAACAAUGAAAGGUUAUAUUUGCCUCAUGGGGAAGGGCAAACUAAAAAGCAAAGAAAAGUCCCACACAAGGUGACUGGCUAGUGGUUAUUAAUGCAAACUCAAGUAGACUUGUGCACACAUGAUUGAAUAUAAAAUUAUUUUUAACAAUAAAUAUUGAUGAUUCAUAUAAAAAUAAUAUCACAUAUCAGUUUAUAGAAGACUAAAAGAGAUACCCUAUUGUUAGUUAACUGCGAAGAAUCACAUAAUUUUCUCUUUUCAGUCCCAUGCAUUCAUAUGUUCGGUUUGAGCAAAUAGCAAGCACAGUUCUUGCCAUAACAUAUAAAUCAAGAAUGCAUGAGAAAGAUGCCAUACAUAACAGGUAUGGAUAACACCACAUUCAUAUACUUAUCAAAAAGAAAUUGAAGGUAAAGACAUGAAAGUACAUUGAGAUUGAUUGACCAGGUUAUGCAUGCAAUUUGUUGGAAGUCAUACCCACAUCUCAAUAUCUCCAAGGAUGGGCAGUGGCAUACAAUCUCAGACACACCAGCAGUAGUAAUUUUAUCACAGCGACUGCAUGAGAAAGAUGCCAUAAAUAAGAUGCAAAUUUAGUUGAACAUUUAGUAGGUAAAAAACAACUAAACACAAAGCCUUACCUAAUAUCAACUGCCCGUAAAUUACUACAAACAUUUGCUACAGUAGCCAAACCAGCAUCAGUUACAUCAGAGCCAGAUAUAUCUAGGAUUUCCCAGGAGCUUUCAGCAAGAGAAGUCAAAACAUCAUCAUUCAGGAGCCUUCUUCUCCUUGCAAUAGACAUAAUUGCCAACUGUAUGACAUAAUAAUUAAACUCAGUUGUCACUAAUUCACAAUAACAUGCAUAAGUAUAUGUAGACAUGAGAUGUCAGUAUAUGAACUAAAUCGACAGCCAUUGUUUUGCAAUUACUGGACCUGGUCACUUCAAAACCUUAAAAAUACUUAUGCAAAGCGUGAGGUCAACUUGCUAACAACAGUUGCUACAAGGACAUAUAUAAUGUUAAGAGCCUCAGUACAUGUCACACAUCAAACUUUUGUUUUACUCCCUCCAUUUGAGUUUUAGAGGCGUCUAAGCAUUUUUCACAGAGACCAAGGAGAUUUUUAAUUGUCCAUGAGUGUCACGGGGUGAGUGAGAGAAUCAGUACAGCGGAGCCAGAGAUGCAGCGAGGCAAGUACAAAUACUCCAUCUGUCCCUGAAAGCUUCAACUCCUAGAGUUGUCCUAAGUCAAACUUUUAAAACUUUGACCGAAUUUCUAGAAAAAAGCUAAGAUUUAUAGUACCAAAUUAAUACCAUUAGAUUUAUCAUAGAAUAUAUUUUCAUAAGAUACUCAUUUUAUGUCAUAGAUAUUGAUGCUCUUUUCUAUAAGUGACUGGCACGAAUUCUAGAGGGACUACUAGUAGCCCAUGAUAUAGGAAACUGUGCAGUGCAGUUGGGAAGGAAGAAAAGAGAUGGAGUGCAUUCAGGCCUUGUUUAGUUUCCAAAAAAUUUCAAGAUUCCCCGUCACAUCGAAUCUUUGGACGCAUGCAUGAAACAUUAAAUAUAGAUAAAAAAAUAACUAAUUGCACAGUUUGCCUAUAAUUUGCGAGACGAAUCUUUUGAGUCUAGUUAGUCCAUGGUUGGACAAUAAUUAUCAAAUACAAACGAAAGUACUACAGUAGCCAAACCUAAAAUUUUUCACAACUAAACAAGGUCUCACUCCGUACAGGAAUACUGCAUGCGCAUGUCAGUCCCAACUCCUGAGGCAUCCACAGCUGUGCCCAUACCUCAUGCGUCUGUAAAUACUGGAAGCAUUUCUAGAGCUCGUGCGCCUGUAAAACUCAAAUGGAGGGAGUAUUGUUUUAACAGUUCAUUCCUUACUACUGAUCAUAUUAACCAUUCCUAUGUUUUUCUGAUGUUAGUGUUAUUUUUUUUCUAAAACUCGCAGGAGAGCUACAUAUCAUAAUAUUAAGAAGAAAGAAAAUGGUAAGAACCCCUAUCACGCCCCUAGUCACCGCGGAACGGGACGAUGCAGCGUUCCACGUUCCGGGAACGAGCGUUCCGGAUGGGAACGCGGGAACGAAAUCGUUCCCACAGUGUAAAAAUUGCAUCUAAAACAUCGUUCCCGUUCCCGGUUCGUCGUUCCUCGAUCCGUCGUUCCGGGAACUCCGGUGACUAGGAUCACGCCACAUAGAGGUUCAAUCAAACCAUGCACACUUAUUACAAGAAAAACAACAUGACCAUGACGGCAUGACUCUCAAGUGGCACAUGUUCAGCCCCCCAAAACUACAACUCUCCGCUAGCGAACAGCAAAGCACUAGCUAAGCUCAGAGAUUCAUGCUAAUAUGAGCGUUGUACAUUCUAAUAUAUGCUAUUUUCAAACUUUAAAAAUACAAAUUCAACAGCAAUCAAACAAAAAUGUAGAUGGCCCCUUCUUUCAGAUUAAUGCCCUCUAUAUUCGUAUUUUGAAGCAAGAGUUACAUCUCACAAGUCAUUAAGUCAACUAGAAGAAAGGAGAGCAUUUCGUAAACAAAUUAAUCAGUGUUGGGAGCCAUCAAAUGAACUUAGCAGUAACUACAAGAACAUGCAAUUUUCUUUUCAGUUAGUGAACAGCACCAUAGCAAAGAACUGGGCUUACAACCUAAAACUUAAAGGUGAACUCUAUCUAACAAUAAAAAACCUUACAUAAUAGGUACACAUUUUAUUCCGGCAGCGAGGCAAUGAUGCAUAAAUUGACAACCAAACAAAAGACAGAUGCAUAAAGAUACCUUUAUGUGGGGUGGAAAUAAGGCAGCAAAUUCAGAAAUAUCAGUGAUGAUAUCUUCAAGAUGCUGACCAAGGGUGCCAAGGCACAAGCUGACCAAUUUCCGAGGAUUAGCCUUCUUCGAGAAAGAAUCUGAAGUACAAUUUUGAAGUAAAUAUUUGGAGAUGCUGCUGCAUACGCAUUAGUAAUUUGAUAAGUUUAUCAACACAAUGCACCAAUCAUUCAUUUCAAUUUAGUGAUAAAGGUUUCAGUUUCUGUUCAAUAUAAACUAAGGGUGCAUUUGGCCAGACUCCGCUCACAGUGCUCCGUCGCCAGAGCUGGAGCUGGAGCGCGCCCAAACACGCCCUAACUUUCAUAUGUCAUCUUCUUGGCAGUGGCCAUAAAUUUAUCCAUAAAUAAAACAACUAGAUAUAUGGAAUACAUGUCAAUCAGUGGGAGUUCAGUAUCUUCCUGAAAUCUCAUUAAUUAAUAGAACCAUCAAAGCAAAGCACACAACACUAAUACUACAAACUAAAGUGAAUCAAUCGAACCCGCCACUGCUUUAUCAUCCUAGAAAAAAAAUUAAUUCUGUCUAUCCAUCUUUCGUUUUGCAGGAGACACCAGCACACGAAAUCAAUCACGGAAACUCUAAGCAUCCAUAACCAAUACACAGUCAGCCAAUUCCUCUUCGUUUUUCUCUACAUCAGUUGACAGCCACGACAGCUAGUUACCCCACAUAAGCGAACAAGAGCAGGGAGCUUACAGAAGGAGGGCGACGGUAGGAAACUCUUGGGCUUGGGGUUCUGGCGCGGCGCGACACGGACAACGCUGAACGACGCCGCCAGCUCGGCCACCACCGAUUUCCCCUUGUCCAUCCUGCCCCGUGGGGUCAGAUCGAGGGCAGCCGUCGGGUCCUCGAGGCGGGCGCGGGAAAGGGAGCGGGGCGGGGACGGCCGCGGCAACAAGGUGGGCGCUGCCGGAGGUGGCGUUGGCGCGCGAGGCGGGAUGGCGGUAGUGGUAGCAGGAACGGAGCCGGGGGCGACGGCAAGUGGGCGGGGGCAGGUAGAUGGUCGCGAGGCGGCCAGGUCGUGCACGGUCGGCCGCCGGAACGCGUCGGGCCUUUUUUUAUUUCGGGAAAUUCCAGCACUUUCGUUUUUAUUUAACAAAUAUUAUCUAAUUAUAGAGUAACUAGGUUUAAAAGAUUUAUCUCGUGAUUUUCGUUUUUAUUUGACAAAUAUUAUCCAAUUAUAGAGUAACUAGGUUUAAAAGAUUCAUCUCGUGAUUUACAGGUAAACUGUGCAAUUAGUUUUUAUUUUUAUCUAUAUUUAAUACUUCAUGCAUGUGGCGUAAGAUUCGAUGUGAUAGAAAAUCUUGAAAAGAUUUUGCUUUUUGGGUGAACUAAACACCUUAGCCCUUUUUUUUUCCCAAAAGCAAGUUGUUUUUUUUCGGGCUCGGGUUUUACCUAACUUUAUUUUUUUUUCCUGAAGUAGAGAAAAAAGAUCGAACUUCCAUCUAUGUAAAUCUUGAACUUUCAAAUCCAGCUGUGAACAGUGUACCACUGAAAUUAGAAACUCCAGAAAAGUUCGCUCUUACAUUCACAAAUAUUUACUGCGUUGCAUAUUUGCACAUUGAUUUUGAAUGAUGAGACAAUUUUCGAGAUAAAUAAACAAAACUACAGAAGACACCUGGCUACAGUUUACAAGAUUCGCUAUCCCUGAAUAAUGAUAAUAGUGGCUGCUACGGUUCAAAAUUUACUUAAGAGGAGCCAUAAUUUUUUUUCCAACUAAACAAGGCCUAAGUGUUGCUGAUGACGAUGAUGAUUAGCAUCUCAAAAUUAAUGAGGAGCCAAGAGAAAAGGGGCAGGCAAAAAGCAGCGGCCCCACCUGUCGGCGACAGGCGAGUAAGCACGGCCGGGCCGGCUCGCUCCUUGCCCAACAGCCAGCCCACCGCGGCGUGCGCGGACCGUACCCUCCGGCGCACCGCUCUCCUUCGCAACUCCAUCUCCAUCUCCAUCUCCAUCCACCGCGCCCCCAAAUCGCACGGCCCCCCGCCUUCCUCCCCAUUCGCGCCGAUCGAAUCCCGAAUCGUCGGCGGCGAUGAGCGUGGUCGGCUUCGACGUCGGCAACGACACCCUGGUGGCGGCGGCGGCGCGGCAGCGGGGCAUCGACGUGCUCCUCAACGCCGAGUCCAAGCGCGAGUCCCCCGCCGCCGUCGCCUUCUCCCACAACGCGCGCCUCAUCGGCUGCCACGCCGCGUCCGCCUCCUCCGCGCACGCCCCCUUCUCCAGCGUCAAGCGCCUCCUCGUGGGGGCCACGGGGAGGCACCCGGACGCCUCCCUCCACCGCGACCUGCCCCGCCUCCCCUUCCCCGUCUCCACCGGCGACGGCGGCGCCGUCGUCCACGCCGACCACGUCGGCCGCCGCAUCGCGCUCUCACCGACCCACCUCCUCUCCAUGCUGCUCGCCUACCUCAAGCAGCUCGCAGAGUCCGACCUCGGCGGCGUCCCCGUCGCCGACUGCGUGAUCUCCGUGCCCUGCUACUUCACUCAGGCCCAGCGCCGCGCCUACCUCGACGCCGCCGCCGUCGCGGGGCUCAGACCGCUCCGCCUCAUGCACGACCUCGCCGCCACCGCGCUUGGCUACGGCCUCUACCGCUCUGACCUCGGCGGCGCCGGGGGACCCACCUGCGUCGCGUUCGUCGACGUCGGCCAGUGCGACACGCAGGUCGCGGUCGUCUCCUUCGACGCGUCGGGGAUGAAGGUGCUGUCUCACGGCUUCGAUGCGGACCUCGGGGGCAGGGACUUUGACGAGGUGCUGUUCGAGCAUUUCGCCCAGGAGUUCAGGGACAGGUACAGGAUUGAUGUCGUGGGGAAUGUGAAGGCCAGUAUGAGGUUGAGGGCAGCUUGUGAGAAGGCGAAGAAGGUUCUGAGCGCAAAUGCGGAGGCUGUGGUGAACAUUGAGUGCCUGAUGGAGGAGAAGGAUGUGAGGGGGGUGAUCCGAAGGGAGGACUUUGAGAAGCUAUGUGCCAGACUGCUGGAGAGGGUUGUUGAACCUUGCAAGAGGGCGGUGGCAGAUUCAGGGGUUGGCUUGGAGAGGCUGCAUUCUGUGGAACUCGUUGGGUCAGGUUCUCGGGUGCCUGCCAUUGCCAAGGUGCUUGCGGGAUUCUUCAGAAGGGAACCUAGUCGCACGCUCAAUGCUAGUGAGUGUGUGGCUCGGGGAUGCGCAUUGCAAUGUGCAAUGCUUAGUCCUACAUUCCGUGUUCGGGAAUACGAGGUAUGACUGCACUUUAUCUUGUCAAAUUCAACAUCUGUAUAAGCUAUAGGUGGUAUUUGAAGCAUGAUAGACUGCUGGUUGUAUAGUGAGAGUUGCCACAUUGAUUUGUAUUUCAGGUGCAGGAUGCAAUCCCUGCUUCCAUUGGAUUUUACACUAGUGAUGGCCCAGUUUCAACAUUGUCAAGUGAUGUAUUGUUCCGGAGAGGCCUUCCCUUUCCCAGUGUUAAGAUCAUUACUCUACACAAGAAUUGCAGUUUUAGCUCUGAUGCAUAUUAUGCGGAUGCAAAUGAAUUGCCCCCUGGUACCUCGACAGACAUCGGUACUUUUCAGGUAUGCUUUUUGCUUGUUGAUCUAUAAAAGAAUAUUGUACUAUAGUCUUUUGCUCCAGAUGUCUGUUCUGUUUGACUCUUCCAAUAAUAAUGAUGAUGAUGUAUUACCUCUAUAUCAGCACUGUAUCAUUAUAACUUGUAAGACAGUCAUACUUCAUUUCAUCACCAACAAUGUUUCUUUAUAAAUGUUUUUGAAUGCUUACAUAAUAAUAAUGUAUUACCUCUAUAUCAGCACUGUAUCAUUAUAACUUGUAAGACAAUGAUACUUCAUUUCAUCACCAACAAUGUUUCUUUAUAAAUGUUUUUGAAUGCUUACAUCCUUUCUUAUCUUACAAUGUCAAAAGUAACUUUGGACCCUUGCACCUAAGUUUUUCAGAUGUGUUGCUGGCCUUUUAUCAAAUGAAUGGUGUGUUAUUGUAUAUCUUAUAGGUCUUCUGCUGAGUACUUGAGGGCCUUGUGUCCACUUGUGCUUGGUGGGUCAAUGGAUUAAACUUCUACAGUGAUCAAAUAUCUGUGAAUCACGAUUCAUUUGUCUUCAAGUUUAGAAUGUGGGUCACCAGCUGUAAAUUAAAAUCUGAGCAUUUUCUUAUAAAAGCAUGACACUGGAACUGAAAUGUUUCCAGAAAAUCUGUUGCCUGGGAAGGUAAUCUUGUCAUUCCAUUCUGUGGAAUCAAUAUGUGUUAGCAGAAAAAGGAGUACUGGGAUGUGUGAUAAAGAACAGCUGUCAUAAAGUGUGAUUUGAUCUGCCACAACAGACGGGAUAAUGUCUUCUUAGUUGACAGAAUGUACUCAAAUACAACUCUUGUUGGAACUGUGGCCUGUUGCCAGAUGGCUAGUGUUGCGGGUUUGACCAGCUUGCCAGGAUUUGAGUAGUAGAAUCGGUGUUGGUGUCAAAUGAUUGUAGUACAGAGUACACGCACACACUUGCGUUCAGUGGGAAAACAUGUGUGUGUGUGUGUACACAUACCUAUGUUAAUUCUUUAAUAUACUUUGUCAAAAAAUGCUGUACUCUGCUGACUUUCUUCCAGUCUGAACUCUGUGUUCUCACUUCUCAGGCCAAAAAUUUAUGCUAACUCUACAUAAAUCUUGAUGCCUUCUUUUAAUCUUCCAAUCUUUGUUUUUUUUAUAAGCCAAUCUUUGCUUGGUUAGUGCUAAUGAUGCUUGUUACAUGACUGUGGCCACAAUCCCUAGUGGUUUAUUCAAUGAUGUUGUACUGUCUCACUGUUUGAAGUAUCUAAAUCUUGAUUUGUACAAUAUUAUUUAUAAUUCAUUCAAGUAUCCUCGUUGCAGAUUGGCCCAUUCCAAGCACAUACGGAAGCUUCUAAAGUCAAAGUAAAAAUUCGUUUGAAUUUACAUGGUUUGAUUUCAGUCGAAUCUGCUGCUGUGAGUGUCAAUUUUCUUAGUCAUAGCUAGCUUUUAGUUGUAAUUUGCAGUUGAUAUAUACAAAUCCUAACUUUUUAAACUUCCUCAGUUGAUAGAUGAUUAUCAAAGGAAUGCCAAUUCUGCUGACAAUAUGGAGGUGGAUACCAGCGGUGAUGACACGGUAUUAUUUAAUCACAUACUGAGCAGGGUUUAUGUGUAUUUGUCUAAAUUACCACACUAUAUUCUUGUAUAUCCUCUAUCAUCAGCAGCUGGAUUUCUUGUAUCGUUGUUUUCAAUAGGCAGUAAAUUGUGUUGUAGUACUAGCAAGAAUGCAGCAUUUUGCUUGCACUGUUUCUGUACCAAGUGGGUUUACUGUGCCAUUUUAACUAUUUGGGAUGAUAAAUGUGCAAGAACCUUAUGAGCUCUUUUUGUUGAAGAAAAUAUCUUAGGGUUAGUUAAUUAUACCCAGUUAUUGAGGUGCCUCACUGUUAUUAUUAUCUGCAGGGUCACAAGUCACGAAGUGAAAGGUCUAUCCAGCGGCAGGAGUUGCCAAUCACUGAGUACAUCUAUGGUGCAAUGAGCAAGCAGGAAUUGCUGGAAGCUCAAGAGCAAGAGCAGCAAUUGGCUUAUCAGGAUAAACUUAUGGAACGGACAAAGGACAGGAAGAAUGCAUUAGAAUCUUAUGUAUACGACACCCGUAACAAGGUAGAUCUGCAACCUUUCUACUUUUUUUUCCCGUAACUAUUUUUUUUUGUCUUAUAAAUUGUUUUCUAGCUUUCUGAGAGGUACCGGAGCUUUGCUACUGAUUCAGAAAGGGAACAAAUCUCAGUUAAUCUACAACAGACUGAAGAAUGGCUUUACGAAGAAGGUGAUGAUGAGACAGAAGCGGUUUACAGUAGCAAACUUGAGGAGCUGAAAAAGGUAAAAGGAAAUUCUUGUCGAUCUUUCUAUCUGCAUGCAUUCGGCCUUGUUACAUCUUUUCCAAUUUUUGUAAAUAUACUUUUUUGUUCUUUCCUGUGUAGUAGUCUUUUGUGGUUUGUCAGUCACAUCCUGUUUUGACUGCCCUAUCUGCUGUACAUCUUGGUGCAGUCUGUGCUGUUUUGUGACUUGUCAUGGUAUAUUACAUAUUCUACAUUGCUGUAAGGUGGUCUUAUCUUAUCUACUUCCAUAAAGAUAAUAGCUAUUUCUUGUACAAAGGCUAUUGUUGCAUGGAACUGUCUUACUUUUCUUUGAUGUAUACCAUAUCGUUAGUAGAUUACAGAUAAAAAGAAAAAGGAUUUUACUUGUGCUGUUCUUACACUGAGGCAGCUCUUGUGACUGUCAUGCCCCCAAGUUUGCAUUAAAGAAGGGUAAGCAGUAGGUACAUGCCAUAUAUGGUAAAGCUAUCAAUGGUAUCAUUACAUCCAGAAAAGUGAGAACCGUUGAAUAUUUAGUAUUUUGACUAUAGUACUCCACAUUUCCUAUAGUUUAGACGCUUGAAAUUGGUGUCAAUUUCAGGUGAUGCUCAAAUUGGCCAUCAUCUGCAUCAGUGGCUGUAGUUAGGGGAGGGGGGGGGGGGGGGGUUGCUGGGGAAGGAGCUUCAUGGCUGCUGGAAUUGAAAAUGGGUGGGGGUUAGUACGCAGGCCCACUGCAGCUGCUGGUGUUUCGAGGGCAGGAGUGGUCAUGCAGCGAUAGCCGUUGGCCGUGGGUGGCGGUAGACAUCCGGAUGGGAAGGGUUGGGCCAGGGGUGACGGUGGUUGGGGACAGUGGUGCUCAGCCCUGGCGACAGUUACGCUGCCAGGGCUGGAGGUAGCUAGGGGCUUAGGGGCCUUGGAGAACAAACUGAUAAGAAGAUGAAUAGCUGCUGUCUUGUGGUGGAAGAAACAUCAGGAACUACAUGAUCUUGAUCCAACAGUUAAGCUCUGUUGCCUGAAAAAAGUACAAACAAAACAGGAACCUGUAGUAUAGCUACUCCCAUAGUAUUUGGCAAGUGUGAAAGAAAAUUCUUUUCUUGUCAGGAAUUAAACAUUCCAGAACUAGUCUAAAUAGCCUUUCUAUUCUAGACUAAGUCAUGGUGGAGAAUCUGCUCCUGUUUACCUCUUCACCUCUUGCACCUUUUCAUGUAACUUUUGUUUAUGUCUAUGUUUAUAUUUGAAGCUUGUAGAUCCAAUUGAAAAUCGUUGUAAAGAUGACGAAGUGAGAGCUGAAGCCACAAGGGACCUUUUGAAGUGCAUUGUUGACCACAGAAUGGCUGCCAGGUCAUUAUCCACACCUGAAAGAGAUGCUGUAAGUUAUUUAGGAUUCAGCUUUUAUCUAGAUUAACAUAACUAUUUAUGUGGUCUACUGUUCUAAUCUAGUUUCAGCAAUUUGAUUUUGCGAAAGACCACACAGUUGAAUAUAUGGAUUAUCAUUCUUCUUUGCUGAAUUACAACACUGAUCAUUUAAAAUGCUGAAUAAAUACUCAAUGGCUGAUGAUUAACAGUGUUUCAGUUUAAUUACUUCUAUCUUUCAUGUAUACCACGGUACCACCAUAUUACUACUGUGGCUAACUUGUGUUUCUGAUGAUGGCUUGCUUGUCACUGUUAGGUUGACAAUGAGUGCAAUAAAGCUGAGCAGUGGCUAAGGGAGGGAUCCCAACUUCAAGAAACCUUGCCUAAGAAUGUGGACCCAGUACUUUGGUCCUGUGAAAUCAAGAGAAAGGAAGAAGAGCUGGAUAUGUAUGUGCCCUUCCCUCUCCAAGGCCACUUACCAGCUGUUUGAGCUCUGUGGCAGAAUUAUCUCUUAUCUCGUUACAGAUGGUCUAAUUACCUUUGCCUGAUUCCACUUGUAGGUUCUGUCGAAACAUAGCAAGGUAUAAGGGCUCUCCAGCAAGGACAGAUGGCAGCAGGGGUUCAGAUCACAUGCCUACACCGGAUAGAGAUUAGAUAUAUUCACGAGGUUUCUUCACUGUACGGCCACACUUGUCUUAAUCAUUUUGUAGCAAUAUAUGAAUGAACGACUUUUUGCUAACACCGUCAUAUAAUCGACUCUGUACCACACUAGGCCCGCCAUUGGCUGACCGCUUCUUGGUUCUCCAAGGUGUAGUUUUCACUUGAGAGCCUACUAAUCAUGAUUAUUGAUACCUGUGAAUUCUUUUGCUGUACUCGGACCAAGGCUGUCGUCUGCUUGUGCUGAAUGAACAGGAAAACUAAAAGGAAAUUGUAUGCAGUAGAUAUUGCUGACGUCGUUUGUUUUUUUUAGCUUGGCAUAUUUAUGCUUUAAUUUGUUGAUCCCAGAAAGUUACCCUUUUAUCUUUUUGUUAAUACCUUGUAUGGUGUACAUUGAUGGUAAUUCCUUCGCACACUUAUAUUUUUUUAUGAUGAAACAUGGCAUUUGAAAUUUGAUUUCCACAUGUUUUGAUAUUUGUGCAAUAUAUUUGGAGCAGCAGCUCCAGUUUUGUACUUUCCGGCACCUUCUGCCCUCGAGAAUAUACUUUCCUGAGAUAUCUGGUUUUCAGCUGCACAUGUAUUCGGAACUUAGGAUGGGUUGAUUCUAUAACAACUAAGAUGUGAUCUCCUGUCAUGUUGCACAAAAGUUCUAGUUAUCCAGUAUAGAAUGUAAUUUAGAAAUUGCAUAUAUUGGAUACAAAGUCGCAGCACAUAUCUUCUUGUUCAUGCCUUGUACUUUGGUAAUCAUGUGGGCCUUGUUCAGUUGAGGAAAAAAAUUGGUUUUGGCUAAAUACUUCAUGCAUGUAUCUAAAAUUCGAUAUGACGGAGAAUCUUGAUUUUUUUAAACUGAACAAGGCCUAAAAACUGUGCAAAUGUCUGCAAAACAAAAUGAAGUUUCUGCCUUAGAAGUAGGGAUGAAAACGGAUCGGAUACGGAUGGAUAUCACCGAUAUUAUAUUUGUUUUCAUAUUUCUGGUCGGAUUUGGAUUCAAAUACGGAUAAUAUCAACCAUGUCGGAUAAGAUACGAUUGGAUGUCGAAAUUAUAAAUAUACAAUUUAAGCAUUUAGAUACAAAUAUAGUAUCGGAUACUGAACAUUCGGACUUGGAUACGGAUAGAUUUGAACUCCUCUAAGGCUUUGUUUGGAUGUAGUCGGAUUCACAUCAAUCCACAUGUGUUGGGGUGAGUUGGAGUGAAAUUUGAACUAAAUUCUACCCCAAUCCACCCCAACACAUGUGGAUUGAGAUAAAUCCGACAACAUCCAAACAAGGUCUAAAUGAAUUUAAUUUUGAAUACGAUCGUAAAAUAUCCGUAUCAUUUUUAUCCGUGCUUAGAAGACAUCAGAACGCACAUCCAUCUUAUUGGUGCAGCUAGCUUUGAGAUACGUGUGGUUGGACGCAAAGGAGGACAGGGAAUAAUCAGGAAGCCUCGUCAACAAAAGAAGGCUAGAAUCAGCACUGGACCUGCCCUUCCAGAUGGAGCAGCCGCUGGUGCUGGGUGACACGGCCAUAUACGCUAGAGUCGAUAUACAAGGACAGUAGUUUCUCUAGAGUCUCCUCCCACACAUUGAUCUCCUGCCUUCAAAUUUCCUACCACCUCCCAUUUCUAAACCAUUAUCAGGGAAAAAAAUCAUACAGAGGACUAAUGGAAAAUAACAGAAUCCCCUCAUCAUCCUCCAAACUAUGAUUGUAGAGCCUUCUAUGCUUCUACUAUAUAUACACAGAUGUUUGUUGUGGCAAGUACCUAGAACCCAUUGUAGCGAAGAGACGGGAAGGAAGCACGACUGUUAUUAUAUAUGUGGGAUGGUCAGAUGGAGAUGGUGAAAGGCCAAUAAGUAGUGAGGUCAUGUUUGGCACAGCUCCUUGCUACACUGUAUGGAGCCAGUAACUGCUUAACCAAAUAGGGUAUAUUAUUGAGGAUGUAACUUGUCAUCAACUUUCAUUCAAUUUGGUCUGCAGGGACAGCCUGAUCCUCUAACAAUGGAGCUCAGACUGCUAACUGCAGCAAGAAAAGAAAGGAUACUCUCCCUCUGGUCAAGAAAAGUUGUUUUCAACAACAAAAUUGAACCGUGGUUAAUGUAUGUGUGCUUCUCGGGGACGUCUUGUUCUUUCAACCGGAGGGAGUACGUACAUUGAAAACUAGAAAUAAACUAACUCAAACAUUUAGGAAAUAUUGAUUCUAGGAAUAUUUAGCACUGUCAUGUUAAUUUAGUCCGAAUAUUAAUUAUGAUAUACAUGAUCAGAUUAAGAGAGAAUUCCUUGUGUGUUACUAAAUGAUCCAAGAAUUCUUGACAGACGAUUAGAGAAGUUCUUAACCCAUCUUGGCGCUUCUGAAUUUGAUGUCCUCCUUGUAAUCCUGUCCCCACUUCCUCUCUAGCCACCUUGGCUACUGCUUGUCCUUAUGCGUUUUUUUCCUCUUACCAGGACUGCUUGUAUAUAAACUCUUGCUCCUACCUAUAAUGAAAGGCAGAGCUCCUGCCAGUUCUUUCAAAAAAAAAAAAAAACUGUUUCUGGCUGAGGGUUUCCAUCCAAUGGCAGGAGGAGGCGGGCUGUACGUAGGCAGGGGUUAGGGGCCUUGGAGAAUAUAAACUGAGAAGAAGAUGAACAGCUGUAUGGACUAUGGAGGAGAGGAGGAAGAAACAUCAGGAACGAUAUGAUUUUGAUCCAACAGUUGAUGUUUGUCACCUGGAAAAGUUAAAAGAAAAAAACAGGAACCUGUAGUAUUAGUAUAGCCACUCCCAUCGUACAUACUCAACAAUUGUGAAAGAAAAUUCUUUUUUUUUGUAGUAGCUAGUAAUCAAACAUUCCAGAACUAGUCUAAAAAGCCAUGCUCCAAGGGCCGCCGCAGAGAGCUGUGGCCGCUAGGAUCCUGUCCCACAGCGCAGAAGUGUGCGCAUCGUGGCGACAUCCUGGCGGCGCGGAGACGCCCAAGCAAAAGCUCGUCAAGUCCUCAUGAAGAAGCUUGGCUUCGCGGAGGACGAGGGCCGUUCGGUGGACGAGGACGAUGCACUGCUUGGCUACUUCAGGUUCAGGCUCUUCGGUGGACCUCUAUCAGAUUCGGUGGUCAAGGCACUGAUUGCUUUGUGUGGCCUUGACGGCGGCACAGGCACCGGGCUGCCACCAAGCAUAGGCAGCAAGACUUAGCACAAGGGGCACUCCAUGUCACUCAUGUUAAUCAUCAAGUCAUUAACCAUCUGUAUCUUAGUUUUAGUCGGUUCGUCGUGAUCGUCGUCAGUUCAUGGUGGUCUGUCAAGUGCCAACUUCAGUUUAUGGCCUGUGAAGGGUGCGCGGGUGGCCAGGGGCCCAAAAACUGCUGAUGCCGCACUAGCGUCGGCAGCCAGGGGCUUUCAGUCAGCCGGCUGCUGCUCGUUCCAAUUGUUUCAGCCGUCCAACAAAGCCGUGGCCUGCAUGGAGCCUCGAGAACCUGAAAGGUCAGAAUCAGCACUAGGCCUGCCCUUCAACAUCCAACAACAGCUUACAUGCUGUGUCACUGCAGCUGGUGCUGCGUGAUAUGGUCAUCUAUGCUACGGUUGCUAUACAAGAACAAUAAUCUCCUCCUGAACAUUGAACUCCCGCCUUAAAAUUUCCUGCCACCCCCCAUUUCUAAACCAUUAUAUCAGGAAAAAAAAUCAUACCAAGGAUUAGAGGAAAGUAACAGAAUCGUCCCCUCAGCAUCUCCAAACUAUGGUUCUAGGCCUUCUAUGCUUCUACUAUAUAUAGACACACAGAUUUCUGUUGGGGCAGUAGUAUUGGUCAAGUUGGGCUUACAACUAAUAAGUAUCUAGAAUCCCUUGUAGCGAAGAGCUGGAAAGGAAGCACUUAUAGUUUAGGCCUUGCUAAGGUACACCCAUCACCUCAUCGGAGGUAAGAUCUCAAACAAAUCUUAGCCCUUGAUUUUUGAAGUGCAUUCAAUAAUUAAGUAAUUAUUAACUAAUUAAAAUGGUUAUAAAACAAAAAAUAGAAAAGGCAACAAACCAACAAGAUAUUUGCUAUUCAAGAACAACUUGUUUCUUGCCAUAAACAGGUGCCCAUAUAUAGCAUGCAACAACGCAUAUACAGGGUUCAUGCAGCAGCGGCAUACUCCUAUACUGGUGUACCGGCCUUGUGCCAGUGCCGAACCUGGCACCGCAGAGGUACAUCACAUACGUGAACAUGUCACGUAAUGAACACAUCUAAUGGUAUAAAUUAAAUAAAUUAAUGUCAAAAACUAAUGAUUGAUAGUAGAAUUUUCCAUUACCAAUGCUAAGUCAUAUAAAAAUACUAAAUUGGGAUUAUGAAAAUGAAUAAAUUAUUCAAAUCAAAUACCAAUACGUUCAAGAUUUAUGUUGUCGUUACUAACGCUUUCAUAUGUUCUAAUUUAAAUAAAUAACUAAAAUACAGCUCAUGUUUAGAUACUACUAACCUUGACAUAAAUUACAAGAUCACAAGUCAUGUUUUUUUUUGGAAAAGAUCACAAGUCACGUUGGGGACAACCAUACAUAAUAAAAAUGGAAACCGACCAUACAAACGCAGGCCUCAUAUGGUUGCAUGCAUGUUACAUCCAUUUGAUAGAUAUUUUACCUAAAAUUUCGCUUACUUUCCUGUUUUUCAAAAUAAUAAAAUACAUUUAUUCUAUUACCUCUUAAGAGGUAAUAUGUGAUUAUGGUUAGCCAAAUCGACGGUCCACAAUUGCUUGAGAGUACCAUAGCAAAACCCAGUGAAGACGCUGAAAGGAAGAUAAAUAGUGAGGUUGUCACAGUAUAUAGAGGAGCCAGAGCGUGAAGCCAAAAAAAAAUAAAAAAGUUUCAACACCUCCUAGUUCAUUUUGAGAGAAGAGAUUAAAAACAUCUUGUUGCUAUAGUGGAUGGAGUUGAGCCAGGGUCGGCCUGAGCUCCAAUAAAUAAACAUGCCUGAGUAUUAUUAUGGACGUCACAGCAACUUGCCAAUCUUCAUUGUAAGUUGGUCUGCAGGGACAGCCUGAUCCUCCAGCAAUGGAGCUCAGGCAAUGCUCAUUGCAGCAAGAUUGGCUGCUCUGGAAAAUUAGGUUUGCAGCAAGUUAACUUCCUCAGUGACAAUCAAAUACUCGCCACGGUGCUACAGCAUCAGUGUGCAUCUCCAGUGAUCAGCAAGGGCAUUAUUAGACUUUACCACCAAUGCUACAUCAAUUCCAUGUCUCAAUGUCAGCAUUCAUUUUCAGGCGACCAAGAUUCAGAGAGCAAACAAAGAUGGCUGCAGAUAAAGUAGCAAAGAAAGCAAGGACAGAUUUCCGUCCUUCAGUUUAGAGUUAAUAAAUAUCCUAUUCCUAAAAAAAAAGGUCACUCAAACUUGGAAACAAUAGUAGUACAGUCUGUAUACAUGGCAAUGCUAUUUUUUAGGGAGAGUAAAGAUCAAUGUCGAGAAAAAGAUCAAUGCUAGGAUGGGUUGAACCUAUGAUAACUAAGAGGUGAUCACUUACCAUGAUGCACAAAAGUUCGACUUAUCCAGUAGAAUGUAACUUAGAAAAUUGCAAAUUGGCUAUAAGUCAGCAGCACAUAGAUGACUCUUGUUGUCUUCUACUUUGAUCAUCAGUUCUGUGUUUGUGACUAAAUAUGCAAAUGUUUGCAAAACAAAAUAAUAUCUCCAAACUACUGGGACUCCAUCUCCAACCUUACGCUAUGUCUCUAAAGACAUCAGAACACACAACCGCACUAUUGGAGCUUCACCAACAAACAGAGAAGGAGCUCAUAUUAGAGCUAAGCUGACAAAUUUAUGUUCGCACUAGAAGGACUGGAAGGGACGUUGGAAUCAGCAUUAGGCUUCCCCUUAAACAUUGAACUAACUACAGAGCUCGUGCUGUGAUAGCCUCAGCUAUGCUGGAAUUCGUAUACUAUGCUAGAAUCUGUAUACCUCUGGAGUCUCCUUUGGCACAUUGAACUUCCGCCUUCAAAUUUCCUGCCACCUCCCAUUUCUAAACCAUUAUCCGGAGAAAAUCAUACCUAAUGAAAAAUAACAGAAUCCCCUCGGCAUCCUCCAAACUAUGGUUCUACCCUUCUAUGCUUCUACUAUAGAUACACAAAUUUCUAUUGUGGAAAGUACCUAGAAUCCCUUCUAGCGAAGAGAUGGGAAGGAAGAUGGUCACUACUUAUAGAUGUGGGAUGGUUGGAUGGAGAUGAUGAAAUUAGACCAAUAAGUAGUGAGGUCCUGUUUCGCACAACUCCUUACUACAGUGCACGGAGCUGGCCACGGCUCAACAGGGUUUAAUUAUUAUCGCGGAUUUUUUCUUAGAUAAAGGAUAGUUUAUAUCCGGCUUCAUCUACCAUGAGGUAGAAUCAGACCAUUUAUUACACAAAUCGGUCAAUCGACCAGCAAAGGACCCAAACCAGUAAGGAAAAAAACCGAACUGUGGUUAAUGUAUUUGUGCAAUUGUGCUACUCGGGACAUCUUGUUCUCCCAACCAGAAGGAGUACAUUAUCAGUACAUUGAAAACAGGAAAUUAACUCAAAUAUUUCGGACACAUCGAUUAUGUGGGGAUAAUUAGCACUGUCAUGUUAAUUUAGUCUAAAUAUUAAUCAUGAUAUAUAUAAUCAGAUUAAGAGAGAAUUCCCUAUGUACCACAUAAUGAUGAAAGAAAGCUUGGCACAUCACUAGCAAAGUUCUCGUGAAAACAACUUAGUAUUUUUUGUUUCUUUUUGUGUGCCACUGCCAUCUAAAGUCCAUGAAACGACGGUUAAGUAAAGUGUAACAAGGAUACUGUUGCCGUCCAUUGAGAACCAUGCCAAGGAUUUUUUUUUUUCUGUUUCUCCGGUGCCUUAGGACAGAGCAAUGACCACUAUAGACAACUAUGGACGGAUAUUCAACAAUAAUCUUUGUGUUUGGUGUACUAUGGAAAAUAUUCAUAUUACUUACAUACACUUUUAAAAAGUUAUUUGUACCCAAAAGGCAGAGUUAUUUUUUUCCCUGUAACAAGGUACGGUUAACCUGAAUUUUGUUGCUCAUAAAGUAGAGAGUAAUUAAAGAUAAUGUUAAACUGAGAAUUGUGAGAACAGGUGGUGGCUCCGAUUUGGGAGUAAACAUAACGUUUAUGAUCAUUCCAAAUCUUCAUCAGACCCGAAACACGCUGACAUCUCUGUUCCCAGCUGUCUCCACGGAAAGCUUCUAUAAAUCCUGUAGAGAGGAAUAAAGCCACAAAGGCAGUUUAGACUUUAGACCCGUUGGAUUAAACAGGUUUCGUCUUUCGACCAUGGUUUCGUUUUCGUUGCAUAAUCCAGACACGCUGUUGUCCACUGUUGAUCGCAGCCAUGGCCAGCGGCUGCCAGGUCGCGGGCGAGGCAGAGAAAGGCAGGCGUGGGUGCGUGGCUGCCGGAGAUGCGGGGUAGCAGGUUCAGUGCAAGCUUGCGGCAUGGUAGGCGGGAUCGCUGUCCAAUCUUCCUCUUCGCGGCGGAUUACGCUAACCACAAAGCACACCUCUAGUCUUCAUCAGAGAGGAACUAGCUGCUUAUGGAAAGGCAAGUUUGGUUGGUGCAAUGUCUGCCGCACCUCUGCAUAUCCUGAUACCUCUCAUGCCCAACUAUCAAGCUAGAGCUUUCUCUGUAUUUUUGUGGUUGAUGGAUCACCACGUUCUGAAAAAUACAUCUACAUUCUACAAGCAGCAGGUAGCUGGUGAAGGGUAGAAGCAGCAGAUGAUGAGAAGCAACCAGCUUGCAUUAUUACACGGAGAGAAGUGGACACUUCAAACUGUGCCAGCACUUAAAAAUGACUGGGACUGCACUGAAUGGGGGGAAGACAACAGAAUUAUAGAGACCAAAGUUUUGUAUUAAUAGAGUAGCAGCAUAGCAGGGCAGUAACGAACGAGGCACGCAUUUUGCAGAGGUGUAUAUAUAUAAUGCAGAUUGAAUUGAAGGCGAGGUGUGUGUACGUUGAUGAUACUCAUCCGAGGGUAGGAGUAGGACAGAGUAGGCUGCAUGGGGUUCGGAUCAGUUCUCUUGGGAACUCGAUUCGCUACUAGAAUUGGCCCAGGGAGCGGCGAAGCAGAUUGAACCCAUACGGAUGAGGGGCAACAGGAUCAACCCAAUCGAACCCCGGGUCGCUCCUUUCUCCACCGUAGAGCCAUAGAGCUGUCUGCCGUCACUACUCUGCUCUGGUUCAUGGGGCUAUAGGAUUAGCGCCACAGCACGUAGCUCUCCUUCCAAUCCACUUAGCUGCCCUAUAGAUUGGGGACGGCAGUGUUCGGAACUGCCUCUUGGUCAGCCGGAGACAUCUUCCCUCCAGCCUAUAUUUAUUCUGAUUUGCAUGAUCCAUCAUUCUGAUUUGCGUGAUUUCUCAAGACCUUCGUGACAGGAGCAUAUUUCUUGCUUGCUGAAACCAAUACAAAAUAAUCUUAGGAGUGACAGCUUGUAUGUUUGCUAUCCUUAUAAGAGGCAUACACACUUAAAUUUUAGUGAAAUUAGUUGUUAAACUUAAUUUAUUUUGUACUAUUUAAGCAUAAGAUGCCUCUUCGGUGUUAAUAUACUGAUGAAUGAAAAAGGCCUAAAUUUGUUCAUUGAUUUUGGUAAUGAAUAUCUUGUGAUAUGUACAAAAUAAAGUCAGAAGGAAGGAUCAAUGAUAUAUGGACGGUACAAAAUCUUAUUGGAGCAAACCAUGACUGAAUGGGUGCUACUUUAGACAUUUGAAAAGGAUUAUGAGUAAGUACGGCGAUGCUUUCUGCAAGGCUUUGGUAGCAUGGUUGAGGAGGAGCCCAUAGUCAGCGCCCUUGUCGUCCCAGCGGCCAUAUAGUUGAGCCUUCUAAAUUCCUGGUGCCUCCCAUUCUAAACCACUAUCAUCAUGAAAAUUCAUACUAAUGACUAAUGAACAAUAAAGAAAUCUCCUCAACACCAUCCUCCAUACUAUGGUUCUACCUUCUAUACAGCACUGGACCAUUGGCCAAGUUGGCUUACAGUUAUAGCUGAGUACCUAGAGAGGGGAUGAAAUGAAGCACAACAGUCAUAUAAGGGGUGGACAAAAUGGAGUUGCUGAAGGGCUCAUAAAUAGUGAGCAAAGGGUGUUCAAUUGGUCGCUCAUAUUUUGAAACCAUGGCAGUAUAGAUCAGCUUAAUGCUCUUCCUUUUUUUGUUAUUUUAGGAAGUAAAGAACUAUUCCUCCAUCCCAAAUUGUAAGUCGUUUGACUUUUUUUACCCCAAGUUUGACCACUCGUCUUAUUCAAAAAAAUUUGUGCAAAUAUAGUCAAAUUUAAGUCAUUCUUGGAGAACUUUUAUUAAUAAACCAAUACACAACAAAAAAAA
rnacentral:lncRNA from 1 species